UCGUAUUUUAUUGAAAACACACCAGCACGAUAAUACUAAAAAUUAAUUCACAAAAGCCAACACGGUUUGUAUGCAGGUGAGGACGACCACCAUAAAAGCAGCAACAGUCCCUGUACCUCUCCAAAGAUUGGGGAAAUAAACACGCUUCAGAAUUCCAUAAUUUUUCUUGACGAAUAAUGUCACUUUGUGCUUCCGACCCUCUUUAUAAAGCUGGUUCAAUCGGUUCGCGGUUUCCCGGUAGCAAGCAGGUGGCUCCCCAAUUCCCUGCAUAAGUUUCUUAAUCGUACGUUGCACCAUUAUAUCCGUAUUUAUUGUGGUAACCAGUAUUCCUUCGUUUCUGCCUUCCUUGCUUAAAAUCCCUUUUUCUAUUAACAGUUUUACAUCUUGGGCAGUUGGAAUGAGAUAAUUCAUUAGUUCUAUGUAAGCACAAACGUAGGCUUUAUCUGGACAAUGGCACAUCUCGAACGCCAUGACGUUCCGAAGGAAAGCUUCAGUGUUGGAGUGCACUGUCAAUUUGGGGAUUUUAAACUUUUUGCCUUCAAAUUUAAUAUCAAGCAAACAUGCAGUUUGAUUAGGUUCAACUAUAAGCUCAACACCAACUUCUUGCAAACUUGUGGCACCAUACACUUUUUUUAACGUUGGGAUCUUGGUCCUGGAUGAUGGAUUUUGUGUUUUGGUCAUAUGGCAUCUUUGCAAAGCGGUGAAGUGUGGGAUUUCUAUAUGCUCGAACUGCGGGUCCCAUGGAAUGUCAAAGUAGGAGCAAGCUAGUUUAAGGAAAGAAGGAACAGAGGCAUCUGAUGCUAGUUUGUGGUUUUCAUAUGGUUUAUACAGUUCUUCAAGCACGAACAUUGGGAUCUGGUUUUCAAGUAAGAUCAAAUCCCUCCGUAGACCAGCGGACCAUGUUUCUUUCAACAAGAAGUCUUUUAUGUCCGAAUUUUUCACUUCCUUCUCGUAGUUCCUCAAGAAGAGCUCCACGAUAAACAGUGCAUCAUAAAAUAUCAUCUUUACGAACUCGUCUUCAUCGAUUAAAGCCUCGUAAUAGUUGAGAAUCUUUUUCUCGUUGCGUUCAAUGAAGCUCCAAAAACUUUCCAAUGGCUCCUCGAAACCGGAAUUCCUUUCAAGAAAUUUAACUUGAUAACCCACUUUAUACUUGGCCAUGCUAGCCAAAUUUGUUUUCCCAUAAUGAAGAGGGCCAAUUGAAAUUAAUAGAGGAGUGUAAGCUUUUGGAUUUGCUUGACGAAUGUUCCUAGGGACCUCGUAGAUAAAACCUUGGUCCGGCCCCCGCUCCAAAUCCUCAGCUUCCGAAUCAUUGGAUGCUUCAUCUUUCUUUGUCUUAAAUGAUGGGGCGUUGAUUUUGCCUAAUUGUCCCUUCUUUGGAGCCAUUUCUUGCAACUACCUUUUCAUGUAUCAAGCAUACAUAUCAAGUUAGCAAUAAACUUUUUAUAUAUAUUGAAUGAACAAUGAUUUUAGUAUCGUUAUGUGGCAUGCAACAUUACAGUGCUUUGAAAUCAGUAUGUACCGACCAGACCAGUGCUAGUAUGUUACUGACUACUGUAGAUCAUACACAUAGAGACUUGAAACUUACAGGGAAUCCGAUAACCUUUCGCUUCCAAUACUAGAAUUGGUUGCUGAAGCCGGGAUUUGAAAACGGAGAGAAAUGGAAGGGAAACGUUGAAGAACUAGUUACUAGAUAAUAAGUGAAUCCUUGAAGUCGAUCAGAGUGGCUAAGGGCAUUUAUAUAGAUGCAAAUUUGGAUAAGGUUGGUUGAAUCUGAUCCACAUAAACAUCAACAAAAAUAUUAGAAAAGGUGGCAUUGGUGAGUGUUUAUAAAUUGAAUCUUAAAAUGUAUUUAGUUAGCUGUUAAUGUCUCCUAUAUUUAAUGUGUUUCACAGCUUCGUUUGUCUUCUAUCAACUGUCUUUUUCUUUUAGAUGUCCCAAAUAGACGACAGGAAAUUAAUUAGAAAAGGACGUAAGAAAAUACAAACAAACUAAAGGAAAAUCCACAUUAGGGCUUUAAUUGCCAACUCCUUUGCUUCUCUUUGAAUUUCUCGAUCUCCUUUGUGCCGAUUUUGUGAAUUUUAUUCCAUGAAGCAGUGUUGUAAUAUCAGCAAGAGCCGAAGCUAGCUUCCAUUUGAUUUACUGUCGAAGAUGUUGAUGGAGAAGAUUUACUCGAUCUCCUAUUUAUGAUUAUGCGGAACAUGGUAAGAAUAUCAAUUUCUAUAAAUAAUUUUUGAAAUAAUUCUUUAUAGGAAAAUCUUUGAUGGAGAAGAUUAGAGAAACUUUUGUUUCUGAAUUUUUGGUUUGGUUUGGUAUUUUUUUAGUAUAUAUGUAAAUAAAAUUCAUCUCCUAUUUAUGUAAGUGCUCAUGUCUCUUCGUAGAGACAUAACUAUCCAAUUAUACCUAUUUGGAUAGUUACAUCUAUUAAGAAUGAACAAGAUCAUUUUUUAUAUAUUACUUGAAUAAUCAUAAUUUUUUUGUUAAUAAAAAAGCAGCAUAGCUUUUAUUAUUUAAGAUUCAUAAUUAAUGUAACACCCUUAACCCGUCACUGUCGUCGAAUUAGGGUUAUGGACCAUUAUCGAUCCAUCGGAAAACAUUUAUCAUCAUAACAUUUAAAAAAUUAAUCUCAAUCAAAAUCAUAGUAAACCUAUAUAUUUGGUCCUUAAAUCAAACCUUCAAGGCCUUAAAAAUAACUUAGAAGCAAUUCAUGACUAAUUUGAAAAAAAAUAGAAGAUUGGGAAAAAUUUGGAAAAAUUGAAAAAUAGGGGUCACACGGCCGUGUGACAUUGCCCAAGCCGUGUAACAAUUGAACAAGGGGACACACGGCCGUGACCCAGCUUGUGUCUUUUCCCGUGUAACUCACUAAGUAGGGUCAAAUGGCAGUGUUGCAGGCUGUGUACCAAACCGUGUAACUCUCUGAGUUGUAACAUACGACCGUGUAACUCACUAACUUAAAACAUUAGAAAUUUACACAUGACACAAGGCCAUGUAGCUAGGCCGUGCAUAUCACACGGCUGUGUGACAGCCCGUGUCCCAAGCCGUGUGAUCCAUAAUUUGACCCUAAAAUAAGCCAAUUCAAGGCCAAAAUACAUGUAACCAAUUAUCCUGUUUGUGUACACAUUCAAGGGAUUUAAACAUCAUUCAAACAAACCUAGACAUGCCAUUUCAAACAUCCUAAUUUAUAUAACCAAUAUGUCAUUCAAAGGCACCACAAUUGUAUCAAAACAUCAUGGAUCAAACCAAAAUAACAUGGCCACUUUUCUAGCAUAUAACCUAGUUCAAUUAUCUACCAAAUCAUAUCACAAAUGAUCAUUUCCAAGCCAUUGUAAACACACCAAAAGAGCCUUAUAUACAACUACUUAAGAAUGGCUAAAAUGACCUAACUUGAACAAGCAUAAAAAGUUCAUCAAAUCCAAACAUAAACUUUACAAGCAUGAACAUACUAAAUCAACCAUUUACAUAUUCAUGAACUGCCAUUACAAAAGGUGCUAUACAUGCCAUUAGUAACCUUGGCCAAAAUACUCAAAAACUACAAAAAUGGUUGCUGGAUAGUGUGAUAGGUCUCCGACGAGCUUCCAACCGAUCGAGCUUUCGAUUAUCUAUAAAAUAAAGGAAAGUAACUACGUAAGCAACUAGUGCUUAGUAAGCUUAUAUAAACUCAAACAAAACUUACCAUUUCAUCAGCACAAUUCAUAGAAUAAGCACAAUAUCAUAAUUGAGACCAUAAGCUUAGCAUAAGCCUAUACGAGCAUCACCAACUUACAAGUUACUAUGCCUAUCUAUGAUACAAAUAUAUUCAAUCAUAUAGUAAGUAAGUGUAAUAGCCCGAUUUUCAGUGAUGUUGGAAAAGUGGUUUGAGACCACCAAAUCUGGUAAAUGAGCUCAUAAAUUUUAUUAUUUAAUAUUUACGAACCAAAUGAGGUUUUUAAAAGAUUUUUGAAUUAGUAAGUUUGUGGUUAUAAGGAAUUAUUAGAUUAAUUAAUUUAGAAAAAGAGGUAUCGAGAUCUCGGUGUUAUAAACCGAGCCUUAAAUAUUUUUAUAAAUAUUUACGGAGUGUCAAUAAGUAGCAUUAAAGUUUCUUUAGGAAUUUUUAACGUUUUGGUAGUGAAUUAAUUAAAAAGGACUAAAUUAAAAAAGGUGUAAAAAUUGCUAAAGUGAUUAAAUGGUCUAAAUAGUAAAUAAAGGAAGGCUAAAGGGGUAAAUAGACCCACAUGAAUGGCUGAGGCGGCAUAGCAUGAAAAAAAUCAAGGAUUUUAUGUGAAAUAAGGGCAAAAUUGUAAAAUUUUCCAAAUUAAAGAGAAAUAAAUGGCAAAUUGAAAAUUCUAGACAAAUUCAUUAUCAUUUUCAGCUUAAAAACAACCAUUGAAGAGGGUUUAAGUUGGUUUUUCAUUUUUUAGUUUCAUGUAGUCUAAUUCUUGCUUUUUCCUUGAAAUUUUUUUGUUUUUGGACUUCUACAACUUGGUCCAACUUACUAUUUUAUUAAGGAAUUUUGGAUGAAAUCAUGUUUUAGGGAUUAAUUUGUAAAGUUGUCAAAUUUAUGUGAAGUUCUAAAAUUUCAUGAAAUUUACGGGUUAUUAUUAAUAUAUAUAUAUAUAUAUAUGAAAUUAUUUAGACUUGGAAUAAGGAAUAAAUUACAUGAAUUUCAUUUUCCAAGCCUAGGGAUGAAAUAGUCAUUUAGUAAAAGUAUAGGGGUAAAAUAGUAAUUUUGCCUAAGAUGUGACUUGGAUAGAAUAGAAUGUAAAUUGUAUUAAAUUGAGCUAAAUUUACUCGUAUAGAUCUAGAUAGACCAAGUACGGAAGUAGAUUGUGGUAAAGAAAAAGUAUUAGAUUAGUAGAUUACAAGUCACGAACAAUUAGUUUAGGUAAGUUCAUGUAACUUAAUUUUAUAAUUAUAUGUUUGAAAUGAUUUGAAUGAAUUGUAUGUGAAUUGUGUAUUGGCCAUGUAUAUGAAAUUUGAUCACAUAUCCGGAAAAUACCUGAUAAAUGUUAAAUCCUGUUUGAAUGAAUGAAAUUCAAUUGGAUACAGGGUUCUGUUUCCCGAAACGGUAGUGGUCCUACAUUUGUUGUGGGCAUACCAUAGCUCGAAAGAGCAUCCCGAUAUAGGCCCUCUCAAGCUUCCCGUUAUAGUGUUCUUGCGAGCUUCCCGUUAAAUGCUCUUCUGAGCAUCUUGACUGGUUGUGAUCUGCAUAUGUUGUAGACACACCCACGCUCUUAUGAGCAUUCUGUUUAUAGGCUCUUUGUGAGCUUCCCAUUAAAGGCUCUUCAGAGCUUCUCGUUAGUGCUCGCUUGAACUUUUUGUUAUAUGGCUAUCUGGUGUUUUCUGAUUAAGUGCUCUUUGGAGCAUCCCAUUAAGUGCUUUUUAGAGCUAUCUGACAUAGGCUCUUUAUGAGCUUUCUGUUAUAAAGCUCGAAUAAGCAUCUCGUUACAUGGCUUAAUGAGCUUUCCGUUAUAGUGCCUGAGAGAGAGCUUUCUGUUUAAGUGCUCUAAUGAUUACUGCCGAACAUGAAUUGACAGAUUUCUAAUUUGUACACUUUAUGUGUACUACCCUUGUAUCUAUCGAGAUUUCAAAUGAUUCAACAGGUGAAAUUCUGACAUGAAGACAAGUGAAAAUAAAAAUGAAAUCAAAAUCUGAAAAAUACAUGAAAUGCAUGGAACUUGGUAUUUGAUGAGCCAUCUUUGGUAUUGGUAUUUACAUGAAAUGAUUAGCCAUCUUUGGUAUUGGUAUUUACAUGAAAUGAUUAACUAACAUAUUUGUUGAGAUUAUGUGCUUAGGCUAUGGCCAAAUUGUUUAGAAUGCAUGUGUAUGUUUACUUAAUGUACAAAUGAAUGGUAAGUUAAUUUCUUGUUAUACGGACUUACUAAGCAUAAUAUGCUUACUCUGUUUUACUUUCAUCUAUUUUAUAGUAAUACUAAAGCUCGCUGGAUUGGACGUUUGAUGGAGAUCACUCACACUAUCCACCGACACAUUUCGGUACAAAUAUGAUACUAAUUAUAGAUAUAAUGGCAUGUAUAGCUUUUGGUUACACGGCCGUGUCCCCAGCCCCUGCACCUUAAUAUUUUGCAAGCUAGAGAGUUACACGGGCUGGGGACACGGCCGUGUGAACUGUAACAGCCUAAUUUUCAGUGGUGUCGGAAUGGUGAUUCGAGAUCACUAAAUCUGACAAAUGAAUAGAAAAUAUUAUUAAUUUAGUGAGAAUAAGUAAAUGUGAAGUUGGGAAAAAUUUUGAAAUAGUGAAUAGUGUACUAGGAAUGAAUAUUAAAGUAAUUAAAAUUGAAAACGUGGUAUCAAGACUUCGAAGAUUUUAAACCGAGCCAUAAAUAUUUUUAGAAAUAUUUAUAGAGUGUCAUUGAGUUGGUAUUAAAGUUUCGUUAGAAAAUUUUAACGUUUGGAUAGUUAAUUAACUAAAGAGGCCUAAAUUGAAAAUAGUGCAAAAUUUGUUAACUUGUGAUUAAAUAGCUUAAGUGACUAAUGAGGAGGGAUUUAAAAGGCAAAUAGGCCCAAAUUAUAUGAGCUGGACGGUUGGGUAAGAAAAAUCAGCAGCAUGUAAGGAAAAACAGGGGCAAAAUUGGAAACUUAACAUAUUAAGCAUUUAAAACAAAGACAAAAGUGAAAAAUCUAGAGAUCUCUUCACAAUUUAUCAGCAAAAAUGCCAUAGGAGAUCUGAAACAAGCUGGUUUUUAAUAUAUUUGAAUCAUGUAAGUUUAACUCUUGAUUAUUUCUUCUAAUUUUUGUGAUUUUAAUACUUUUACAAUUAGGUCCAACUAAUUGUUUCAUUAGUUAUUGAUCUUAUGGCUGGUUUUGAAAGUUACCAUUGAUGAGUACUGAAUUUUUAUGAUGAAAAAACAUGGAAUUAAAGCUUUGAUUUUGUUAUAUGAUGAUUCUAUUAAAGUAAUUUUGAUAGAAAUUGAUUUUAGGGACCUAAUUGUGAAAAAGUUGGGAAUUAGGGUUUGGUGUUGCGGUUUUGAAUAUGAAAGGUUAUGUAGUAGUCUAAAAUAGUUGGAAAAGGUGUUGAUUGAGAAAAAUUAGAUCAAUUGAGGGGUUAAUUGAGUAGGGACCAAAUUGUAAAAACUGUAAAGUUUGGGGUAAAAGUGCAAUUUUGAUAAUUUAAGGGCAGAAAUUGUGAAAUGAAUUAGUAUUGAAUUAGAUGCUAAUAAAUGGAAAAAUUUAUAUUAUAGAUCGAGAACCGGAAGCAAGCCGAGGAAAAGAAAAAGUAGUUGACUAGUCCCUGAACUUUUACAAAUUCUGCAAAUCGGUCCAGGUAAGUUCAUAUGGCUGAAUUUUUAUGAUUAAUUGUUAAUGUGGAAAUGAUAUAUUGUAUAAAUUCGUAUAUUGUUACUGAAUUAUGAUUAUGGUAAAAAUGAGAAGAAGAUGAGAUUGUUAGUUCAAAUUAAGGGAUACUCAGGAUUGAGUACACAUGUUUGGCAACCAACGACGAAUUGACGGAUAAGUCCAUGGUGGAUCCAUGGCAAAGUGUGAAAAGUAGGUAUGGUGUUUCGGUGAAGAAAACCAUACUGAGUUGUGAAAAGUAGGUAUGGUGUUUCGGUGAAGAAAACCAUACUGAGUUGUGAAAAGUAGGUAUGGUGUUUCGGUGAAGAAAACCAUACUGAGUUGUGAAAAGUAGGUAUGGUGUUUCGGUGAAGAAAACCAUACUGAGUUAUGAAAAGUAGGUAUGGUGUUUCAGUGAAGAAAACCAUACUGAGUUGUGAAAAGUAGGUAUGGUAUUUCCGUGAAGAAAGCCAUACUGAGUGAUAGGAAUGUGAAAUAUUCAAGCAAAUUGUGGCACCGGACAAACGAUGUACUCAACUCCGUAAGACUAUCCUUAAUUUGACAGAUAUUUGUAAGUGCAAUUGAAGCUAAAUGUCGGAAUAGAAGUUGACUUCUGAUAUUGAGCUCGAUUAGAUAUAUUUAUUAUUUGAGAUUGUGGUUGGCAGGAAAUGUUGAAUUUUUGUUUGUUUGUUAAUGUGGUUAGUGAAAUUCUAGUAAGAUUUUAUUAUGAGCCUGUGAACUUACUAAGCUUCCAUAAGCUUACUUGUGUGUGUUUAUUGUUUCUUGUAGAUUGAUAUAUAUAUAUACAUACGUUCGGAGGAUCGGAUCUACAUCAACGAUCACACUAUCCAGAUUUACUCCGGUAGAUUUUGUUAAACAAUUUUUUUGAUUUAUAUGGCAUGUAUAGGGAAUUGAAGUAAAAAGUAAUAGAAUGAAUGACUAAGUAUGCAAAGUAAAUUUGAAUGUUAUGGUUGUGUUAGAUAUCGAAAUAUAUAUACAUGUUUUUAUUUUGAAAUGGUUGAUUGGUUGAACUUCAUUAGUAUUUAAAUGAAGUAGAUGAAAUACUGGAAUUGGUUGUGAUUUGAAAUUUGCAGGGAAGGUUAGACAAUUAUAAAGGGGUUAUAUUGAAUUUUUUUUAAAAAUUGCAAUUGUGCAGUUCUUGGACAGCAGCAUUGAUGUAACUUUUAAAAUUCACCAAAAAUAGUGGAAAUAGAAUUAGAAGUUGAGUGAGAUAUGAAAUUAAAGAUGAAAGAGUCUACUUUCAUAUGAAAGAAGUGGAGUAAGGAAAAGAAUUAUAUACUUUUAGAUAUUUGAAUUUUAGUGAAACAGGGCAAGAAUGUUUUUGAAGUCCCCUGUUCUGACUUUAGAAAUUCAUUAAAAAUUGUACAGAAGGAAUUAUGAGUUAUAAUUUAUAUGUAUAAAUUCCUUAAUGAGUAUAUUUUCAGUAUAAAUAAGUUUAAUCACCAUAUGAGGUCUGUAAUAAGAGAUAAUUAAAUUUUAGUGAUGAGUGGUCAGGAUAGUCGAUUAGUGAAACAGGGGAGACUUCAACUAAUAAACUGUACUAAUUGGAUAAAGAAAAAAUUCUGAAAAAUUUAUGGUGAAUAGAUAUAUGAGUCUAGUUUUAGGGAAAAUUUAUGGAUCUAAAUUUCGAGUUUAGUACCUUUAAUUAUAAUUAUUUUAGUGACUGCUGCACAGGUGGACAACUUUAUUAUGAAUGAUGAAAUUAAAUUUGAAAGUAAAUUUUUAUGCCCCGAACUUUUAAGUUAAGUCAAGUAACGCCUCAUGCUCGACUCCGGCAACGGUAUUGGGUAAGGGGUGUUACAUGAACUACUUCAUAUACCACACAACCUAGGACAUGGGGGUGUCACUUGGCCGUGUGAGCCACACGGCCUGACCACACGGGCGUCUGACCCUUGCACCUAGGAAAAAUUUUACAAUUUCGAGAAAAAUUCUUUGAGUUCCUUAUUUAGUCCCGACUAGUUUCUAAUGUAUGUUUUGGGUCUCGAGGAACUUAAUAAGGAAAUUUACGAUAUAUUUUUUGACAUGAAUGUUAAAAUGAUAUAAAAUGUCUGUAUUUAUUCCUUAAGUUCUGGUAAUGCUCCGUAACCUAGUUCCGGUGACGGAUACGGGUUAGGGGUGUUACAGUAAGAUUCACAUAAACAUCAUUUAAUUCAUCAACUUGUUUAUAUGAUCAUGAAUCGUUUCAUUUGUAGACUUACCGUGUCAUUUCCUUUAAUUAUCUGUUGAACCAUCUAGAAUUGCAUCGGAUACUCGGGAGUGUUCACACAUAGUGUGCCUUUCUAUAUAACCGUAACUUUUCCUUUUCAAUAGUGCUUACACGAGCUGUGAAAUGGGCCUGCUUAUACGAGCUAUGGGUCGGAAUGUUAGCUACACGAUGCUACUCACAUGAGCUGUGGAGAAUCCGUAACAAAUGUAGGACCUCAACCAUCAGUAGGAAAUUCAAGACCAGCACCCGGAACAUCAAAUCCCUAAUGACAUGUCAUUCGUAUCCUAAGAAUUCUUACGGUUCAAAGAAGACUCGAUAUCCAUCAAUUAUUUAAACAUCGAUACAUACACAAUUACAAGUCCGUUAUAUUAAUGCAACAUAGCAAAUAAUAAAUUUAGCUAACAUUAAUACAUUCAUAAUUCAUACAAACAUACCUCGAUAACUUUGGUCAAAAAAGUAGAGUCGAACACUAAUCCAAAACUUUAGUCUUUCCUUAAUUUAAGUCUGAUUGUGGUUUAUCUUGAUCUAAAUAAAUAAUUUCAUUCAAUUCAGUACUUCUACUAUUCAAUUUAAUCCAUAAUUCAUAUGUAUGUAAAAUUACAAAAUUACCCCUAAGAUUUUAACUUUUUACAAUUUAGUCCUUAAGCUCAUAAUUUGAAAUUUAACCAUUUUAAUCCUUUAUACAAGCUAGUCGAAUUUCUUAAGGACUCAUACCAACCCACCUAAACCAUUAUUUCAUAAUUUUACCAUGAAAUUUUACUAUCUUCUCUAAUAAAUCCCUAAAUGCAAUUUCAUAAAAAAUCACUUAACAAAACAUGUUUAUUUUACAACCAAGAUUAAUAAUCUAUCAAAUAACUUCAAAACCUAUUAAAAAAACAUGAAAAGUCCCUCAACCUUUAAUAGUUUUGCAAAUUAACCCCCGAGCUACCUAGAUUAAGCUAAAAUUAACUCAAGAACAUAAAAAUCAUUAAAAACAAAUAUUGAAUUCAUACCAUGAAAGAGUAAUAUGCUUGGCCGAAACUUCCUUAUUCUCUAAUGGCUAUUUUAGGGUUUGAAAAAAAAAAAAGAAGACAACAUCUUAUUUUGUAUUUUAUUUACUUAGUUUUUCUUUUAUUUACCAAUUUACUACUUUAACCUUAUUAUUAAUAAAUUUUUUUUAAAAAAUUUAUUAAAUUUACCACUCAAAUCCAUUAAAUUUCAAUAAAUUUACUACUUUAACCUUAUUAUUAACCACUAACUUUAAAUAUGGUAUAUUUACCACUAAGUCCAUUAAAUUUCCUUUCCAUAGCCAUUUAGCCCUUUUUAACUAAUAGAAUUCAAAUUUUACACUUUUUAUGAUUUAGUCCUUUUUACCUAAUUAACCAUUUAAACUUCAAAAUUUCUUAACGAAACUUUAAUAAAACCUUAAAAUAAUCUCGUAGGCAUUAAAUAAAUAUUAAAAUAAUAACUCACUCGUCAAAAUUGUGGUCCCAAUGCCACUUUUUUCGACACCAUUGAAAACAGGCUGUUACAACAACUAAUCACUAUGAAUAAUGUCGAGUCUUGGUUAAUAAUCAAGUGACAUACCUUUUGAGUCACUUGAUAGUUUUAAUUUGCAACUAUUGGAACAUUAUAUAUAUUUUAUAAAUUUUCCAACGAUCACUCUAAAAGAACAAUUAUUAGUCAAAAUAGUUGUUGUUCAAAACAACCAUUAUUUAAGAAUAGUUGCACUUAGAACAUCUAUAUUCAGAACAGGGCUUCAGUUUAAAAUAGUUGUUAUCUAGUGUAACUGUCAUUUGAGAACAUCUCUUGUUUACUACAAUAGCAUUUCAAGAAUAAUUAUGUUUAAAACAACCAUUGCUUGGAACUUCUAUUUUGAAUAUUGUGUUUUUCCGGAAGAGCCAUUAUUAAGAAUAAGGUAUUCCAAGAAAUGUAUCACCAUAAAAUAACUCUUGUUUAGAAAAACCUUUACAUUGAAACAACUCACAUUUGAAACGAGCCAAAAUAAUUCUUUUUCAAUAAUAACCCUUAUCUUGUAUUUCAAGAGAUGUUUAACGGGAGAUGUUUCACGAGGUACUAUUUCAUAAAAGUAGAAGAAAUGAAAGUAACCCCGAAAUAUGAGAAGUUCUUGGGCUAGUUUUUUACACUUGAGAUGUUUUGAAGAACUUAACUUUAGAGAUCAUAUAUAGAGGUAGUUAAGAGGUUUCCUUUUGACCUUUUCCUGUAACAGUGGGCACUUUUCAUUCUGGAAUUGAGAUAGGUUGUAAUAACCCAGAGGGAACUUGGUGUUUGACCUUUACCCACUGACAGGUUAAACAUUUUGCAACAUAGUCAACGAUUUCGCUUUUCAUUUUGGGCCACCAAUACAUUUCUUGCAAGUCAUGACACAUUUUUGCUCCACCAAGAUGCAUAACAAAGGAACUAAUGUGAGUCUCACAUAGAACCAAUUCUUUUAAUUCAACAUAUUUAGGAACACAGAUUUGAUUACAUAAUGUAAGGAGAUUAUUCUUAUCUACAUUGAAAUUUUCAAUGAUGCCUUGCUGAACAAGCUUUUUUUUCUUAGAUAAAUUAAUAUCAACAAGUUGUGCUUCCUUUAUCCAAUCAAGAAACACGAGUUUAAUUCUCAAUUCAGCCAACAGGCUACUAUCAUCACAAAUAUUGAGUUGAGCAAACAUUGCCCGCAAUUCAAUUGCUACCUUUCUAUUCAGAGUAUCAAAUACAACAUUUGCUUUCCAAAGAUGGUAACUAAUUACACAAUCGUAAUCCUUCAGUAGCUCAAUCCAAUAAUGUUGUCUCAGAUUGAAAUCCUUUGGGGAUAUGAGGAAUUUGAGACUUUUGUGAUUUGUACAAAUAUAUUAUUUUUCACCACACAAAUAAUGCCUUCAGAUCUUCAAAGUAAAAACCACAGUAAUCAAUUCUAAAUCAUGUGUUUGGUAACUGCAUUCAUGUUGUUUUAAUUGAUGAGAUGCAUAUGCAAUCACCUUGCCAUCAUUCAUAAACACAAAACACAAACCAUUCAAUGAGGCAUCAUUGAACACUAUGAACUCUUUCUUUAACAUAGGCAAGGUUAGGAUUGGCACUUUGGUCAACAUUAUUUUCAACUUCUCAAACUUUCUUGGCACCAUUUAUUACAUUCAAAUGACAUGUUCUUUUGCAGGAGCUUAGCCAUAGGCAAAGCUAUUUUGAAAAACCCAUUCACGAACCUCCAAUAAUAUCUGACCAAACUAAGGAAAUUUCGAGCUUUGUUAUACUUUUUGGUGCUUUCCAUAGAAGGAUAAAUUUAAUCUUUUUAGGAUCGAGUCGAAUGCUAUCAACAAAAAUAACGUGCCAUAGAAAUGCCACUUCAAAUAAUCAAAACUCACAUUUAUUGAGCUUCCAGUAUAGUUGUUUCUCUCGCAGCACUUGCAAUAUAAUUCUCAAAUGCAUUUCAUGUUCAAUCUUUGAUCUCAAGCAUAUUAGGAUAUCAUCAAAGAAUACUACUAUGUACUAAUCUAGAUAAAGUUGGAAUAUGAGGUUCAUGAGAUGCAUAAAUAUCAUAGGGGCAUUUUUUGUUCUGAAUGGCAUCAUAAGAAAUUCGAGUGACCAUACCGCGUAUAGAACACUAUUUUUGGCACGCCACUAUCUUUUAUCUUUAACUGAUAAUAUUUGAAUCAAUCUUGGAAAAGACUGAAGCACCUUUCAAUUGGUCAAAAAAAUCAUCGAUACACGAUAGAGGAUAUCGAUUUUUUAUUGUCAACUUUUUCAGCAAUCUAUAAUCAAUGCAAAGUUGCAUUGACCAAUCAUUCUUCUUGACAAGUAGUAUUAAAGCUCCCCACGUCUAAAGCCACUAUAUAGGAGAUCUUGCAACUGAACUUUUAGCUCAUUUAACUCUGUCGGUGUCAUACGGCAUAGAGCAAUUGAUAUUGGAGUUGUACCUGGGUAAACUUCAAUUGCAAAUUUGACCUUGCGAUCAAGAGGCAAUCCUUCCAAUUCCUAAAAAAAAACAUUCGUGAACUUGUAUAUUGUUUAAAUAUUGCUUAUUUAGCUUUCAUCAGAGUUAGAGUUAAUUAUAUAGGCCAGAAUCACAUUGAAAUUGCCAGAUGGCAUCAGUAAAUUAGUAGGGAACUAUCUAUUAUGAAUUUCCAAUGGACACUGUUUACAAACUUGGUCAACGAGCAGAAUUUUUCCCCAAGGACUCGAUACAACCAUUGCAAAUUUUGCCUUUUUAGAUUUCAGACUUCUUGAUUUCACAAAACCAUAUUUUAUUUAUGAAUGGGAUGAACCAAGGUGAAUCAAACUAUAUACGGGUCAUGAGAGUAAAAGAAAUAUACCUACUACGACAUCAGUAGCAUCACCUUUCUCACAGGUAUGAACCUCAUAGGCUCGAUUUGGGACACUAGCCUAAGAUUGUUGAACUAUUGACUUGGUCCCUUUCUCAGACCACCCCUUAAUAUAGAACCAAUACGAGGAUUUCCCCAGCCCUUAGCAGCAAACCUCUAAGCGUUAGCAGAUAGAUCAUUAUCAUUCAUUGCGUAAAAUCAGGCAAAGUGGUCUUGAGAUAUACAAAAAAGCAAGCCCUUGUCAACUUCCAACACUUCCUCCAAUUUUUUUCCACAAUUAUUACAGUUCAAAAUAUCAUAAUCUCUAGCGAGACCUCUUAUAACACCCCUAACCCAUAUCAAUCACCAGAAUAGGGUUACAAAGCAUUACCAAAGUUUACAUUUCAAAACUAUAAAAAAUAUAACUCAUUUAAUUCACAACAUCAAUCAUAGCAAAUUCCAUCAAUAACAUACAUAUUGUCCCUUAUACGAGCCUUCGAGGCCCUAAAAUCACAUUAGAAACAAAUCAGGACUAAAUAAAAAACAUAUAGAAUUUUCAGGGAAAUGACGAAAAUUUUCAACCUGCAGGGGUCACCCGGUCGUGUGACUCAUAUGGCUGAGACGCAUGCCCAUGUCUCAGAUCGUGUGGGCAUUCGAAGUAGGGACACACGGCCCUAUCCCAGCCUGUGUUUGUGCCCGUGUAACUCUUUAACUUGGGUCACAAGGCCAAGCCACUCACCCGUGUACCAGGCCAUGUAUCUUUCGAAAUGCAACCUUUAAAAACCUACCUAAGACAUAUGGCCGUGUUGCCUGGUCGCCCGUGUCUCUGACCUUGUGAAUGAAAAACAAGACAUUUCCCAACCCUUUUUGUCCCAGCCUGUGUCUGUGCCCAUGUAACUCUUUAACUUGGGUCACAAGGCCAAGCCACUCACUCGUGUGCCAGGCCAUGUAUCUUUCGAAAUGCAACCUUUAAAAACCUACCUAAUACACAUGGCCGUGUUGCCUGGUCGCCCGUGUCUCUGACCUUGUGAAUGAAAAACAAAACAUUUCCCAACCCUUUUUCUCACCCAUUCAUGCACACACCUAUAACCAAUUUACCAUAUGUAAUCAAGCAUCCCAAAGUGCACCAAACCAUGCAACAACAAGUUAUCCAGAUUGGUACAUAAUCAUACAACCAAUAUGCCUAAAAGGCACCUCAAUCACAACAGUUAAACAUGUAUAACUAAAUGCUUAGUUUACUCUAAACUUACCAUUUUGUACACAUAUCAAAUCCACACUCAUAUGUACUAAAUUUACCAUUUAACAUUUAGCAUCAUAAUCUAUAAAUACCAACUAAAUUUUUAAUACCAAAAUGACCAUGUUCAACUUACAUAAUCUAAAUAUCAUAAAAACUAUAAAGUCAUCCAUCAAAGGACUACCUACAUAUAUCCACAUAUCAACCAUUUCAACCACUCAAAAUAAUAAAUUUACAAGCCAAUAAAUAAUGGCUAAAACAUCAACCAAAAACACCUAUACAUGUGCAUAUUUAUCCAAUUAUCAAUUAACUUGUUUCCAUGCCAAAGCAUAACAUAAUUGAUACAUAAUUUCCAUACCAUAUUAGAUUCAUUCCAUAUCUAGUUUAAAACCUUUCCCAAAGCAUACCAUAUCUUGACUAUGUUGAGGUCAAUUCAUCAUAUAUCACUUUGGCCAUUCAAACAUGCUUUAACACAUUAUCAAAUUAGCACAUAUCAACAAGGCACCAAAUGUACCAAGGCUACAUCACCCAAAACGACAUAUAAAUGCCAAACUCAUCAACUAACAUUCAACUAAUCAUCAACCAUAAGUUCACCUAUACAUGCCAUUAUAACCUUGACCAAGACAUCAAAAUCUACCGAUAUAAUCAUUAGAUAGUGUGAUAUAAUAAUUAUAACCUUGACCAACCCGAUCAAGCUUCUGAUAAUCUAAAAAGUAAAGGAAAAAAAACUACGUAAGCAAUGUAUGCUUAGUAAGCUCGUAUAAACUUUAAGUAUAAAAAUUCCAUUUCAAUAAUAAACUUAUUAGAAUAGACAAAAACCUAUGCCAAUGCCAAUAAUUCAUAAAUACAUAUGAUCAUCAACUCACAAAUGGGUAAAUUCAUUAAUAUCACAUAUAUCUAUCAUUGAUAAUGUGAUAGGAUGUUAUGGGACAUAAUGUAUAAUCAUCAACCUUUCUAUAAGAUUAUACACCUUUUAAUUUAGUUACUUUUCAUUCUGUACUCAAUACUUAUCAUAAGCCUAAACAACAUUAUCAAUUCCCAACUUAUUGUAUUUAUCCCUGAUCUAGAUAUAUUCAUCUAUAGCAUACGCAAUUUGUUCACAUAUAAAUACAUCGUUUAUCACACUAAACUUUUUAUGACGUCAUAAUACAUCCCAAUUACGUACUUACCAUUUUGUCCCCUUUUCUUACUCGUUACAUAUGCAUAGUACAAGCAUAAUUGUAAACAUCAAUCAUAUCCACAAGCUUGGCAUAAGCCUAAGCACAUCAACAACAUAUGUUAGUUCAUUUGAACGUGAUUCAUAUAAAUUAAACAUGGAUAACCAUUAUACUUGAGCACAAUUCAAUUGGAUUUAUCAUCCAUCUCAAAAAAUAUCAUGUUUUUCAUGUAUCACCAUUUCAAUGAGUUUCAUGCAUACCUAUCUUAGUUCAUAUUGAACACUUACCAUUUCAUUUGCACAACACAUAAGACAUAAAUAUAGUAUUAACCAUAUUCAUAAGUAAGUGAAUAAACACAUAAUUUAGCAUAAAUCACCGCAUGGUAAAAUAACUUUCAUGAAUAUAGCAUAUAAGCAUUCAUACUUUCCAUGAACAUGGUUAUACACACUUUAAUCAUUAGCAGCUCAUACGUUUCUAUACUUUCAUGACAUUGCCAAUUGGAAAACUUACCAUUCCUUCCCUUUAUAUGCCCGUUGAACCACUUAGAAUAAUAUCGGAUACACGAGAAUCUCACACAUUGUGUACUAUCGGAUACACGAGAAUCUCACACAUUGUGUACUAACAUAUGGUUGAAACCAUUUCUUUCUCUUUUAUCAAAUAAAUUCUCUCUCUCGAGCCAUAAGUUGGUCUGCUCACACAAGCUAUCGAUCGGAACGUAGCUACAAAGUGCUACUCACACAAGCUGUCAAGUAACCGUAACACAUGCUAAAAACUCAGCCACCGAUAGGACAUGUAGGACCAGCACCCGAAACAUGGUAACCCCUAAUGACAUGUCAUUUGUAUCCUAUAUAUUCCUAAGGAUCAAACAAGGUUCGAUAGUCGUCGUACGUCGUUGAAUUUUAAUCGUUUCUUUACUUGAUAAAUUGUAUAAUUAACAUAUAUAUAUUGAUGAAUUUUUGAUAAAAUCAUAUAAUAACAUUCAAUUUAGCCAACAUUAUACAUAGUGUAGUUUAUACGAACUUACCUGGCUAUUUUGUAGAACUGUCAAAAUAUAGGGGCAUUUUGGUAAUUUCUCAUUCACUUUGAUUUUCCACCCGAUCUUAAUCUAAAUUAAUAAUUUCAUUCAAUUUAUUAAAUUAGAUAGUAAAAAAAUGUGUUUUAUGCAAUUUAGUCAUUUUUGACUUUUAAAAAAUUACCCUUAAAGUUUUACUUUUAUUUAAUUUAGUCCCUGAGCCUAAAACGUGCAAAUUAGUCAUUUUUAAUCCAAAUCCAUGCUAGCCAAAUAUUCAUGGCAUUCAAUACAGCCCAUUUUUACAACAAUUUCACAAGAAACCCUUGUAUUUUUACUAUUUCAAUAAUUUAGUCCCUAAUUGAAAAAUUCAUCAAAAAUCCCUUAGCAAAAUACUUUUAAAUACCAACCAACAUUUUAAUUUCAAAAUUUAACAUAAAAAAUCACUAGAUUCAUCAAUGGAAAUAUUCAAAAUCCUAGUUACAGCAAUCUCAAAAACAUAAAAAUUAAAAGAAACGGGGCUAAAAUGACAUACCAAUUAAGCUUUUGAACAUGCCGAAACAUCCAAGCAAAAGAAAUGGCUUCUUCCCCUGUUUUCAAAUCAACAAUGAAGCUUUUAAAAAGAUGAAUAAAACUUUUGUUUUAUUUAUUUUAAUAUAAUUAUCAAAUUACCAUAUUAACCUUUGUUAAUAAUUAAAUAAAACAUCAAAUUCAUGUCCAUUAUUGUCCACUAACAUCUUGAAUGGUCUAAUUACCAUUUAAGUCCUUUUUCCUUUAUUCAAUUAACCAUUUAAUCACUCAAAUCAAAUAGUGAUUAAAUUUCACAUCUUUUACAAUCUUUUUAAUUAAUUAACCAUUGAAACGUUACAAUUUUUUGAUGAAAAUUUAAUACCACCUUAAUGCCACUUUGUAAAUAUUUAUAAAAAUAUUAAUGGCUCGGUUUAUAGAAAUGAGGUCCCAAUACCUCAUUUUCUAAAACCAUUUGACCUUAGAGGCUUACCACUCAAAAAAAUUGUUUAAAUAACAUAAAUUAUCAAAUAAAAAACCUUUUUAAAAUCACAUUUGACUCGUAAAUAUUAAAUAAUAAUAUUUUCUAACUUACUCAUCGAAUUUGGUGGUCCUAAAACCAUUAUUUUUGACACCACUAAAAAACGGGUUGUUACACCUCUAACACUGCCCAUAGAUAUUGACAGCCGACGAUUUUGGACCCUUUUUGAUCAACGGGCUUUGGGGUCACUUUCUAAGGCUCACAAAACUCUCUAGCUCGCUUAGGUAAUGAAUACGAACUAGAAUUCCUUAUCUACUUCUCGAAGGCUCGAAAGGGUUCAAUCCUAUUGUCAAGGCCCAUAGCCUACUCCACAAUCUUGGCUCAUUCAAUUAGGUCAGAAAAUUAUUUUAUUCUAUGGAGGACGGAUUAAACUCUAAGCUCAUCAUACAAUCCCCGAAGGAAUCCCUUACAACUUUCCUCUUUAUAAGUAUUAGAUUUAGAGCGUAUUUGCUGAGCCAUAGAAAUUCACACUUACAAUCAACUACUAAUAUCUCACCCUGUUUUAACAUUAUUCCUGCUUCUGAUCUUCCAAAUAUAACUCAUCGACGUACUUUUUCUAGAAUUCAGACUGAAAGAAAUCCCAAUUAAUUUGAUAAGUUAAAACAUGCUGGGUAACUAUUAGCCACCACUAAUAUGCCUCCUCUUUCAAGAGGGAAACUGCUUACAUGACACAUACACACGAAAAACACUCGAGCUAUUGUAGUACCCAGUUUUUUAUUCGAGCAAAACCUCAUUUGUCUACGGAUCAACCUUUUUCAGUCUUUUAAACUUAGUGGCACAAUCUUUCAAAACCCUUUUAUCAGAGCUCAUCUAACUACGAGCACUGAUGUUACUUGUGGAAUAGCUCUCGCCACUCACUAAAGAGCUUCCGCUAUAACGUGAAGUAAAUCUUCAUCCCUAACCCUUUAGUCAAUGUCUUACAACUCUAAAUUGAUGAUCAUCGGCUAAAUCAAUGCCAAGUGUCUCAAUCCCAAUUCUAUUUUUACUUUCACCGAAAUGAUUAUUGCUAUAUACAUCAUCACUAGCCUUGUUUUUGUUUUUAUUCCUCUAACAUCUUUAUCUAUAAAAUAGAAAAAAAUUUAUAAUCAAGAUCCAAAUCUUGAACCAGACAUGACUCGAUUUUGGCAUGUACUUCUAGACUUAAUUUUUGAGCUUGAUUUAAUCUUAAAAUUGGCUAAACCUAUAGCUUUGAUACCAAUAAAUGUAACACCGUGAUACCCAAUCUAAUCAUCGAAUCCAAGUUACAAUGUGUUACAUUCUUUGUGAGAGCAAGUGCAAUCAAAAUUUGUAUGAUUUAUACCAUUAAAUAAUUAAUUUUCAAUCAAAACAUGCAUGUAAUUCAUUAAACAACCAUUUUUGUGUCUUACGUGAGCUUAUGAAAGCUCUAAAACUAACUCAAGAUAGAUUUAGGACCAUUUUAUAAAAAUUUCAAAACAUCAAGUUGAUAUCACGAUGUAACAUAUUGAAUAGGCCUCGUUGCAAAAUCGAACUCGGUAUCAUACUCUGGUAAGGAAACUUGGGCUUGUCAUAACAACCACCAUUCAACGCUGUAACGUGACAUACUAUUUUCAAAUGGUUGAGUUUUGGUACAUGUUUGCAACUAUCUAAAGCUUUUCCAAUUCAUUUGCAAUUAUAAAUACAACCAAAUUCAUAUACCUAAUGAGUUCCAUAAUGUCUAAAGUACCUUUUAUGCACCCAUACAUUCAUUCUUUUAAACAAUUUUAGUCAAGUCCCUUAUUGAGCUAAUUGACAUUUAUUUACCCUAUGCAUAUGAACACAUUACCAAUUAUACUUCAAAACAUAACCAACCAUAAGUUGUGACAUUCAUCAUUUCAUAUGCAUAUAACAUAUGAAUAAAUCAAAAUACUAAUCUAACUCAAGCUAGGUACAUGCUGACUACCUCUUGGCAUAAUAUUGUCAGGAAUGAGAAUAUUACAACUAAAGAUAUGAAUUAAAGCGGUGUCCACAAGUAUAUGAGUUAGGUUGUAAUAUAGUUUGUACAAAAAAAUUUAGAAAGUACCCCGAGGAUUGUAUCCAAAAGAGGCUUGAUUAAACUAAAAUUAGCUCCUAUGCUAACAUGUUUAACUAGUCUUUAACCAAAUUAUAUUACAAUGAUUCAUAAAGUAAUGAUAAAAAUGAAUUUAAAAGGAAGAAUAAAAUAUUGACAGAAACAUGUUGUAAAUAUUAUCAUAUCUAAAGGCAGAAGACAAACUCAUUUCAGUGUUCAUAUUGAACUCCUAUUUCAGGUUCUAUUCAAUCAACUAGGCAUUAGCCAAACAGGGCCUUUCAGCCCUCCGCUAACCUAUUGAGUCGGCAAGCAUUGCUUAUCUCUCGAUGUCACAAGUCAGAUCAGGUCAGGGUAAAGUUUUUGAUCUGUCCUAAUUUAGUGUAGCAUAUUAAACUAGUUUUCACACUUCAAAAGCUUGAAAUUAAACAUAUCAUUAGGAUUUAAUUAUGUUUUAGUAUGUUUUGUUAAAAUAAAUAAAAUGUGUAAAAAUGAUUCCUUUAUUGACCUUAGGUGUCAAAUAAGGCCUAAGGGUGAGCUAUUGAACUUCAUAAGUGUGUAGGAGACCAUUAGAAGGUGUAACAAACAUAUGCUAGUCACGAUGUCGCAACAUGGAAUGCUCAAUGUCACAACAUAGGGAGUAGAAUGAAGGAAAUCAUAAGACUAUUUUUGAUGUCAUGACACAGCUUAAGGGUGUCGCUACAUACCCCUGAAGGUAUCCGAAAGAGGAGUAUACUGAUUCCUAUGUCCCGACACAGGUUCUGGUGUGUCUUAACAUCGACUCUGGACGGCAAAUAACACGAGCCAAGGGGGCGUUUUGGUUCACACAAUUAAACUUAAAGCUUAGGAAAUGUCAGCUAACCUAGGGUUAAGGACAAAGACCACUUGAAAUCUAUACAUAGGCUCCUUUGUCACAUAUAAAAGACACAAAUUACUUAACUUAGUUUUCUGCUUUUAAUUUCAAUUUAGCUUUUCUUUCUUUUUUAGGUUUUAGAUUUAUUUUCAAGUUGUUCUUAUUUAUCUUGAUAGAUCUGAUUUGUGGAGACGGUCAAACUUUGUGGAUUAAAUUUAUUCUUAAUAUAAAUUAAGCAUUUUUAAACUCUACACUUCAAUUCAAUUAUCAUGUUUUCUCUUUAUAUCAAUUUCAUAUUGUUUAUGAAAACCAUGAGGAAUUAAUCCUUCUUUGAGGGAUUAACGAGUGAAGGUAUGAUCCAUUAUCUUUUUUUAGGGUUACUCAACAGAUCAACUGUUUGGAAAAAGAAAAACUUAAAACCCUAGGAUUGACAACCAUAGGAAGUAAUCAAGGUGGGAUUUAACCCAAAAUUGAUAUGGUCUAUCCGUGAACACCUUCUCCCCAAACCAGCCUAGACUAUAAGGUCAGAAGAUAAGUAGUUCUUGCUGACUCAUUAUUUGAGUGGAAGAUCGAAAGAUCCUGCUGGGAUAUUGGCUAGUUGAUUGAUAAGGAACACGAAGUGACAGUUGGUGGGAAAUACCAAAACGAGCUAAUCAUCCAUAACUAGAUUUGAUAUAUCCUAUCUUUGACCUCUUAAAUUUUAUUUCUUUAUGUUAUUUUAUUUUGUUAUUACAAAAAAAAAUCUUAAAAAUUCUCUUUUAUUACCAUCAUACUAUAACUAAAUUAAAGUACUAAUUAGAUUUUUUAGUGUUUAGGUUAAAAUUAAUGCAGCACUCGCCUCCCUUGUGUACAAUCCUCAGAGUACUCACCUACUAUAUUAUAACUAUAUUACAACUAGACCUAUAUACUUACGGAUACCACCUCAUAUAUCUAUAUCUUUUACUGCAAUAUUCAUACUCUAGACAUUAGUACGUCCGAAAGUGGUCAAUUUUCACAGUAGAAUAUACUGAUUACGGGUUCAUAUCUACCAACAUGACUUCCUACGAUUGUCAAGCUUAGGGUUUAAUUUUUUCCCAACCAAUUGAUCCACUAAGAAACCUUACAUAGUCGCCAACUAAUCCCACAUCCAUCCGUUAAUCUUCCUAAGGGAUUAGCUACUCAUGUAUCUAACAAACAUCAUAAAUUUGAAUUGAAACAUAAACAUUUACAAAAUCAAAUAAAAAGAUUAGGAAGAUCCUAAAUAUAUUGAAGCUCAAAAUGUAAUCCUUAACAAUGUCUGAUGAAUCCACAAAUUGAAUCUUCGAAGAACAACACAAGAAUGGAACUAAAAUUUAAAAGUAAAAACUAACAAAAGAAUUAUGGUGAUACUAAAGUGAGGCAAAAGUCCCAUUAAGCAGUUUUGAGCAAUAACUUUAUAGGCCUAGGUUAACAGCCUCUUCUUGACCUAAAAUGGGUGACUAAUCUUCAUUAAAUUAUGUUGUGUGAACAAAAACACCAUUGAUUAAUUAAGUAGCCACAUCGUAUUGGUGUCGCAACACCCUCAUGCUUGUGUCAUGACACUGAUGACAGAUUGGUUCUUUGGGUGUCUCUUCAAGUCUGUGUUGUUACAUACUUAGCAAAUUGCUCAUUGUGUAUUCUACUUGUUGUGUUGCGACAUCCCAGCUCCAUUGUGCAACAUCAGGAGUAGUCCAUUGUCUUUCUAACCUAAAGUGAUUUCCUACACACUCACCUAACAUGUUAGUCCACCUUUAGGCCAAAUUCGUCUUACAAGGUCAUAUAAAAUACCUAAAUUGCUCACUUUUUUACCUAGUGCUAUGGAUAAAAAUUGAGUAAAAAUAUAACUAAAUUGCUUUCUAACAAGCUCAUUAAGUAGAGAAAGAGGUUUAAUCUACUACAACAAAUUAUGGUAGAUCGCAUGUCGUAUAACCAAUAAAAGGAAACUAUACAAACAUUUUUUUAGUCUGGGAUCUUUAUCUAGAUGUUAAAGUUGAUGCUCAAGAACUUGAUAUAAACCUAAACUGCACACGAAAAAAGAAACUGUAAGCUGAGCUAUAUAGUGAACUAUGAAAGCUCAGUGUGAGUUCCAUCACAAGGAAUCUAAAACAAAACAUUAAAUAAAACAUUUUAAUAAUUCCAAGAAUAAACACAAUCACAAAGCACUUUAGGCUAACGAUUUUUCACAUAAAACACUUCACUAUAAAUUUCUCAGAAUUCAAAAUAAUCAUAAUCAAAUAAUAAUUGAGAAUAUUGUUUUUUUAACUCAACACAAGAAUAAUUGGAGUAACGAUUAAUCGUACAAAAACACUGUUCAUCGAAUAAUUCUUUAUAGUAAUUUCACACAUGUCAUUAUUUUAGAUUACACAACAAUGUACAUAUGUAUAUAUAUAAUUCAUGUUAGAAAUCACAGUUUUGUAUGCACAUGUUUUUACGAAUGCCAAACAGUUUCGAUUUAUAAAAAAAUCCUACCCCACCCAUACAUUCCACAUUUGGGAGUUCCCUAGAACUCCUACCACCAUCACUCGAAAUUGUGAAUUAACAACCAUUAGUUUGCAGUUUUACUACCAGUGGCUGUGAACACACGACAAAACACCGUAAAUGGAAUCUGUUAUAGCUGUGGGUACAUAGAAAAAUAUUGUAGGUGAAAUCUGUCGAUGACCAUGGAAACACAACAUGUUCGUAAAUGAUAGUUGUCAGAUGGUUGUGAGUGCACGAGAAAACGUCACAAGUGGAAUCUGCUCUGGCUGUGGGUUUACAACAAAAUUGUCGUAGUUAGAAUCUGCUAAGGUUGUGGGUACACAGCAAACGAUAAUGCAAAUAUAAUUCCAUUUUUCCUCCAAUCAUAUCAUCCCUCCCCAUGCUAUGCAUUAUGGUAUGCUCAUAACAGUUUCUUAUGGUAGUAAUUAAUAUGCACAUUACAGACCAAUACAGUAGCAUUUAAUAUGCCUUUAAUGAAACAAUAUAGUGGUAAACAAUAUGCUCAUAUCGGUUCAAUUCAGUAGUAAUUAAUAUGUUUGUGAGAAAUCAAUCUUAGUAAUGGGAGUCAUGUUUCCUAUGGUUAGUUUAACUAUAUGAGGCAUUUUAUACACUCAAUCACAACUACUGAUACAAAAGGCAUAAGUAUUGUUAACAAAUCAUGCAAAUACAUAUAAAUAUAAUUUGAUUUCUGUAAACGUAAUUAUAAAUUCUAGCAUAAUUUAUUCUACCAGUGACUUAAUUGCAUAAAAUAUUGCACUAAAAUUAGUUUUGGAACAAUUCAGGGUCUAAUCUGCACAAAACAUAAAAUUAUGAGUAAAACUAUAAAAUUUAAGAAAUAAGGGCACAUGGUCGUGUGGUCAGGCCGUGUGGAAUGGAUCAGGCUGUGUGGGUUGCAUGGCCAUGUGGUCUGGGCUGGGUUUGAUUUUGCCUUAAUUUUCUCGUAAAAGAACAUACAACUGACUUUCGGGAUCUCUUAUGACAAUCUUUACAUCCAAAAUUGAUCUGGGACACCUACAACGGGUCUUUCAAUUGAUAAAAACACAAAAAUUAAUAUCCACCUUCAAUAUUUGUCGAGUUUUAACAAGAUUUCGGGAGAACCUAUUAAACAUUUAGAAUCGAUUUGAAAUAUUGUCAAGAACGAUGUUAUUCCAAGAUUUCAAGGUUCUACAAAAUUAAAAAUAAGAAUUCUUACCAAUCUUGGGACAUUAGAAAUGGAUUUUGACGGUGUUACACUAAAACAAUAUGAAGAAUGGAUUGAAUAGGAUAAAAUUCAGGUUCGAGAUUUCAACAAUAAAUUUCUAGCAAAAGAAUAUGAAUGUAAUGGCCUAAAUUCAAGGUUAUCGGAACAGUGGUUUCGGGACCACGAAUCCGAUGAAGAAAAAUUUAUUUUUCUUAUAUUUUUAUGGUGUACGAUUUCACAAAAUGAUAUCAUGAAAAUUUCGUUUGAAAUUUUCGACGUUUGGGCAACUCAAUUUAGUCAAAAGGACUAAAUUGUAAAAAGUGAAAAAGUUGAGUUCUACAUGUUACAGGUGUCCAAUUGUUAUGAAACUUUAAAUUGGAGGUCCUUAUAUAGUAAUUAGACCAUUGGUUAAGUUGGUAGACAAAAAUGGACAUGAGAUUAGUGAAAUAGGAAAAUUUUAAGUUAGGGGCAAUUUGGUAAUCUAGUAAUUAAAAUGAAUUAAAAGGGAAAAAGAUGGCAAAUUGUGCUCAUCUUCUUCAUUUGGACGAAAUCAGCAAGAGGGGAAGCCAUAGUUAGGGUUUUCAAACUUUCAAGCUCCAUAGUAAGUGAUCCCAAGCCCUGUUUUUAAUGUUCCUUACGUUUUUGUAGUCCAGGUAGCUUAAUUUAGCUUAUUCUAGCAAUAAUUUAACCUAGGGUUUAUAUUUGGAAAAAUACCCAUACACGAAAAGUGUUUAUUUUGAUGUUUUAUGAUAGAAUAUGGAGCUAGAAAUUAUGUUAAACAACUUUUGCUAGCCGAUUUUAAGCGAAAAUGAGUAAAACGACAUAAUCGGUAAAAAUACCUAAUGUUCAUAAGUACAUGUUAGAGUGGGAAUUUGAUGUUGGCAUAGAAGGGAAAAAUGUUCAGCAUGUCAUAAAACAUAAGAAUAAGGGAUGAAGUUUAAUUUCUGAGCCUUGGGGAAAAAUGUAAUUAUGUAAAAGUUUAAGGGCAAAAUGUAUUUUUACAAAGUUAGAGUCGAGGGCUGUUUUGAUAAAUUUGAGUAUUAAAUAAUUUAAAUUUUCUAUUUUAGAUAAAGAAGAACGAAACUCGAGGUUAGAUAAAGGAAAGAGUAAAGUUGAAGACUAAGUUGGUGAAUUUGACUAUAUUUAGUGCCGAGGUAAGUUUACGGUAAAUAAAUGCAAUAUUUCAAUAAUUAUUAUUAAUGCUGCUAUUUUCCAGCAACUAUGAAUUUAUUUCAUGAAUUUAUUUGAUGAUGAUCCAAGCAUGAUAGAAAAUUAAAAUUAAAAAGUCCUGUUGAUACAUAAGGAUGGUACUGGAUACGAAUGUCAUGACAUUUGGGUAAAGAGGUCCCAUGUAAGACCAUGUCUGGGACAUGACAUUGGCACCGAGAUGAGAGGUCCCAUGUAAGACCAUGUCUGGGACAUAGCAUUGGCCCCGAGAUGAUAGGUCCCAUGUAAGACUAUUUCUAGGACAUGGCGUUGGCACCGAGAUGAGAGGUCCCCCGUAAGACCAUGUCUGGGACAUAGCAUGGGCACCGACAUGAGAACACCCCAUGUAAGACCAUGUCUGGGACAUGGCUUUGGCAUGUUAUUAUCGGAAGAGGCCCAAGUAUCCUUAUUAUUCCAAUGUAGCUCAACGGACUAAUAAACGAAUCAUGUUCAGGAAAGUUCAGUUAAAAGCAUAAAUGGCGAGCUUAGGUAAGUUAUAAGAGUUAAGAGCUUAUUAUAUUAUCAAUUGAUACUCAACGUUUCAGCAAUGGAAGAGUAAGUUAUGAUCACGAGUUAACUAAGUAAACAAGCAAGUGAAUGAGAAUGAGAUUAAUUAAAGAGUAAAUUAGAGACCUUGACAUUUGAGUAUAAUUAUUUGUGUUAAAUGUUGUUAUUUAUUUGCUAGUAAACUUACUAAGCUUAAUGCUUACUUCUUUUAUUUUUCUUUCUCUUAUAGUAUUGCAAAGCUGCUUCAAGGAUCCUAAAGAAGUCGGAGAUCGUCUACACUAUCAAGAACAAUUGCUCAGUAUUUUAUGAUGAAACACGUUUGAGUUAUGGCAUGUAUAGAGACUUAGUUAUUUUGCAUGUUUGUAAUUAUGAUUUUGCUAAAGGAUGGUGUGUGAGUAUUUGAUGAUGAAUGGUUAUUAAAAUGGUUAAGUAUGAAGAUGUUUGUUGUUAUAAAAGUCUAGGUGAUAAAUUAUGCAUGGAAAUCAUGAAAGGGUAAAAUCUUGUAAAGAAAAAGAAUUCAGGCAGCACAGUGACGUGACUUUGAAAAAUCACCUAAGAUGGUAUAAAAUGAAUUAGAGAAUGAAUGAUAUAUGGAAUGAAAUCUUGUUUAGUCUGUUUCCAUGUAAAAAUAACUGUUUAGCAAAAGGAAAUUUAUAUUUUAAGAUAUGUGAAUUUUAGUGAGACAGGGUCAGAACUGUUUUUGGAGUCCCUUAUUCUGAGUUUAGAAAAUCACUAAAAAUGGUACAAAAAUAGUUAUGAGUUUUAGUUUAUAUUUAUAGAAUUCUUAUUGAGUCUAUUUUCUUUAUAAAUAAGUCGUAACACUAUAUGAAAAUCCCACAAUGAGAAAUUUUAUUUUUAGUGACAAGAGUUCAGGGCAGUCGAUUGGUGAAACAAGAGAGAUUUUAACUAAUAAACUGUACUAAUUGGCUAAGCCAAGAAUUCUAAAAAAUUUAUGGUAGGAAGAUAUAUGAGUCUAGUUUCAGGGAAAAUUUACGGAAUUAAAUUGCGAGUCUCGUAGCUCGAGUUAUAAUCAAUUUAGUAACUGCUGCGUGAUUGGACAGGUUUACUGUAAAUAGUGAAAUUAAUUUUCAAAGUAAAUUUUUAUGCUCCGAAUUAGUAAGAUAAGCUAAGUAAUGCCUUGUGCUUGACUCCAGCAAUGGUCUCGAGUAAGGGGUGUUACAAUGAAAAAUUAUGAAAAGGAAAAUUUGGGAAAAUAAAACAUAAAAGAUGUAUUUAAAGAAGAGAGAAAAAUAAUUCUAGAUAGGGUUGAAAAAGAUAAUCAAAAUCCUAUUAUGAUUACGAUAGGGACCAAAUGACAAGAUUAAGCAAACUUUAGAGGGCUGAUUUGGUAAUUAAAUCAUUUUUCCGAAAUUAAUAAAAAUGAUAAUUGUUGAAAAAAAAGGAAAAAUGCAAAAGAUGAAACUUAAACCUUGGUUUUUUAAAAGUUUUACUAAGCUCUUAAUCACUAAUACUAGGGCUAAAUUCAUGUUAAUUUUAGUUAAUGAUUGUAUAUAUCUAUCUCAGGUUCAACUUACCUAUUCUUUAUUAGCUUAUACAUUUACUCAUUUUUUUAUUAGUAACUUAUUUAACUUUAUAGUUUUUAACACAUGCCUAUUUUAGUUUAUACAUUAUAAUUAAUACUCAUAGUCAUAUCUCAUUAUUAAUAUUUUAAUUUAUUUUACCCCUUUUCUAGUUAGGUUCUAACUCAAUUAAAACACACUAUUUUUGAAUUAAAACUUGUAACCAAGUUUUGUUUUAGAUUAAUUAAUAUAAAAAUAAAUGAUUAUAUUAUUUUAAUACUUUGAUUUAAUUAUUUUUUACCCUAAUUUUGAUAUCUAUUUCAACCCCACGAUUUAAUAACUUGAUUCUUUUAACCUCCUAUAUUUUGGGGCGUUACAUUAUUUGGGAUUCUUUAGGUUUACGAGAUGUUUAAAAGUUUUAAAGAAUCCAAAAUCAAACUGCAUGGGCUAGAUCAUCAAUAUCAAUAACAUUUUAGCUGCAAGAUAAUAGCACCGAGAAACUUGCUCGGACGACUUGCUCGUGUUGCAGUUAAACAUUGUAUUUUUUUAAUUUGUAAGACACAAUGUUGUCGGUCUUGAACAAAAUGAUAUAAAUUUUUUUUUUUUAGUAUUGAGAAAGUUGCUCAUGUUGUAAAAUUACAUAUUGUAAGUUAAGUGAAAUUAUUUUGGAAUAUUGCAAUUGUAAAAUUAUAUUUUGUAAAAUAUAAUUUUUGAAUUAUGUAAAUUAAUAGUUAUAUGAAAUGUUGGCAAUGUAAAAUAAUUUUCAUGUAAAUAAUUUUUGUAAUGUGAAUUAAUCAUUUGAUAAAGGGCAUUUUUAAAAUAAAUCAAGAAAUAAAGGGCCAAAAAAUAAAAAAAGGGUUUGGGAAACAAAGAGAAAGAAAAAAAAAGAAAGUGAGAGAAGGAAUUGACUCAAAAAAAUGAGGAAGGGUUGAUUUGUAAAAAAAAUAUACUGAAGCAUUUUUAAAAGAAAUAAAAAACGAAAGGAUCAAAAAAUAAAUAUAAAAAAAGUUUAUUGACCAGUCAUAUCGCGUCAGCUGUGGCAUUAGUAGGGGGCUUGUGGGACUUUCCUUUUUUUUUUAACCGUUCAAUGUAAAAAAACAAGAAAAAACUUACAAGAGAGAAGGCCAACCACUUUUAAAAGGGAGAGUGGACUCUUUUUGGUCCCCCUUAGAGUUUUGAAAUAGAAGAAGAGAAGAUAAGAGGAAAAAAAACAGUUACGUUUGUUUGAAAGGUAAUAAAUACGAUUAAGGUAUGUAAAUAUUUUUUGAUGUGCAUGUAUUAUAUUAAAAGUAGUUAUUGUAAUGUAAUAAUUAAUUAUAUUUAAUUUAUAUACUUUUUUUUUAAAUUAUGCAGAUAUCAGGAUAUCUUCUUGAGUAAACGUGGAUUACACUUUAUCGAAGGUUAACGAAACAGUAAAAUUGUUAAAUCACAAAUUAUAUAUUCACAUUAUAUAUAUAUGAUAUUUAUUUAUAAAGUGUGGUAUGUUUAUUAAAAGCUUGGUUAAAAAUUUUGGUUUCUACACUAUACUAAUUCAAAAUAGAUUUUAUAAUGGUUGGACACAGUUAGAGAAAUGUAGAGUUUUAGAUUAAAUUUCAUUUUGAUGUAAUAGGCUGAAAUGCCCGUACAGCACUAAAAAUUAGGUUUUCACAAAAAUGUUUAGAAUGCCAAUUGUAACAGACUGUUUUCAGUAAUAUCAGAAUAAUGGUUUCAAGACCACAAUUUCAACGAGUAAAUUAUUAAUUUAUUAUUAUUUUAAUAUUUACGAUAUUAUAUUUAGGUCAUAUUAAAAAUUUGUUAAGAUUUUUUUAUGUUUAAGUAGUUAAUUAAGUAAAAGGACUAAAUCGUAAAAAAGGUAAAAAUUGAGUUCUAUUAGUUAAAAGGGUUAAAUGACUAUGAAACCUUAAGCUAAAGGACUUGAAUGGUAAAUAGAACAAUUGAGGGGAUAUUGGAUGUUUAUGGGCAUGGUUUUGAUGAAAUUAUUAUAAUUUUAAAGGUUAAAAUAGUAAUUUGAUAAAUAAAGCUAAAUAACUUAAUGAAUUAAAUCAUCUUCUUCCCCAUUUUAUUUUUCCAUGCAAAAUUACCGUAGAUAUUGAACUUGAGCAUUUGGUUAGCUUUCCAUUUUGCAUGUAAGUGGUUUUAAGCUCCGUUUUUAAUGAUUUUUUUUUAUGUUUUUGAGUUUGUAGUGGCUUAAUUUAGCUAGUCCGGGGGUUAAUUUAUAAAACUGUUAAAUGUUGAGGGUUAUAACAUGAAUGUUCUUGAAUGGCUUUUUUAUGUUAAAUGAUACAUUAUGAAUCUUUGUUGAAAAAUAAACAAGUUUUGUUAAGUGAUUUUUGUUGAAUUUUGGAAUUAGGGACUAAUUUGUUAAAGGUAUAAAUUCUAGGGUUUUAUUGUGAAAUGAUGGUAAAUAGGAGUUUUUUAAAGGUCCCUUGCAUGUUUGGUUAACAUGAAAUUAUAUUAAAAUAGUUAGAUUUUAAAUUAUAAACUUAAAGACUAAAUCAUAAAAAAAGUUAAAAUGUUAGGGGCAAUUGGUAAUUUUACAUAAAUAUGAAAUGUGGAUUGAAUUGAAUGUUUAAUGUUAAUUUAAGUACUUAAUUGAAUAUAAUUAUCUAUUUAGAUCAAGAUAAACUACGUACCAACCUAAAUCGAGAAAAAGUAAAAGCUUCGGAUUAGCACGAUUUAACCUCCACGCCCCUAGUCAUUGAGGUAAGUUCAUAUGAACAGUUAUCGUAUUAAUAUUAUUUAAAUUGAAUGUUAAUAUGUUAUUUAUAAUGUGAAUGGAUCGAUGUAUAAACAUGUAAAUGCUCUGACGGACAUUGAGUUCUGGUUGAACAUUAGGAAUUCUUAGGAUACAAAUGACAUGUCAUUAGGGAUUUCAUGUUUCAGGUGAUGGUCUUGGCUGUCCUACUGAUGGCUGAGGUCCUGCAUUUGUUGCAGAUACUCCACAGCUCAUGUGAGCAAACGUAUUUCACAGCUUGUUUGAGUAGGCCCAUUUCACAGCUUGUGUGAACAAUGAUGUAAAGAAAAUGUUACGGUUAUAUGUAAAGGCAGACUUUGUGUGAGCUUUCCUGAGUGUCUGAUGAAAUCCUAGAUGAUUCAACGAGCAAGGAAAAGGAAUGAAAUAGUAAAUAUUCAAAUGGGAUUAAGCAUAAUCUUAUGGAAGGAAUGCAUAAACUAAAUGAUGAAUUUCAUAUGGAAAUUGACCUAUCUUAUGGUUAAUUCAUUUGAAUUAUGUACAAGUGAGCUAACUUGUGUAUUUGAUGGUGAUAUAUAGGCUUAUGUUAAGCUUAUAGUUUUGGUUGACAUUAUUAUGCUUUAUAUUAUGCAAAUGCAUUAGUAAGUUGUGUUUAGUUUAUACGAGCUUACUAAGCAUUAAUUGCUUACGUAGUUUCUUUCCUAUGUUUUAUAGAUUAUCAAAAGCUCGAUUUGGUUGGAAGCUCGUCGGGGAUCUAUCACACUAUCUAAAGUCAAUAAGGUAGUUUCUGUGCGUUUUGGCCAAGGUUUAUAAUGGCAUGUAUAGGAUGGUUUGAGAAUGGUCAAUAUUGGUAUGUUUUAGGUAAGUAAUUGAAUAGGUUAUCAUGAAUGAAUUGGUACAAUGUUGACAUGUUUUGAUAGUUAAUGACUUGGUAUAUUGUGGUGCCUUUGAAUGACAUGUUGGUUGGUUGAAUUAGGGUCUUGAAAUGACAUUUUGUUGUGUGUUUUGGUUAUGUUUAAGUUUCUUUAAGGUGUGCUUAAAUGGGUUAAAAGAUUGUGCAUGGAAUGGUCUUGGAAAUGACUUGAGUUUAGGUAAAUUUGAGUCCACACAGUCUGAGACACAGGCGUGUGACUCAGCUGUGUGAGACAUACGGCUUGGCGACACGGCUAUGUGUCAUCUAAUGAUUUCUUAGGUUUCACGUCACCAAUGUGGUCAUGCCAAAGAGAAUGGCUCCACCAAAAUAAAUAAAUAAAAAAUUAUUUUUAUGGUGGUCACGCAAAUCUCAAUUGACACUACUAAUUUUUUUAAUUUUUAUUAUUAAAAAACAACUUAAAAAGAAAGUGUGAAAAAAAAUGUGGAAGGUGGUGGCGUCGUUCGCUAUGGUACCACCUAAUAAAAUAAUAAUUUCACUUUUACACUAAAAAAAUAAAAUAAAAUUCUGACACUAGUGGCGCCAUUUCUUUAUGGCUCCACCAAAUAAAAUAUCAAAUUUAAAUUUAAAUUAAAAAAACACACAUUAAAAAAAAAGUUGACACAUUUCACUAGUGGCCCCAUUCUUUAUAACUCCACUAAAUAAAAUAUUAUUUUUUAUUUUGAAAUUAAAAAAAAACCUAACACAUUAAAGUGGUGGCACUAUUCUCUAUGACUCUACCACUAUUAUUUUUUUAGCCUCGAAUUAUUUAGAAAUAUCAAUAUUUUCCAUAUAUUUAUAAAUGUGGUGUCAUUCUUUAUGACCACCAAAAGAAUUAAUUUUUUUAUUGUACCAAAUAUAGAAUAGUAUAUAAAUUUAAGUAACGACAAAACAAAUGUUGUUAGCUUUUUCCUUGGUCUACUAUUUCGACUGCAUGUAGAAAUAAUGCAUUUAUAUAUAUUUAAAAAUAAUAUAAUAUAUUCAUAAUUUUAUAGAUGCUCCUGGUUCAAAUAUUAAUAUCUAUAAUUUUUUUAUUUUUAUUUUUAAAUAAAAUAUUAAAAUUUCAUAAUAAUAUAACUUAUUUAGGGGAAUAAAUUAUGUUAAGACGAGUCUAAAAAGUGUAGUUUGUAGGUACCAAUAAAAUAGUACCAUAUCAUUAAAUUUUAAAGUUAACAGAAUAUUAUUAUACACUCAACCAUUUCUAAUAUCUUCUCUAACUUAAUUUAACUUUAAUUAAAUUACUUAAAAUAAUUAAAAUUAUAAACAAACAUUUUUUUCUUUUACAAAUCUUAAUCAUUUUUUUCUUUUUUUUUCAUAAGUUAAUAUAUAUAUUUUUUAUUUUUGCGCAACCAAUUUAAAAAAAAUUAGUAAUUUUUGUAUAAUUUUUUCUAUAUCAUUAACACAUAAUUUUGGUAAUUAUUUUACUCCGAACCCCAAAUCUUGAACUCAAACCCUAAACCUUAAACCUUGAACUCCAAGGUUCAGGAUUUGAAGUUUAAGGUUCAAGAUUUAAGGUUUAAGGUUCAUGGUUCAAGCAUUUGAGUUCAAGUUUAAGGAUUCAAGUUUACGAGUUAUGAGUUUAGGGUUCAGUAUUUAAAGAUUUCAGGUUUUAUGUACUUCCACUGUUAAGUUCAAUUUUGAGCUUAACUUAUUAAACUAAUUACCUUAAUUAUUGAUGAAUUCUUGAUCAAUUGAUUUUUAAUUAGCCUAAUUUACAUUCUAUGCCUUGAUAAUUUACUUUCGUUUCGAUUUAACAAAUUAAUUGUGUUUUAAGACAUGUUGCAAGGUAGAAUUCACUUCCCACGGAUAGAGUUGAUGGAAGAGGCUGGACGAAUGCCGACUUCUCUAAAAUCGGCGAAGUCGAAAUACAAAUUCGACUGCAAAAGAUCUUGACAGCAAGAUUCGGUCCAACAUAAGGUGCAAUAGACCGACAUCGUGCGGCCAGCCAGCAAGGGAAUCAAAGUUAAAUUCGAAUUCCCCUCUUUCUAGCUAUGACCGAUUCAACCUUGAGAAGUUAAAUAGGAGUGAAAGUCUAAUUUAGUUGAGUUGCUCUUAUGCGAUAAGUGAGCAAAAAUCAAUGAGCAGAUCGGAUUAUGAAUUUUUAUUUACUUACCCGAUUGGAAGCUAAUUUUAUUCCAUAAAAAGAGGACAAGAAGUAGGAGGCUAGAGAUGGAGAAAAUCGCAGGCAUAGUUCGGGUUACUCAAUUUCAGAAAUUUCUCUAAUUGAACCAUCAAGUGCCGAACAAGCAGCUGGAAAGUAGUCCAAAAAUUCAGCUAGUUGAGAGAAGGAAAGCUAGACAAUUAGAGUAGUAUUUCUAUACAAGAGUGGUUUGAAAUUCAUGUUUUUUUUUUCUAAUUCUUGCUCUGUUUUAUUUGCUAUGAGUGGCUAAAUUAUUCAUGCUUAGUUAGACACUUAUGAAGCCAAGUACAAGUUUAUUCAAAGAAAUAUUUUGUUCUGAAUUCCAAUUCGGUAUUCCUUAAUUGUUUAUUCUUAUCGUUCAAGGAAUUUUUCUAAAUCAAUCACCGAGUUAAUUUAGGAAUUUUCUUACAAUCAUCUAAGUACAAAUUGAGCAAUUGAAUUUCUUAAUUAAACUUAGAGUUGGAGAUGACUAAUGGCCAGCAGCUAAUUAAAACAACUAUGGAUUUAAUUUUAGAAGCCACUGGAGGAUUUUCUAUGGUUAAUGCUAGGUGAAGCCUCUAAGAUACUAAAUGCACCUUUAAUUAGUCAACAAAGAGAUAAUUGAGGGUAGAUUUUCAGUUAUGAACGUUCUCUAAUUGGAUUAAAAUUACUAGAGAUUGGAAGUCUCUUCGUAAGUGAUUUUUCAGCCUUGCUGCCGAAUUAGUCUACUAGGAUGAUUUAAGGUCGCAAAUGACUUGUACUUGGUGGAUUAAGGAGUCAACAACUAAGCAUUCUUUCUCUCUAUUUGAUUAUUAAAUUCAAGCAUUCCUAAUUCAAAUUUACUUUCGUUCAUUACGUUAGUUUUUAAAAAAAACAUUGAAACAAGAACACCCCCAUUUUUUUGCAUGCGUGUGUGUGGUUUACAUUAGUUUAAUUUCAAUUCUUCUCAAAUAGAUUUAACACGAGCUUCUUCGAGGGACAAUUCCCUAUUUACCCUAUAUUACCAGUUAAUAUUGGACUAGUAGCGGAUUUAAUUUGGGGGAAGUAACGAUAGCUACCAAAUUUUGGCACCGUUGUCGGGGAAGCGACGUUGUCAAAUCUAUUUGAUUUUCAGAACUUAUUUUGUUUUCUUGUUUUUGUUUAUGUAGAUAGAUUUAUUCCUUUAGUAUAUGUUAUUAAGGAGUAGACGACGAACAUCAAAGUCCUCUGCUAAGACCACCGAUCAACAAGCCGAAUCCUACAACCCCCACGUCGAUCCUAACGAUUUAGAAGACAUCGCCAUGGCCAACCAGACCUUGAAGCAGUUGGUUGCACCUAACCUGGCUGCUCAGCCUCCAUCUAUCACUUACCCCACCCUUGACAGGCCCUUAAAGCUCAACUCGGGAUUCUUAAAUUUGUUGUUGAAAUUUAAUGGACUACCAGGUGAGGAUCCAUACCGUCAUAUUAAUGAAUUUAUUAUUACUUGUUCAACCAUGCAGCCAGACGGUAUUGAAGAAGAACAGAUCAAGCUCCGAGCCUUUCCUUUUUCAUUACAAGGAUUGGCAAAGGACUGGCUAUAUUACAUGCCACUAGGUUCAUUCACGACUUGGAUAGGGCUGCAUAAAGGCUUUCUUGAGAAUUUCUUUCCGGCAUCCAAGAUAGGGUUGAUUAGGAAGGAAAUUUGUGGAAUUAAAAAGCUGGUAGGUGAGUCAUUAUAUGAGUAUUGGGAAAGAUUUAAACAGUUAUGUGUGAGCUGUCCGCAACAAUAGAUUAGUGAGUAGCUCUUAGUACAAUACUUUUAUGAGGGGUUGAUGCCACAAGAUCGAGGAAUGAUUGAUGCAGCGAGUGGAGGUGUGUUGGUCGAUAAAACACCCGAGCAAGCUUGAAAUUUGAUUGCUAAAAUGGCACAAAAUACCCAGCAAUUCGGUCUAAGGAGGUCUGAUUUGGGUAAACGAAUGGAUGAGGGGUAGUCGAGUAUGAUGGAGGCUCAAUUAGCUAACUUAACGGCUAUGGUAAGUAAGUUGAUGACUAGAAGUAAUUCGAAGGCUUCGCUGUGUGGUAUUUAUUAUUUGGAAGGACAUACCACGGAUAUGUGUCCGACAUUGCAAGAAGGUAUAAUCCAUAUUCAGCUACUAAUUACAAUGAGGGAUGGAGAGACCACCCUAAUUUUAGAUAUAAAAACUGAGCCACACCCCCUAGAUUUGAGCAGCAAAAUUCCCGACCAUAUAAUAUACCACACCAGCCCCAUCAAAACCUUAAUGCUGAGACUAAGACUCAUACCAUGCUUGAACAAAUGAUGAAGAUCAUGUCCAACCAAAAGGAGACCGAUGGGAGAUUCCAAGCUUUGGAAUCAGUGGUGAAGUAAUUGCAAACAAGAGCUUCAUCGACCGAUGUUAACCUUGGAAACUUGCAAGCACUGGUGAAUAACCAAUUGCCAUCACAGCCAGUAACAAAUCCGAGGGAUAAUGUUAGUGCGAUAACCUUGCUAAGUGGAAAAGAACUGAGACCUAUACUGAAAAAGGUCCGAAAUAGUGAUGAGGAGGACGAGACCGAGGUAAAAAAGUUCUGAUUCGGUGAUAAAAUAGAGGAGAAUUUAGCCAUGGCAAAGGCUGAUUUACAACUGUCACAAGCAGCCCCAAGGGAGGUAGAAAAAUCACACCUUCCGCAGCCCACUGUUUCGCGCGAUGCAACGAAUUUUGAGCAGGAAACGCAGGCCUUUGAGCCGCAAGUAGAAGGAAGUUUGAACGCUACUGACCAGCAGCGAUCUUAUGUGCUGAAAGCCCCGUUUCCAUAGCACUUGAGGAAGGAAAAAUUAGACGACAUUAGUGCUGAAAUUCUGGAAACGUUCUGCAAGGUACAAGUUAACAUUCAAUUAAUUGAUGCAAUUAAACAAGUGCCUAAAUAUGCUAAGUUUUUAAAAGAAUUAUGCACAUCUAAAAGGAAAUUGAUUAGAAAUGAGAGGAUUAGUUUAGGUGAAAAUGUAUCAGCGGUAUUCCAAAAGAAACUCCCACCUAAAUGCAAAGAUCCUGGAAUAUUUUCGAUACCUUGUAAGAUAGGAGACCUUAAACUUGAUAGAGCUAUGCUUGAUUUAGGAGCUUCUAUAAAUGUCAUGCCUAGGAGUAUCUACGACAAAGUACAAUUAGGUUCAUUAAAAGAAACAUGAUUGAUAAUUCAACUUGCUGAUAGGAGUAAUUCCUACCCUGAUGGCGUCUUAGAAGAUUUCUUAGUGCAAGUAAAUGAGUUAGUCUUUUCGGCUGAUUUUUAUGUUUUGGACAUGGGACCUAGUGAUAAUUCGAUUGAUGUACCCUUAAUUUUAGGCAGACCUUUCCUUAAGACUGCUAGAAUAAAAAUUGAUGUACAUAAAGGGAUUUUAACUAUGGAAUUUGAUGGUGAGAUAGUAAAAUUUAACAUAUUUGAUGCUAUGAGAUAUCCCACUGAUACUAAUUCUUUGUUUUCCCUUGAUGUAAUUGAUAAUUUUGUUCAAAAUGUUUAUGAAUUAGGAGAGGAUGACAAGUUAAAUGGUGUUCUAACUAAAAGCAUCUUUGAUGUCGAUGAGCAUGAAUUUGUUGUUUCUGAUUCUUUAAUUAAUUCGGUUUGUCCAUUAAACUCUUCUCAAUUGACACAGUUCAAACCGGAUUUCCCUAGCCUUCAGGUGACCGAUAAACAAAUUCCCCCACUGAUUUCACCACCUAAACUUGAGCUAAAAGAGCUGCCCGUGAAUUUAAAGUACAUCUAUUUAGGUGAAAAUCAAACUUUGCCAUUGAUAGUGUCGAAUGCCUUAAUCGACACCCAAUAAUCCAAGCUGAUUAGAGUUUUUAAGGAGCAUAAAGAAGCUUUUGGUUAGACACUAGCCAAUAUUAGGGGACUUAGUACGACUUUGUGCACUCAUAAGAUAGCCUUAGAACCAAACUCAAUUCCUAAAAGAGACCCCCAACUCCGAUUGAAUCCACCGAUGAUGGAGGUAGUUAAGAAAGAAAUUUUAAAAUGGUUAAACGUUAUUUAUCCUAUAGCUGAUUCAAAAUGGGUAAGUCCAAUUCAUGUUGUCCCUAAGAAAGGAGGAACCACAAUAGUUACCAACGAGGAAGGGUUAGAAAUUCCUACAAUAGUGCAGAAUAGUUGGCGAGUUCGCAUAGACUAUAGGAAGCUGAACAAAGCCACUAAGAAAGACCACUAUCCUCUUCUAUUCAUGGAUCAAAUGUUAGAAAGGCUAGCUGGUCGCUCACAUUUUUGUUUCUUAGAUGGCUAUUUAGGUUAUUUGUAGGUACCCAUCGCACCUGAGGAUCAAGAGAAUACUACUUUCACUUACCCGUUUGGAACUUAUGCCUUCAAGAGAAUGUCUUUCGGAUUAUGCAAUGCACCAGCCACAUUUCAAAGAGGUAUAACAACAUUUUUUUAUUUUAUUUCACAUAUAAUGGAGGUAUUUAUGGAUGACUUUACUUUUUAUGGUGAUUCAUUUGACCAGUGUUUGCAUCAUCUUGUGUUAGUGUUUAGGCGUUGCAUUGAUACUAAUCUGAUAUUGAACUUUGAGAAAUGUCAUCUCAUGGUUGAGAAAGGUGUAGUGUUGGGGCAUGUUGUCUCAUCUAGAGGUUUAGAAGUUGACCAAGCCAAGGUUGAGGUGAUAAAAAACUUACCCUAUCCGAGCACUGUGAAAGGAAUUCGAUCUUUCUUAGGGCAUGUAGGAUUCUACCGUAGGUUCAUUAAGAAUUUUUCACAAAUAUCUUUAUCUUUAUGUGCAUUGCUAGGUAAGGAUGUCACAUUUGAAUUUAAUGAGAAUUGUAAAAAAUCUUUUGAUGAAUUGAAACUGAAAUUGAUCAUGGCACCUAUCAAUCAAGGACCAAAUUAUGCAUUACCCUUCGAGAUUCUAUGCGAUGCUAGUGAUAGGGCUGUUGGUGCGGCACUAGGACAACAAAACGGUAGAUAGUCUUAUAUUAUUAGGUAUGCUAGUGAGCUAUUAAACCUGGCUCAAUACAAUUACACCACAACCGAGAAAGAACUCUAUGCCAUAGUUUUUGCCUUAGAGAAAUUUAGAGCAUAUUUGUUAAGAGUUAAAGUCAUUAUAUUUUCUGAUCAUAGUGCUCUUAAAUAUUUUUUGCAUAAAAAAAAACCAAUCCUAGAUUGAUUAGGUGGAUUUUUCUUUUGCAAGAAUUCGACCUAGAAAUUAAAGAUAAGAAGGGUAAAGAAAACCUUGUGGUUGAUCAUUUGAGUAGGAUAGAAGCUAGGGACGUGAGGAGUGAGCCAAGUGAUCUAUUUCCUGAUGAGAGACUUUAUAGUGUGUCUAGUGCUUUACCAUGGUAUGCCAACAUAGUGAAAUACUUAGUGACUAAAGAGUUCCCCACGAAUGCACCUAGGCACUUGAGAGAAAAAAUUAGAAGUCAAGCCCGGUUUUACUUAUGGGAGGAGCCAUACCUUUGGCGAUUUUGUAGAGACCAAAUAAUUAGGCAUUGUGUCGAUGAUAGUGAGAUUGAAUCCGUACUUAAUUUUUGUUAUUCUCGAGAGGGUGGAGGACAUUUUGGACCUAAGAGAACAGCUCAUAAGAUACUUGUGUAUGGGUUAUUUUGGCCGACUAUUCAUAAAGACUCAUACGCAUAUUGUAAAAAUUGUGCAUCAUGUCAAAGAACUGAAAACUUAAGUAGUAAAAAUCAAAUGCCAUUACAUAAUUUCUAUAUUUGUGAUAUAUUUGACGUGUGGGGUAUUGAUUUUAUGGGGCUUUUCCCUUUUUCUUUCGGUUAUUUAUACAUUCUUGUGUGUGUUGAUUACUUGCCGAAAUGGGUAGAAGCAUUUCCAACUAGGACCGAUGAUGCUAAGACUAUGGUGAAACUUCUUAAGACCAACAUCUUAAAUAGAUAUGGAGUACCAAGGGCUAUAAUUAGUGACAAGGGAACCCAUUUCUGUAAUUGAACCUUGAGAGCCUUAUUUGCACAAUAUGGUGUCACCCACAAGGUAUCGACAGCAUAUCACCCUCAAACCAAUGGGCAAGCUGAGAGUAGAAACAAGGAAAUUAAGGGAAUUUUAGAGAAGAUUGUCAAGCCUAAUAGGAAAGAUUGGAGCCAAAGGUUAGAUGAAGCAUUGUGGGCUGUUCGAACAGCUUACAAAACGCCAAUAGGGAUGUCGCCUUAUAGGGUUGUUUUUGGAAAGGCAUGUCAUCUUCCUGUAGAGCUAGAACAUAAGUCAUUUUGGGCUGUUAAGCAAUGCAAUUUGAACUAUAGUUUGGUAGGGGAAGAGCGCAAGUUGAAGCUGCAAGAGUUGGAGGAGUUGCGCUUAGAGGCAUAUGACAAUUCGGUCUUCUACAAAGGUAAAUCGAAGGCAUUUCAUGACUCAAAGCUAAUUCGCAAAGAAUUUAAGGUGGGGGAGAAGGUACUACUAUUUAAUUCUAAGCUUAAAUUGCUUCCCGGUAAGUUAAAAUCAAGGUGGCUUGGACCGUUUAUAAUAACUGAAGUGGAUCAUCAUGGGGCAAUCGAAAUUAGGAGCCUCGAUACUAAUAAAAUUUUCAAGGUAAAUGGUCACAGGUUGAAACAUUUCUAUGAAGGGGAGCAAACAGCUUGGUUAGAGGAGAUCAAUCUUAAGGAUCCAUGAGGAAUUGUAAUGUCGAGCCAAAGACAUCAAACAAAGGCACUUGUGGGAGGCAACCCACUCAUUUAGAGAAGUUUUUUUCUUUUAUCUUUUAUGUUCUUAUUGCUUCUUUCCAUUAGUAAUUUUUAAUUUUCUUUUGCAUUAGGGACAAUGCAAACAUUAAGUAUGGGGGAAUUAUUUCAUUGAUUUUCUAAUAUAUUUGAUGUUUGUGUUUAGCGAAUUUCAUGAAUAAAAUUUUAUUUCCUAAAAAAAUAAUAAUAUAAAAAUAAAUAAUGAAAAUGUAUUUUACGAAUUCAAGUUGAUUUUGGUUGUUGUAUGUCGAUUGGUUGGGUUCAAUUUUGUUUUCAGUUGACUGAUUUUGGUUUGAAAAAAAAAGAAGAGAAAAAUCAAUCCCAUGUUUAAUUUUGUACUUUAAAAUCAGAGUUGGAUAAAAAUUAGUCUGCUUAAUUGAUCAAUCAUGUGGUCCUUGUGAGGAAUUUGAGCCUAGAGAGUAAAGUUGGGACAUCCAUGCCAACUUGAGAAGUUAGUAUUCAUUCAUGUAUGAUUAUUGUUAUCGAUUGUCAAAUACUCCUGAACUUGCUUUAGAUCUUAUUAAGUUUAGUGAUACAUUUGAUUCACAUUAAUAUGAUUUAAGAGGCAUUAGGAAGUGAGCCACGAUUACUAAUAAAACCUGACCUUGACACUAUCUCCAAUUAGUUAGCCAAUUUGAAGCCUCAAUUUUCCAAUUUUUAUUGAUUUACCUCUAGAAAUUGAACCAAGCUUAAAUUAACCCACCUUCUCUAGGCUAGUUAAUUCAGUUUCGAAGUUCAUCUUGAUUUCGACAUAUGGUUGACUGAUUGAAGUGCUAGUUGGGGUGGUUUUUAGCUAGAAAUUAGGGGCUGAUUCGUAAUUAAAAAAAUGGUAAGUUGUAGCCUCUCUAUUAAACGAAAGAAUACUCUAAUGUGAUCACAUUGAAGCAAGACUGUCAAGUCAGGUGGCUGGAAAUUGAAACGAUGAAGGGCUGAUUGAAUCUGUCAUCCAUACUUCCUUUAAAAAAUUAAAAAGAGAAGAGAAAAUAAGAGAGAAUGAUGACUUAUGAAUGAUGAAUUUUACUAGUCUAAGGGAACUAGCUCCACCAUCCAAAUAAAUCCCUCCCAUCCUUAAACAUUACCUUGGCCCCAUUACAAACUUUGUUUGGCCUCAGUCAUAUCUCUGGUUUCUUAUGUGUUAUGUUAUAGAUAAGGUGGACAAGAAAGCUUAUGGUAGUUAAUUACAUUCGAAUUCAAUUUGGGAGUGACGCACUAGCCUAAACACAUUGAGUGAUGAGUGUUAAUCAUUUUUCUCUUUCCGGUGAGGACUGAUCAAGGAAGCAUUCGUAAAUUUUGGUUAAUUUUGAAUUCGUUUUGAAAUAGUAUGUGUACAGCCCAUUUUUCGCCCGGACCCAUUUACAAAAAAAAAACAACAAACAAGCCAUUAACUACCCAAUAAACCUAACCCAAUUACUACAAGCCCAAACCCGGAACCCAAUACUAGGCCCAAUAGACCUAGAAACCAAAGUCGGCCUAGGGUUUCAGUUUCUGAAGCCCUAGGCGCCGCCCCUUGACUUUUGGCUUCCUGCCAUCGCCGCCACCGCCGUUUGACGUCCCAUCCGCGUCCAUCACCACCACCCAUCCACUUACGCCGUCACCUGCAAAGAAGAGAAACAAAUGAGGAAAAAAGACAGCAUAAACAGUGGCAAAGAUCAGCUAUAAAAGCCAACAAAAUGUAACCUUCUUUUUUUUCGGGUACCCUUUGUAACAAAACUGAUAUUAGCAAAAGAAAUAAAAAUACAAAUUACGUUUUAAGGUGAUUUCGAGUACUCUUCUUGGUUUUUUUAUUUUAUUUCUUGUCUUUUUUUGUUUAUUUAUAUAUAUAAAAUAAAUAAAGAAAGAAAAGAAGUACCUUUCUCUAAACGUCGCGCCGGAAAGGGGGAAACCGAGCGGUUUCCCUUCCGUUUUGGUGCUUUUCGCCCUUCGUUCGCAAGAUUUGGCCUUAGAUCUAUGGCCUUAGAUCCAAGACCUUUGUAUCAGGAGGAACCAUGUAUUCUGGACUGAGGACUCCAAGAAAGAAAACCACAGAGGAAAUGUUAGGAAACUUGAACAUCAAUGCCAUAUUUGAAGAAAAAUCUGAAGAAGGAAGUACAUCAGGCAUCUAUCCCGUUGAACCUGGGAGUGUUUUAAACAAUUGGACUGCAGAAGAAAUGCCUGAAGUUUUUAAAGCUUUUUCAGAGUAAUAUUCAAAACAUACUAAUUGUUCUAAGCCUAGAGAAAAUGAAACUUUUUAUGAAAUGAAAGGGGCUUAUAUUUGAACAUUGUGAUUUCAAUGAAAUAUAUUUUUGCAUUUUGAGUAUAUAUUCUUUUCAUUCUUUCGCAUGAAUAGUCAUUUUGGAUGCCUUUAUUCCAGAUCAUUCUUUCAUUCAUUCAUGACCAUAUUAAAUAAGAAUCCUUAAAUUCAUACAUUCCCUGUACAUUUUUCGGUACUUAUAACAGGUCCCAAGAUAUCAAUGACAUGAGUGACGUUACUAUGGACUUAGGAAAGCCUUUUGAUCAAGAUAUGUGUUUAGAGGAAUCUCAAGAUUUUGAAGAUAAUAUAGAUUGCAACCUAUCUCCGGACUUGUUGAGGAUGGUAGAGCAGGAAGAGAAACAAAUCCUACCUCACAAGGAGACAGUAGAGACGGUGACCCUGGAAGAGGAAAAAGUGGUGAAGAUUGGCACAUGCAUAGCUGAAGAAGUAAAACAAUACCUCAUUAAGUUGCUUCGAGAAUUCAAGGAUGUCUUCGCAUGGUCAUAUCAAGAUAUGUCGGGGCUAAGUACUAACAUUGUAGUUCACCAACUUCCUAUAAAGGAAGAUUGCAAACCAGUUCAGCAAAAACUCUGAAGAAUGAGGCCUGAUGUUGUAUUAAAAAUAAAAGAGGAGGUGCAAAAGCAAUUCGACGCUGGAUUCCUGCAAGUGGUCAAAUACUUCGAGUGGGUGGCCAAUAUCGUUCCUGUCCCUAAGAAAGAUGGGAAGGUAUGAAUGUGUGUAGAUUAUAGAGAUUUAAAUAAGGCUAGCCCAAAAGAUAAUUUUCCCUUACGGCACAUCGACACCUUGGUAGACAACACAGCGGGGCAUUCACUGUUUUCUUUCAUGGAUGGUUUCUCUGGAUAUAACCAAAUUAAGAUGCAUCCUAAGGAUAUGAAGAAAACUACAUUCAUAACCCUAUGGGGAACCUUUUGCUAUAAAGUGAUGCCAUUUGGGUUGAAAAAUGCAGGGGCAACGUAUCAGAGGGCCAUGGUAACACUGUUUCAUGAUAUGAUGCAUAAGGAGUUAGAAGUCUACGUUGAUGACAUGAUUGCGAAAUCUAAAACAGAAGAAGAACAUGUGCAGGUCCUUAAGAAAUUAUUUGUGAGGUUGAGAAAGUUUCAACUAAAGCUAAAUCCAGCGAAAUGCACAUUUGGGGUCAGAUCAGGAAAAUUACUGGGGUUCGUGGUCAGUGAGAGAGGAAUUGAGAUUGAUCCUGACAAAGUAAGAGCAAUACAAGAAUUACCUCCGCCGCGUACUCAAAAAGAGGUUCGAGGUUUUCUAGGAAGACUAAAUUAUAUCGCUCGAUUCAUUUCACAGCUAAUCGAGAAAUGCGACCCCAUAUUUCGUCUCCUUAAGAAACAUAAUCCAGGUGUAUGGGAUGAGGAAUGUCAAGAAACUUCUGAAAAAGUCAAACCGCUCAUACUGUAUUUGGUAGUAUUUGAAAAUUCCAUGGGAUGCGUGCUUGGUCAACAUGAUGAGUCAGGACAAAAAGAAAGAGCAAUCUACUAUCUCAGUAAGAAAUUCACCGAAUACGAAACAAGAUAUUCGUCAAUCGAGAAGUUAUGUUAUGCCUUGAUCUGGACAACUCGAAGACUGAGACAGUACAUGUUGUACCAUACAACCUGGCUAAUUUCUAAAUUGGACCCUCUAAAAUACUUGAUGGAAUCAACCGCUCUAAAUGGAAGAAUGGCCCGAUGGCAAAUUCUCCAGUCUGAAUUUGACAUAGUUUAUGUGAACCAGAAGGCAGUCAAAGGGAGUGCAAUAGCGGACUUCCUAGCAAGUAGAGCUCUAGAAGAUUAUGAGCCAUUGAACUUCGAUUUCCCAAAUGAAGAUUUGAUGUAUGUUGUAACUAUAGAAAAAGACUUUCAAGAAGAUGGUCCUUGGAAGCUGAAUUUUGAUGGAGCUUCAAAUGCUAUAGGCAACAGAAUUGGGGCGUUACUUGUGUCUCCUAGUGGAGAUCAUUACCCUUUCACUAGCAAAUUGGAUUUUGAUUGUACAAAUAACAUGGCUGAGUAUGAAGCUUGCAUUAUGGGCAUCCGAGCAGCCAUAGAACAAAAAAUUAAGGUGCUAGAGAUAUACGGGGACUCUGCAUUAGUAAUUUACCAGCUCAAAGGGGAAUGGGAAACAAGAGACCCCAAGUUAGUCCGCUAUCGAAAAUUGGUUAUGGAAUUGAUUGAGGAUUUUGAUAGUGUCACAUUUAGUUAUCUCCCACGAGAUGAGAACCAGAUGGCAGAUGCUUUGGCUACCCUAGCUUCUAUGUUCAAAGUGAACAAGCUAGAGGAUAUGAAGCCUAUCCAGAUCAGCAUUUAUGAGGCUCCAGCCCAUUGUUGCAACAUUGACAAUGAAGGAGAAAAGGAUGAUCAUCCCUGGUACCAUGACAUAUUGCAAUUUGUGAAGAGUCAUGAGUACCCUGACCAUGCGAUGAAAAAUGAUAAGAAGACAUUGAGGAGAUUAGCCAUUGAUUAUGUCCUAGAUGGGGGUAUAUUGUAUAAAAGAGGAAAAGAUCAAGUAUUGUUGAGAUGUGUGGACGCUGUCGAAGCUAAGAAAAUUUUGGAAGAAGUGCAUGAAGGUAUCUGUGGAACGCAUGCCAAUGGCUUCACGAUGGCCAGACAAAUUAUGAGAUUUUGGUACUAUUGGUCCACCAUGGAAGGGGAUUGCAUUAAUUAUGCCAAAAAGUGCCAUAAAUGUCAAAUUUAUGGUGACAAAAUACACGCACCACCGUCACCUCUUCAUGUUAUGGUUUUUCCAUGGCCUUUCUCCAUGUGGGGAAUGGAUGUUAUUGGGCCCAUAUCUCCGAAGGCUUCUAAUGGACAUCGUUUUAUCUUUGUGGUUAUUGAUUACUUCACUAAAUGGGUGGAGGCUGCUUCGUAUGCAAAUGUCACGAAGUUAGCAGUUAGCAAGUUUCUGAAAAAAGAGAUCAUAUGUCGAUACGAGAUGCCUGAAAGGAUCAUAUCCGAUAAUGCACUGAACUUGAACAACAACUCAAUAGCGGAAGUUUGUAGUCAGCUCAAGAUCAGACACCAGAAUUCGUCACCGUACCGUCCAAAAAUGAAUGGUGCCGUGGAAGCAGCUAACAAAAAUAUCAAGAAAAUUGUAAGGAAAAUGACUGAAACCUACAAAGACUGGCACGAGAAAUUACCUUUUGCCCUUCUGGCAUAUCGUACCUCUGUUAGGACCUCUACGGGGGCAACGCCGUUUUCUUUAGUCUAUGGGAUGGAGGCAAUUUUACCCAUAGAAGUUGAAAUUCCUUCUCUCCGAGUAUUAGCUGAACUAAAGUUGGAUGAGGCUGAAUGGAUUCAAUCUCGAUAUGACCAGCUAAACUUGGUAGAAGAAAAGAGGUUAAAAGCUAUUCGUCAUGGUCAGAUGUAUCAGAAACGAAUGAUGCGAGCCUAUAACAAAAAAGUUCGUCCCAGAGAAUUUUACGAGGGGGACUUGGUGUUGAAAAAGAUUCUUCCUCUACAAAAGGAUUUUAGAGGAAAAUGGAUGCCAAAUUAGGAAGGUCCAUAUGUGGUAAAAAAGACCUUUUCAGGAGGAGCUUUAAUCUUGAGCGAGAUGGAUGGUAAAAGCCUGCCAAAUCCUGUGAACUCAGACUCAGUCAAGAAAUAUUUCACUUGAAAAAAAAAGGAAGAAGAAGAAAAAGAAAAAAGGAGAGGCCAAGGUGAAAACCCGUAAAGGGCGCCUUGAGACCAAAGGGGAUUUGAGUUGAAAACCUGAAAAAGGCGGGUCAAAUUUUGAGAAGGCAUGAGGUGAACAGAACAACUCAAAUUUUGAUCAAAAAUCUGGGGCAUGUGGUGGUCUCGCUAUACCUGAAUCACAAGAAAGGGUAGGCGACAUCUUGGGGUAUCGACGAAAUACUGUAGAUUCCCUAAACACAUAUUAAAUGGUCUUUAGAAAAACUUAUUCAGGGAAGCUCGUGUUGCUAUAUCUGGGGCACCUGUUGUUAUCUUAUAUUUUGAAUCUUGGCAAAAUUUGUUGUCUUGAUUGAUGUAUUCAUUUCAAGCUUUGUUCCCUAAUAAAAUUUCAUUUUGUCUAUUUUUUAUCUUAUCUUAGGAAAAUUUGUUAACUCAUUCAUUUCGAGAUUUGUUCUGAAUAGCAUUUUGUCUGUCCAUUGUGAUAAUAUUUUUUCGAAAAUAUUUGGAAUAACGAUUAAUGGACUGAAUGUUCAAGCAAAAGGAGCUUUGCAUAUUACUCUAGAAAUUUCUAAAUAAUGAAGGAAUCUGAAACAGGACCGUUGUUUAGAACACACCAAAUUUGAAGUGUCUAAAAGGAAAAAGUCUAAAUCAGGAUUAUCCUUUUAAACUUCGUUGUCCAAACGUGGAUAAAACAAAAUGACAAAUGUCGUGUUAGGUGACAAGGCUUCAAUGAACAAGCAAGCAAUAACCACCACACAAUAGGAAGAGGUUUCUUCGGAGAAGAAAUUCCUCAUUUUGUGCAUGAGCAUUUGGUAUGACACCUUGGGAAUGAGGUAAAGGACCAAAAAGCUUGACAUUCUGUAUCCUUGAAUUGCGAUAGGAGAAGAUUGAAGAAAGCCGUAUCUUUCUACCCUUGGGUUACAGUGGGAGAUUGAUGGUGCAAAUUUUAUGUCCCAGUGGGUUGAACUUUGACAUUCACAGUAAGGGAAGCAAGAAGGUGCUGUAACACAUCAGUCACAAAAUCUUGAUGAACUUCAAGUAAUGAUAACCUAAGCGAGAUCAUUCACGAAAAAUAAAAUUAUGCAUUCAUGCAAACACCAUUCACACACGUCUAGUUAGGAGCAUUUGUUUCAUUUUGAUCAUGUCAUCCUAAUCAUUAGGCAUAAUUAGGUGCAUUAUACAUGUCUUAUCUCCCUAAGAUUACAGUGGAACAGACCGAAGAAUUGCAAAUCUUAUCUCCCUGAGAUUACAGCGGAGCAGAUCAAAGAUAGUAAUCCUAUCUCCUUGAGAUUACAGUGGAGCAGAUUAAAAGAUCUUAUCUCUCUGAGGUUACAGUAGAAUGGAUCGUAACAGGUCUUAUCUCAUUGAGAUUACAGUGGAGCAGACCGAAGAAUUGCAGAUCUUAUCUCCCUGAGAUUACAGCGGAGCAGAUCAAAGAUAGUAAUCCUAUCUCCUUGAGAUUACAGUGGAGCAGAUUAAAGGAUCAUAUCUCUCUGAGGUUACAGUAGAAUGGAUCGUAUCAGGUCUUAUCUCCCUGAGAUUACAGUGGAGAAGACCGAAGAAUUGCAGAUCUUAUCUCCCUGAGAUUACAGCGGAGUAGAUUGAAGCUAGUAAUCCUAUCUCUCUGAAGUUACAGUGGAGCGGAUUAAAAUAAAGGAUCUUAUCUCUCUGAAGUUACAGUAGAGUAGAUCACAUCAGAUUGAAGCCAGAGAUCUUAUCUCCCUCAGAUUACAGUGGAGUAGAUUGAAGCUAGUAAUCCUAUCUCCCUGAAGUUGCAGCGGAGUAGAUUAAAACACAGAUCUUAUCUCUCUAAAGUUACAGUAGAGUGGAUCGUAUCAGGUCUUAUAUCCCUAAUGUUGCAGUGGAACAGACUGAAAACGUAAAUUUAGUUCCCCUGAAGUUGCUGCGAAGAAGAUUGAAACUACAAGUUAGAUCUUUCGAAGUUGCAGUGGAAUGGAUCGAAGCAACAAGACACAGUGGACUGGAAUGAAGCUACUUGAAGAAGAGAAGCACCAAAACAAGUCAAGAAACGGCAAGGCCGGGCAAAAUGGGCCUUUCUUAGUCUUUGCUCUGUUAUCGUUACACGACAACGAGCAAAGAGGGGCAGCUGUACAGCCCAUUUUUCGCCCGGGCCCAUUUACAAAAAAAACAACAAACAAACCAUUCACUACCUAAUAAACCUAACCCAAUUACUACAAGCCAAAACCCGGAACCCAAUACUAGGCCCAAUAGACCUAGAAACCAAAGUCGGCCUAGGGUUUCAGAAGGCGCCACCUCUUGACUCUUGGCUUCCUGCCAUCGCCGCCACCGCCGUUGGACGUCCCAUCCGCGUCCAUCACCACCACCCAUCCACUUGCGUCGUCACCUGCAAAGAAGAGAAACAAAUGAGGAAAAAAGACAGCAUAAACAGUGGCAAAGAUCGGCUAUAAAAGCCAACAAAAUGUAACCUUCUUUUUUUUUAGGUACUCUUUGUAACAAAACUGAGAUUAGCAAAAGAAAUAAAAAUACAAACUACGUUUUAAGGUGAUUUUGAGUACUCUUCUUGGUUUUUUUUAUUUUAUUUCUUGUCUUUUUUUGUUUAUUUAUAUAUAUAAAAUAAAGAAAGAAAGAAAAGAAGUACCUUUCUCUCAACGCCGCGCCGGAAAGGGGGAAACCAAGCGGUUUCGCUUCCGUUUUGGUGCUUUUCACCCUUCGUUCGCAAGAUUUAGCCUUAGAUCUAUGGCCUAGGAGCUUCCGGCUUUAAAAAGGAACUGAAAAGGUCCUAUUUUGCACCCAUGACCGCUGCCCACGGAGGCGCUACGACGGAGGCGUGCCGGAGCUUUUGGCCGAAAUCCAUGGCUGGAUGAAAAAGGGGGAGAGAUUUUUUUAGUUUUUUUUAGAAGGAGAAGAAGAAAAUGAUGAUUUUAAAAAAUUUUCGGGUUUAAAUAACCCUCACAAAACGACAUCGUUUUACCGUAUAGAGUCAGGUGCCAAAACGACGCCGUUUUGGCCCUGACCCGCGCGGUGACUCGAACCAGGGGAGGAUCCGCGCGUUUUCUGCAAAUAGGUUAUUUGCGCAAUCGAUCCCUCUGAUUUUGUGGCACUUUCAAGGAAGUUUUUCGCAUAUUUUCAAUUUUGGCCAUGAAUUUUCACAUCUGUUUCGAUUUGGUCCCUCGACCAUGUGCGUGAGUUUCACUGGAACGAUGUCAUUUGGUUAGCGAGGGGAUAUUUCCUAGUUUGGUCCCCCUCUUUCGGCGCGCGUCACAAUUUUACCCUUUUUGUUUUUUAUUUCGAUUUCGCCCAGUACUUUUGUUUUUAUUUCGAUUUAGUCCAUAUCUUAGCAUUCUUAUUAUUUUUAAUAUUACUAUUAUUAUUAUUAUUAUUAUUAUCUUUGUUAUUAUUAUUAAUAUUUAUGUUAUUAUUAUCAUUAUAUUUCUACUUAUAUUUACUUAUGUUUUUUUAAAGUAUAUGUGCUGUAUUAUAUUAUUAUUAUGUAAAUAUUUCAUAUAUAGUUUAUUUAGUAUAUAUUAAAUACUUUUUAUAUACGUGUAUAUCUAUAUAUUCUUUUUCUCAUGAAUAUAUGUAUACAUACUCAUUUUUUUAUGAAUAUAUUUAUUUUAUUUCAAUAAUUUUAAAAUAUACCUAUACAUAUUUUUUAUAUUUUUAUAAAUUUAUGUGUGUACAUAUGUUUUUAUAACAUACAUAAUAAUACACAUAUAUCUUUCAUAUUUCCAUAAUUUUAUGUAUAUACAUACAUGUAUAUCUCCCUUAUAUGCACAUACAUUUUUUAUAUAUUUUAUAAUUUUCAUAUAUUUUCAUAUAUUUUUCAUUCAUGAAUUUACUUAUAUGUUCAUGUUUAUGCUUUAGUUUAUUUAUUUAUUUAAUUGUUAUGGUACAUGUAUGAUUGAUUUAUUUUAUUAUUCGUUUUUGUUCAUUAUUUUUUAUACACAUUAUUAUGUUUAUUAUUCCAUCAUGCACAUAAAUAUCAUAUUUCAAAAAAGGAAAAUAUUUCAAAUUGAGGCAAUAUUUAGCGUUUGGAAAUUCGAGAAAACAUGCCCUAAGGUGUUGGGUGUCGAUUUUUUCUCGUUCGACCAAAUAGCUAAAUAUCAUUUUAGGAAUUUUAAAAUAAGGCAAUGUUUUGCGUUUGGAAAUUCGAGAAAACAUGCCCUAAGGUGCUGGGUGUUGAUUUUUCUCGUUCAACCAAAUAGCUAAAUAUCCUUUCAAAAAUUUCAAAAUAAAGCAAUGUUUUGCGUUUGGAAAUUCGAGGAACGUGCCCUAAGGUGCUGGGUUUCGAUUUCUCGUUUAACCAAAUUGCCAAAUAUCCUCUUGAAUUUUAAUCCAUCCCAUUCGAUUUUUUUAAGGAUCGUAUUUUAAAUUCCUUUAAGGUUUUUAGAUUUUCGACACUAAAAAAUUAAUUAAUCAACUAGGUACCAAUUUUGGGCGUAUCGAGGGUGCUAAUCCUUCCUUGUGCGUAACCGACUCCCGAACCCAUUUUUCUGAAUUUCGUGGACCAAACUUGUUGUUUUAAUAAAAUCAAAUCGAUUAUUAAAAACAACCACUUUUCGAGGUGAUCCGAUCACACCUCAUCAAAAAGGAUUGGUGGAGACUCCCAUUUUCGUUUUCAUUUUUCACAACCCAAGUCGACCCCGUUUUUUUAAUCAAAAAAAUGGUGUCAACAGUAUGUAUAUAUUUGUGGAUUUCAAGCAGAUUUUCUUUUCUUUGAUAAACCAAAAUCUAGGAUUGAUGAUUCCAAAAUUCAUCCCAAGCAUGAAAGAUGCAACAACACUUGAUUCGACUUGAUUUCUUGCAUGAUUGUUUUUGACUUGAUUCUCGACUCUUCGGAAUUGCUCGACGAUGAUCAAUAGCUUAAGUAUGGGGGAGUUUGUUAAGUUCAAUUUUGAGCUUAACUUAUUCAACUAAUUACCUUAAUUAUUGAUGAAUUCUUGAUCAAUUGAUUUUUAAGUAGCCUAAUUUACAUUCUAUGGCUUGAUGAUUUACUUUCGUUCCGAUUUAAAAAAUUAAUUGUAUUUUAAGACAUGUUGCAAGGUAGAAUUCACUUCCCACGGAUAGAGUUGAUGGAAGGGGCUGGGCGAAUGCUGACUUCUCUAAAAUCGACGAAGUCGAAAUACAAAUUCGACCGCAAAAGAACUUGACAGCAAGAUUCGGUCCAACAUAAGGUGCAAUAGACCGACAUCGUGCGAUCAACCAGCAAAGGAAUCAAAGUUAAAUUUGAAUUCCCCUCUUUCUAGCUAUGAACGAUUCAACCUUGAGAAGUUAAAUAGGAGUGAAAGUCUAAUUUAGUUGAGCUGCUCUUAUGCGAUAAGUGAGAAAAAAAUCAUGGAGCUGAUCGGAUUAUGAUUUUGAUUUACUUAUCCGAUUGGAAGCUAAUUUUAUUCCAUAAAAAGAGGACAAGAAGCAGCAGGCUAGAGAUGGAGAAAAUCGCAGGCAUAGUUCGGGCUACUCAAUUUCAGAAAUUUCUCUAAUUGAACCAGCAAGUGCCGAACAAGCAGCUGGAAAGUAGUCCAAAAAUUCAGCUAGUUGAGAGAAGGAAAGGUAGACAAUUAGAGUAGUAUUUCUAUACAAGAGUGGUUCAAAAUUCAUGUUUUUUUUAAUUCUUGCUCUGUUUUAUUUGCUAUGAGUGGCUGAAUUAUUCAUGCUUAGUUAGACACUCAUGAAGCCAAGUACAAGUUGAUUCAAAGACAUAUUUUGUUCUGAAUUACAAUUCGGUAUUCCUUAAUUGUUUGUUCUUAUCGUUCAAGGAAUUUUUCUACAUCAAUUGGAUUGAUCACCUAAUUAAUUUAGGAAUUUUCUUACAAUCAUCUAAGUACAAAUUUAGUAAUUGAAUUUCUUAAUUAAACUUAGUGUUGGUGAUGACUAAUUGGCCAGCAGCUAAUUAAAACAACUACGGAUUUAAUUUUAGAAGCCGUUGGAGGAUUUUCUAUGGUUAAUGUUAGGUGAAGCCUCUAAGAUACUAAAUGCACCUUUAAUUAGUCAACAAAGAGAUAAUUGAGGGUAGAUUUUCAGUUAUGAACGUUCUCUAAUUGGAUUAAAAUUACUAGAGAUUGGAAGUCUCUUCGUAAGUGAUAUUUCAGCCUUACUGCCGAAUUAGUAUACUAGGAUGAUUUAAGGUCGCAAAUGACUUGUACUUGGUGGAUUAAGGAGUCAACAACUAAGCAUUCUUUCUCUCUAUUUGAUUAAUAAAUUCAAGCAUUCCUAAUUCGAAUUUACUUUCGUUCAUUACUUUAGUUUUUUUUAAAAACAUUGAAACAAGAACACCCCCCUUUUUCUUGCAUGCGUGUGUAUAGUUUACAUUAGUUUAAUUUCAAUUCUCCUCAAAUAGAUUUAACAUGAGUUUCUUCAAGGGACGAUUCCCUAUUUACCCUAUAUUACCAGUUAAUAUUGGUCUAGUAGCGGAUUUAAUUUGGUGGGAGUAACGAUAGCUACCAUCCACGUAACAAACUACCUCUUAGGUUGCUAUAUUUAUUAAUUAUUAAUUUGUUUUAUGUACUUCCACCUACCAACCUGACGUCUUAAUUUGCUGUAUAGAUCCAUGUUUUAUGCAUGUUUUAAUUUUGUAUAAAGAUAAAUUUAAACUUUAAUGUUUAUAUUUUUAUCAAUUCAAUCUUUAAUUUUUUUAAGUUAAAUUUGAUUAUUAAAUUUUUAAAAAGAGUUUAAUUAUUUUUUAAUAGAAAUAUUGAAUAAAAUAUAAAUUGUUUAACAUGUUGAAAAAUCAGAAGAAUUGUGGGAAUUUUUUCUGUAUCUCAUUCCACCCAAAAUCAAGAACAUAUAUACACGGUAAAAUACAAAGAUAGAAACCAAAAUUAUCUCUUAAACUUUAGCAUCUAAUCUCCUAAUUAAAAGGAAAGAGAUGUACACAAAAACUACCAUACAUAUUUACAGAAUAAUUCCAAUACCCCCUCAAGUUGGAGCAUGAAGAUCAUGGAUGCCCAAUUUGCAAAGGAGAGAACGAACUGAUGACUGACCAAUAGCCUUGGUAAAUAUAUCUGCAAGUUGUGACAUUGUUGGAACAUAGGUAGGUUUCACAUCGCCUUGGAGAAUUUCAUCCCGAACAAAAUGACAAUCCACCUCUAUUUGUUUGGUGCGCUCAUGAAAGACCGGAUUGUGAGAUAUAUGAAGAGCAGCUUGACUAUCACAAGCAAGCGUUAUUGAGUGCGGAUGAGAGACUCCAAGGCUACCUAAUAAUCCCUUUAACCACUUGAGCUCACAUAUGGUCACAGCCAUGGACCGAUAUUCGUCUUCGGCGGAGUAUCAAGACACAGUGUGUUGUUUCUUUAUCUUCCAAGAUAUCGGAGAAGAGCCCAAGAAAAUCAACCAUCCUGUGAGUGAUCGUCUUGUCAUCGGACAACAUGCCCAAUCCGUAUCGCACCAACCGUACAACCGUAGAUCACUUUUGCUACUCAAAAACACUCUUUGACCCGAAGUUCCUUUCAAGAAAUGAACAACUCGAAGUGCUGUAUUCUAAUGAUCAAUGCGUGGUUGUUGCAUGAAUUGAGAUAAAAUAUGAACACUGUAUGCAAUCUCCGGUCUUGUGAAGCAUAAAUAAAUAAGUCGUCCAACCAAACGAUGAUACGGUUCCGGAUCAUUUAAAAAGGAACCUGUAGGAAGAGCUAACUUAUGAUUCUACUCAAUAGGAAUACUUGUUGGUUUGGCUUAUAAAAUUCCAACUGCCGAGAUGAUGUCAAGAAUGUAUUUGCGUUGAUUCAAAACAAUCCCCUCUGGAGAACGCGCAACUUCCACCCCAAGAAAAUAUUUUAAGGGUGCCAAAUCCUUCAUAUGAAAACAAUCACUGAUAUAAGAUUUAAAAGACUCAAUAGCUUCAUGAUUAUUACCUGAGAUAAUCAAAUCAUCAACAUAAACGAGAACAUUGACUUGAGAUGUAUCUCGUUGCAAGGUAAAAAGAGAGUAAUCCGAAUGUGAUUGUUUGAAUCCAUAAUCUUUUAAGGUUGUCGAAAGCUUGGCAAACCAGCAUCUUGGCGCUUGCUUGAGCCCAUAAAGAGAUUUCUGAAGCUUACACACUUUUCCUGGUUGUGUUACUCGAAAUCUGGAUGGUAUCGUCAUAUAAACUUCCUCUUGAAGAUCCCCAUGUAGAAAAGCAUUAUGCACAUCCAUUUGAUGUAAUUCUCAUUGCUUGGCUGCUGCAAUAACAAGAAAAACUCGAACAGUAACCAUCUUUGCAACUGGUGCAAAUGUGUUGAUGUAGUCAAUUCCAGCCACUUGAUGAUUACCAAGAAUCAGAAGACAAGCUUUGAAUCGUUCAACGGAGCCAUCAGAGUGAUGUUUUAUUUUAUAUACCCAUUUGCAUCCAAGUGCCUUUUUCCCUUUCGGAAGAUCCUUAAUCUCCCAAGUUCCAUGCUUUUCUAAAGCCUUGAUUUCACUAGACAUGGCAUCACGCCAUUCUUUGCUUCUAGCAGCUUCAGAAUAAGAUUUUGGCUCUCGUUUUGCGGUAACGGCUGUAAGAAAAUUCUGAUGUUGCACAGAAAAUUUAUCACAGUACACAUAAUGCGCUACAGGAUAGGGCUUACCUUGCAAAUGUCGUGGAGGGGAGAAUUUCGAAGAUGGACUUUUUCUCCGAAUGGUGUGUAUGACAAAGUCCUGCAACCGAACUGAGGACUGCUUUAAACGCCAUCCACGUCCCAACUCUUCCUCACCAUUGGGCAUGACAUUAAUACUAGCCCCUAGAUCAGCUAAGGAUUAUAAAUAUUCAAACUACCAAUUAAACAAAGCAUUUGAAAUUGCUACCUCAUUCCAUGCCUCGUCAAGUCCUUCACUUUGAAGGAGUGCAAUUGUGUCGUUCAUGGACUGAUUUGCAAGAGCUGUAGCAAAAGGAAAUUGAUCUUCAAAGAAAACAACAUCUCUAGAGACAAAGAAUUCCAUUUUUUCUAAGUCAUAUAAAUGUCAACCUUUCUUCCCAUAAGGAUAACCUAUGAACACACAUUUUCUACUUCGGCUGGCAAACUUAUCCCUAGUCUUACAAUGAGCAUAACACAAAGACCCAAAAAUUCUUAGGUGACCAAAAUCUGGUUGUCAACCAUAGAGAGCCUCAUAUGGCGUCUUUCCAUUUAAACCCGAACAGGGAGUUCGAUUAAUUAGGUAACCGGCAGUCAAAAUGCACUCACCCCAGAACUUGAUAGGAAGCGAUCCUUGAAAUCUAAGAGCACGCGUAACAUUUAAGAUGUGCCUAUGCUUUCUUUCGACUCUCCCAUUUUGUUGUGGAGUGUCAGUACAUGAAGAUUGGAAAAUAAUACCAUGUUCCACAAAAUAAUUCUCCAUACAAGUAAAUUCUUUCCCGUUGUCACUUCGUACCAUCUUUACUUGUUUAUCAAAUUGUCGAUUGAUCAUAGUGAAGAAAUUUUUGAACACUGAAGGUACUUCAAAUUUAUUAUUGAUCAAGAAAUUUCACACACUCCUUGAAAAAUCAUCAACUAAUGUCAGAAAAUAUGAUGCACCACAAGUAGAUAAAUUGUUAUAAGGACCCCAUAAAUCACAAUGUAUCAAUUCAAAAAAUAUCAACUGCAUGAUGUUCACUUAAAGGAAAAACUUCUCUAGUUUGUUUUGCUCGAAGGUACACAUCACAACAUUUAUUCAAAAUCUCAUCCCUACUACCUCUAUCUAACUUCGAAACAUGUUUAGUCAUUUGCAUGAUGGAUGACCUAACCGCUUGUGCCACAUUUCUAAUGAGUUACUGACAGUCACCCUCAUUGCCUUAAUCCUUGGAAUUUCUCGAAAGUAGUAGAGUCCAUCCCUUUGUUCACCCGCUCCAAUCAGCAUCCUCGAGGUACGGUCCUGUAUAACACAUAAUUUUUUAGUGAAUUUGAUAAAGCAAGAAUCAUGUUCCAUAAGUUGUGACACAGAGAUAAUAUUGCAUGUCAAAUUCGGUACAAAUAGAACAUUUUUCAAUAAUAAAUCUCCUCCAAGAGCAACAGAUCCUUCCAAAGUAGCCACAGAUUCACUCCCAUCUGGUAACCCAACAGGACAACUAGGAAUUUCAUGAAUAUUAUGUAAAAAUUUUAGAUUACCCGUCAUAUGAUUUGACGCUCCUGUGUCAAUAAUCCAAGACAAUUUCUUACCUGUCAUCUUCUCAGUCGUAGUUGAUCUCACACCCUUUAAGGCUUAGAGGAAAACUUGCCACUGUUCAUUACUAAGCCCAGGCAAAGUGUUUUCUUUUGUCUCAUCAAUGCUAGCAUUUGAGGACGAUACUCCCCCUGUGUGGGUCUGGACAGCAUUAGCUCGCUGUCCCCCUCGUCCUCGACCGUUUGAUUGAUGUUGGCCCAAAUCCUUGCCACGGCUUCCACCCUUCACAGUUCCUUGGGGUCGAUCUCUGUACCAUUCAGGAUACCCAAUAAUAGCAAAACAAUUAUCAAUAUCAUGUCCGAGUUGUUUGCAAUGGGAACAAACCCCUCUUCCUCCUUACUUUCUCCACGGCCUCGACUUUGCACCGCUAUAGCCAUCACAUUGGGGUGAUCUUCCACCUCACGAGAUAUGGUCUUCACUCGUUCUUCCUGAAUAACCAUUGAAUAAGCCUUGCUCAAUGAUGGCAACGGAUCGUUAGCCAAGGCGUUGGAUCUAACCGUGCUAUAUGUCCUAUCCAAUCCCAUCAGGAAGUGGUGAACCUUUUCCUCUUCUUGUCGCUUUUCCAACUCGGCUGAUAGUUGACAAGUACAAUUCCUGUAUUUACAAGUAGGCAAUUGAUCAAAAGUCGCCAAUUCAUCCCAUAUCAGUUUCAAUUGUCCAAAAUAAUUGAAAAUAAUCAAUCUUUUUUGCUUGCAUUCUGCAAGAUCAGAUCUGAGUUGUUGAAUUCUUGGACCAUUGGCCAUUGAAAAUCUCUCUCGGAUAUCAUCCCACAAAUCCUUAGCCACCUCGACAUGAGAUAUGGUGGAUCGAAGAGUUGGUUCAAUGGUAUUUCGAAUCCACGAAACUAACAACGAGUUAAUGGUCCACCAGUCUUCAAUGUCGUCUGAUGUAUCAUUUGGUUUUUUAAUCGAUCCGUCAAUAAAUCCGAACUUCUUCCUAGCACGCAACGCCGUUCGGAAAGACCGAGCCCAUUCUUUAUAGUUUUCCCCUUUGAAUUGUACUUGGGUGAUUGUAAGUCCAGGAUUAUCAAGCGAGGUUAUAUCGUACGGAAAAAUCAUUUUCUGCACAACCGUCCCUUCUCCGGAUUUGUGAUCGGAAUCACCUUUCCCACUAGCCAUUAGCAAAACUUUACACGUUCAAAACCUGCUCAUGAUACCAUGAAAAAAUCACAAGAAUUGUGGGAAUUUUUUCUGUAUCUCAUUCCACCCAAAAUCAAGAACAUAUAUACACGGUAAAAUACAAAGAUAGAAACCAAAAUUAUCUCCUAAACUUUAGCAUCUAAUCUCCUAAUUAAAAGGAAAGAGAUGUACACAAAAACUACCAUACAUAUUUACAGAAUAAUUCCAAUACAUGUAUUAUAUUAGAACCCAAAUGAAAAAAUGCUAUUACUAAAUGGUCUGAAUAGGCAAUUCAAAGGGUGGGUAGUUGAACGGGAUUCAAGGAACUCAAGAAAUAGCAUUAAGUUUAGUUUGGAUGGAUGCUACGUUUACCUCCGAUGAGGUUAAAAAUAAAUGUCUUGGUGAGAUUAGUUAGUGUGGAAAUAUGAUUUUCAUUUCAACUGAUGUCGUAACAAGGGAAGACUCUUCGUCCCGAUGGGUAGCCAAUGUUAUGGCAAGAAGAAGACUUUCAUCCAAACGACCAAACAUCACGCCAUGACGUGGCGACGUAUUUCUCAAGUUUCUCAAUUUUCUUUUCUCAGUUAAACUUUGUUUUAAUUUCUUACUUAAACUCUGAUUAAUCUAGGGAUAUUUUAGUCAUAAAAACUAUGAAUUUAACCUAUAAAUAGGCUUUAGUUACUCCAAGUUUACAACAUAUAAAAAAUAUACAUAUUGAGAGAAUUAUGUGUUUUGAGUUAGAAAGGUUUUUUUUUCUUUUGAGGUUUUGGGUUUUCUUUUGAUUCUCUCCAUCUUUGUACUUGUUUUACAUAUUAGUAAAAUCUCAUUUUGCUUUUGGUUUUUUAUCCACUUUUGAGGAGUUUUUCUAUAUAAAAUUUGUGUAUAUGAUCUUUUCAAUUUCUUUUUUUAUUUUACUUGUUUAUUGCUUACACGAAUUUAUCCCCGACAGUCACUAUAACGAUGAAAUUUGAUACUGUAACAAUGAGAUUAGAAACAACGGUGGGGGUGUGUUUGGAUUUAAACGUAACUUUAGCGGUGAGGUGAGAAUAAAAAAUGACUAUUAAGGACAUUAGAUUAGAAAUCUAUUCCUUGUUGAACUUGAAUAAGAAUAAUGUUAUAGUGGGAAAGUAGCUUUCCACUAUAGGUGUUUUUUCCCAUCGAUAGCUUUUGCUCCAAUACAAAAUGAAACCAACAAUAGAUAAAAAAAAUUUAACCGCUCCUCACUAUUAAGGGUGAAUUUGGCUGGGCGUGGUGUGUUUACCUGUGGUUAGUGAAAAAAUAAUGAUAGUGGUGAGAUUAGAUACUAUAGCGUGAGAUAAAAAGUAAACUAAACAGAUCUCAGCAUCCAUCCAAUCCCAUUUUAAAUAUAUCCAUACAUCAAAACAAUAUAAGAAAAAAGAAUUUUCCCUCAAGAUUCCAUUUCACCAUGACUUACUUUGCAUCUAAAUAGAGCCCUAACAUUGAUGAAUAAACAAUUCAACAAAGAAAAUCAACCAAACAAAUGAAACAGUGGACCCCAAUGAAUAAUGGCUGCAUUGAACCAACCAUAGAAUACCAUGUAAAUUCAAGUAACGACAAGACAAAAGUGGCUAGCUUUUUGGUUUGGUUUUAGAUGGUAAUCUUGUUUUGGGACACCAACAAAAGUUGUUAGCUUUUUGGUUUGGUUUUAGAUGGUAAUAUUGUUUUGGGACACCCAAUUGAAUUCAUAUGUAAAUCCCACCCCAAACACAGAUAUAGAAUACAAAUGUCAAAAAUAAUAGAAUAAGCAUGCUUAACAUGCUCGUAUACAUAUAAAUACAUACUAAACAGUACAGUCAGGCAUACGUAUCAGUUUCUUACUCAAAUCAGACUAUCAGAGUAUUAAAUCACAUGAAAUAGGGUUUGGUUAGCCCUUACCAUACCUACAGUAAGCCCACAGUCGAUUAGAAUGACUCAUGCGACCCUACUCGAACCAACAAGCUCAUUCUGAUACAAGUUUACCAACAAUAUUACAUAAGCCUACCCAGCAGGGAUAAGGUUAGGAUUAAAAAUAAAAAAAUUGGCAAAAGUGGAACUUGAACCCAAAACCUCAUACACACACCCAGAACAGUUAACCACUAUACUCAUUUAUGCCAAAUUUUACCAAAAGCAGACUUAAAUUAUUUAGGGUGUUAUAGUUAGUCCACUUGUUUCUUCUAUUCCUUUUAUUAUUAUAUCAGUCUAAUUUUUUUUUCAAAAGAAUAGAAUAAAAAUAAAUUUAAUUUAAAAUAAUAUUUCUUUAUUUUAUUUAUUAAUCAACAACAUUUAUUAUUAAAAAUUAAUUCUAAAAUGAGACCCAUUUUAAAUAAAAUCGAAAAAUGAAAUAUUAAUUAACCUAGAACUCAAGGUUUCGUAUAUACUUUAGUUUCUUGUUUAUGUCAUAUAUAUUUAUUUAAAUUGAAUUACAAAUAUAUAUUAAUAUAAAAUUAUAUAUUUUAUUAUUUUAAUAUUGUAAAUUAUUAAAAAUGAAAUAGAGGUAAAACAAAUUCUAUUUUACCAAAGAUAACGACCAUUCUUUUCUUCUUAAGUAAAAUGAGGUAAAAUAAUAUAUUUUCUUGUUUUAAAAAAUAAAUGUAAAUUAAAAUAGUAUUUAAUUUGUCGUAUUUAUUUAUUAAUUAGUAUAAUUUAUUAUUAAAAAUUAAUUUAAGAUGGGACUUGCUUCAAAUAUAACCAAAAAAAAAAGAAAGAAAGAAAGAAAAAAAGAAAGAAUUAUUUUGGAACUCAAACAACUAACUUAGAACUCAAUGUUUCCAAAUAUACUUUUAUUUCUUCUUUUAUAUUAUAUACAUGUUCAAAUUUAAUUAAAAAAAUACAUAGAUAAUUUUUUAUUAUUUUAAUAAUGUAAAUUAUUCAUUUUAAGUAAUAGAAAAAUUCAAUAAUUAAAUAUCUAUUAGUAUAAACAAUACUUUAAAUCGAUAUAAUAAAAAUAUUGGAUCAAUUAAAAAAUUUACAUGCAUGACAAGUACAAAUAUUUUUAUAAAUUCAAUUAUUAGUGUCGAAACCAUUUUUUGUAAAAGGGUCGACUUUGAUUUUGAAAAUGAAAAUUAAAACGGGAGUCGCCACCAAUCCUUUUUUAUUAAUGUGUGAUCGGGUCACCUCGUAAUUUAGUUGUUUUAAUAAAAUAUUUUGAUUUAUCAAAAUGAUGAUUUUGGUCUAUGAAAUUUUUUUUGAGAAAAUCGGGUUCGGGAGUCGGUUACGCAUGAGGAAGGAUUAGCACCCUCGAUGAGCCCAAAAUUGGUACCAAGUUGAUUUUUUAGCGUCUUAAUGUCGAAAGUUAAAAAUUUUAAAGGAAAUGUAAAACACGAUCCUUUUUAUUAAUGCUAUAAAAAUACUUCAAUAAAUCGAAAAAAAAAUUAAAGACCCACUCGUCUCAAGGUAAUGAAAUGACAAAUCCCGUAAGUUAGGACACGAUAUUUGGAGCCUUAGAGAAUAAGUCUAUCUUUAAUUUUUAUUGAAAUUUUGUAUUUUGAAAUUUAGACGGAUAUUUCACUAUUUAGGUUUGACGAGAGAAUCGAAACCCCAUAAGUUAGGGUACGAUUUCUCGAAUUUCUAAAAUACGAAACAUUGCCUUGUUUUGAGAUUACUUAUAAAUUUAAGUAAAAGGGUAGUGAAGUGUUUAAAAGAUGUAUUUUUAUUUUAUUAUCUUUUAAAGAAGUUAUUUAAUACGUGCGAAAAGGGUUAUGUGAGACUCGUAACGAUAGUACGACAUGCAUUCAGGAUAACAAGAACAUGAUAUUGUAUAAUAUAACAUACGGCAUUGAUAGCAACGAAUCGCAAUGUUAACAAGCAUAAACAAGGACCAUAAUAAUAAUACUAAUAAUAAUAUAGGGAACAACAAUAAUAAUGAUAAUGACAAUAUAACCGACCAUGAUAAUAAGGAUUAUUGAAAGAUGUAUAUGUUUUGAGAAUAAUAAAAAUGAUAUAAAAAUAAUAGCAAUAAACUAAAAUAAUGAACAAAAUGUGGAAACAAAAUAGUGGAAGGGUUAAAUAGAUAGAUUAAAUUAAUAGGGCAUUUGAUUUUUCUUUUUAAAAAAGGAUUAAACAAAGUAAAAUAAAAAAUAACAAACGUUUUUUUUUAUAUGAUAAAGAGAAGAAAAAAAUUUUUAAUGGUCCCAGGACCGAAUUGGAAUUAAAACAAAAUUAAAGGGCAGAAUUAAAGAGGUCAGGGCCCAAAUAGGAAAUUAUUCCCCAGCCCCCGAAGUGCACCGUUUCGCCGUAGGACAAAAUGAAAUGGAAAUAAAAUUAUAUAGGCAAAAAUAAAACUUAAAAAGGACAAAAUUGAAAUUUAAAUAAAAUGCGGAGGGGUUAAUCGUGUAAAUAGCCCCUUCUAUUUGCCCCCGCAUGACGCCGUUUACGCGCUAUAGUCUGCCUAUGGCAUAAGGGCCGAAUUGAAACUGAAGUAAAAUUCUGUGGCUAAAAUCAGAAGAAAGAGCAAACCCCAUUGAACAUGCCACAAAGGCGGAGAGGCUUAUUGCGCAAAUAUCCCCUCAGAGCCGAAACACACGGAUCCCCUGACGGGUUGGGUAGGCGCGCGGGUAUAGGGGAAACGACGUCGUUUUAAGGCUAUGGUGUCAAGCCCUAAACGACAUCGUUUAGGGAGUGUAUAAAGGUCCAAAUUUUUUUUCAAAAAAUUCAUUCUCAUCCCACCUUUAAAAAACAAAACCAACAGACCCUCUCAACACUCUCCCCCUCUCCCAUCCUUCGGUCAUGAGAGCCACUGCUCGCCUGCCAUGGCCGACGGCCGGGGUCUCAAAAGGGCCACUUUCGAUUCAAAUAAUUCCCCUAAGCCUGCUUUGUAGCUGAAAUCUCCGAUGAUCAAGCAAAAACGUCCGAAUCAGUCAAAGGCCCUCCGACUUCUGGCCACCUUUCAUCGGAGGUGGCUACCUCCAGCGCUCACGACGGUGACACACAGCCAUCAAGUACGCCUCCUUUUAAACUCUCUUUAUUUCCACAUUUUUUGUUAAAAUAGGUUUGUAAAAAAUAACAAAAUAAAAUAAUAAAAAGAGGAAAACGAAAUGAAAACAGUAAAAAAAAUUCAACCUUUAAAAAUUUCUUUGUUGUUUUUCGAUUUGCUAGUGUAUGUAAAAACUUUACAAAGAUAAGAUCUAGGCCUUUAUAGCCGGACCCAACCAUUAAAAUUUUCCUUUAUCUGCCUAUAUUUACUGCCAUUAAUGUCAGCAUGCUCUGUUGUUGCAUUCAAUUUUUGCAGGGGUUUUGAGGCCGACGGUGGUGGCAGAGGCAUGCGCGAGGAGGCUGGUGGCUAGGAGCAGAAAGCCCUAGGUGCGGCACACCUAGGGUUUGAAAACUUUGUUUUGUUGUGAGGGUUUUUUUGGGUUUUGGGGCCAUAUUGAGCCAUUAUCAUUUUGGGCUGUACUGGACUGUGGACUUUUUUAUAUUUUGGUUUUAUUUUAGGCUAUAUUGGGCUCCGGGCAAAAAUUGGGCCUUACAGCUACCCCUCUUUGCUUGUUGUCGUGUAACGAGAAUGGAGCAAAGACUGUAAAAGGACCAAAGUUUGCCCGGUCUCACCGAAUCUUGACUUGUUUUGGUGCUUCUCUUCUUCAAGUAGCUUCAUUCAAGUUCAUUUCAUCUUGUUGCUUCGAUUCACUCUUCAGAGAGGACAAGAUUUGUGGUUUUGGUCUGCUCUACUGUAACGUUAGGGAGAUAAGACUUGUUGCUUCAACUUGCUCCACUGCGACUUCAGGAAGAUAAGGUUUGAUAUGAUAAGAUCGCUACCUACAGUUUGCUCCACUAUAACUUUAGGGAGAUAAGACUCGUUAUUUUAAUAGAUUUGAUCUGAUCUACUACAACUUCAGGGAUAUAGGAUUAGUAGCUUCAGUCUGCUCCACUGCAACUUCAGGGAGAAAAGACUUAUAUCUUCAACCUGUCCCACUGCAACUUCAGGGGGAUAAGGUUUGUUACUUCAACCUACUCUACUGCAACUUUAGAGAGAUAAGAUCUGCAAUUUAUAGCUUCCAUCUGUUCCACUGCAACUUAAGGGAAAUAAGAUUCGCUAUCUUCAGUCUUAACGCUAGGGAGUUAAGAUUUGCUAUCUUCAGCUUCAAUCUGCUAUGCUGCAAUGUCAGGGGAACAAGAUUUGCUACCUUUAGCUUUAAUCUGUUCCACUACGACACCAAAGAGAUAGGAUUCGCUGCCUUCUGCUUUAAUCCACUCUACUUCAGUUUUAAUUUAUUCCACAGCAAUGCCAGGGACACAAGAUUCUCUACUUUUAGCUUUAAUCUAUUCCACUGCAAAGCCAAGGAAAUAAGAUUCACUGCUCUCAGUCUUAACGCCAGGGAAAUAAGAUUCGUUACAUUUAGCUUUAAUUUGUUCCGCUGCAACGUCAUGAAAUAAGAUUCGUUGUCUUCGAUCUACUCCACUACUGCUUAGGGAGACAGGACCUACAAUCUUCAACCUACUCCACUACUGCUCAAGGAGAUAGGAUUGGUGGCUUAAAUCUGCUUCCCUACUACCUUGGGAAGAUAAGAUUCACUGUCUUCAAUCUACUCCACUACUGCUUAGGGAGACAGGGUCUACAAUCAUCAACUCACUCCCCUGCUGACUCAGAGAGGCAAGGCUGGUAUUUUCGAUCUACUUCACUGCUAGUAUAGGAAGAUAAGAUCUACGAUUUUUAGUCUACUCAGCUGUGACUUCAGGGAGAUAAGACUUGAUCUAAUGACUUCAAUCCAUCCCACUGCAACUUUAGGGGUAUGGGUAACUUCAUUGAUCUGUUCGCCAGGGAACAUGACCUGUAAAAUUCGUUUUAUGGACCUAUUUAUGCCUAAUGUGUAAGAUGUCAUGAUUAGAAUGAAUCAAAUGCUCCUAACUAGAUGUGUAUGAUAUUUGUAGAAUGUCAUGAGAAUGAUCCCUUUUUAAUGCUUAGGUUGUCAUUACUCGUUGUUCAUCAAGUUCUAUCACUGACGUAUUACGCUAAUUUCUUGCUCAGCUGGUAUCUUAAUAGAAAAAUCAAAGAAAUAGUCGCAAUUUAGACUAUUCUUUCUCAAAUGCUUCCAACCCUUAAAUUUGGUUAGUUCUAAUAAUGGUCCUGUUUUAGGUCCUCGCACUAUUUAGAAGCAUUCAGAGUAAUAUGUGGAACUCCUUUUGUUUGAAUAUUAUCAGUCCAUUAAUCGUUAUUUCAAUGAAAAUAAUGCUUGAAAAGAUUAUCUCAAUGGUCAAGAUGAAAUUUUAUUGAGAGCAAAGCUCGAAAUGAAUAAAUUAAUCAAGAUAGUAAUUUUUUCUAAGAUACAAAAUGAAUAAGGUAAAAAUAGGUCCCCCAGAUAUCGUAGCAUGAGCUCCUCUGCAUAAAACUUCUCGAGGACCCUUUGAACUUGAUAUGUGUUUUGAAUAUUCAGAAUGCUUUGUUGAUGCCCCAAGCUGUAGCAUCCUUCCUUCUUGCUAAUCCAGGCAUAGUAAGACUACUGCAUGCCCCACCUUUAAUCAAAAUUUGAAUUGCCCUUUUCUUAGGUUUUCAAUUCAAAACCCCUUUGCUCUCAAGGUGCCCUUUGUGGUUUUUUCCUUGGCCUCUCUUUUUUUUUAGGUGAAGUACUUCUUGACUGAAUCAAAAUUCACAGGAUUAGGCAAGUUCUUGCCAUCCAUUUCGGUCAAAUUUAACACUCCUCUAGAAAAGGCCUUUUUCACCACGUAAGGUCCUUCCUAAUUUGACAUCCAUUUUCCUCUAAAUUCCUUUUAUAUGGAAAGGAUCUUCUUUAGUACCAAGUCUCCCUUAUGGAAAUCUCUGGGACACACCUUCUUGUUAUAGGCUCGCAUCAUUCACUUUUGGUACAUUUGACCAUGACGAAUAGCUCUAAACCUCUUUUCUUCGAUCAAAUUUAGUUGAUCAUAUCGGGAUUGAAUCCAUUCUCCUUCAUCUAGUUUCAAUUCUGAUAAAAAUCAGAGGGAAGGAAUCUCAACUUUAAUGGGCAAAAUUGCCUCCAUUCCAUAGACUAAUGAGAAAGGAGUUGCCCCUGUAGAUGUUCUGACAGAUGUCCUAUAGGCAUAAAGGGCGAAUGGUAAUUUCUCAUGCCAAUCUUUAUAAGUCUCUGUUAUUUUCCCCACGAUCUUCUUGAUGUUCUUAUUAGCUGCUUCCACUGCGUCAUUCAUUUUUGGGCGAUAGGGCGAUGAGUUGUGAUGCUUGAUCUUAAAUUGGCUACAGACCUGUGCUAUCGUACUAUUAUUUAAAUUCAAAGCGUUGUCAGAUAUAAUCCUUUCUAGCAUCCCAUACCGACAUAUGAUCUAAUUUUUUAAAAAUUUACUAACUGUCGACUUUGUGAUGUUGGCAUAAGAAGUAGCCUCUACCCACUUGGUAAAGUAGUCGAUGACUACGAAGAUGAACUGAUGCCCAUUCAAAGCCUUUGCAAGAUUGGUCCAAUUACAUCCAUGCCCCACAUUGAGAAUGGCCAUGGAGAAGUAAUGAUAUGGAGAGGUGAAGGAGGCAGAUGGAUCUUGUCUCCGUAAAUCUGGCACUUAAGGCAUUUCUUAGCAUACUUGAUGCAGUCUCCUUCCAUGGUGGACCAAUAAUAUCCAAAUCUCAUGCUCUGCCUAGCCAUUGUGAAACCAUUAGUAUGUGUUCCACAAACACCAUCAUGGACUUCUUCUAAGAUUUGCUUGGCCUCCACAGCGUCUACACAUCUUAACAUCACCUGAUCUUUUCCUUUUUUAUAUAAGAUUUCUCCAUCUAAGAUGUAGUCACUAGCCAGCGUCCUCAAUGUUCUAUUGUCGUUCUUAGUUGCCUGGUUUGGGUAUUCGUGAUUUUUCACGUAUCACAUUAUGUCUUGAUACCAAGGGUGAUCGUCCUUUUAUUCUUCUUCGUCAAUGUUGAAACAGUGGGCUAGAGCCUCAUAAAUGCUUAUUUGGAUAGGGUUCACAUCUUCUUGUUUAUUUACUUUGAUCAUAGAAGCCAAUGUAGCUAAAGCGUUGGCCAUCUGAUUCUCAUCUCGUGGGAGAUAACAGAAGGUGAUGUUGUCAAACUCCUCAAUUAAUUCCAGGACUAGCGUUCGAUAACUAAUCAAUUUGCGGUCUCUUGUUUCCCAAUCACCUUUGAUCUGACAAAUUACUAAUGCAGAAUACCCAUGUACCUCUAACACCUUGAUUUUAUGUUCAAUAGUCGCACGAAUUCCCAUGAUACAUUCUUCAUAUUCCGCUAUGUUAUUUGUGCAAUCAAAAUCUAAUUUACUAGUGAACGGAUAAUGAUCACCGUCUAGAGAUACCAAGACUGCCCCGAUCCCACUGCCCAUAGCGUUUGAGGCUCCAUCAAAGUUUAAUUUCCAAGCAUAGCCGUCUUGUGUGUUUGCUUCAGCGGUUGCCACACACAUCAGAUCCUCAUUUGGGAAAUCAAAGUUCAAGGGCUCAAAAUCUUCUAGGGCUCUACUAGCUAGAAAAUCUGCUAUCGCGCUCCCUUUUACUGCCUUUUGAUUUACAUAGGCUAUGUCGAAUUCAGAUAGUAGAAUUUUCCAUCAGGCCAUACUUCCGUUUAGAGUGGUUGACUCCAUCAUGUAUUUCAGAGGGUCCAACUUUGAGAUUAACCAAGUCAUAUGAUAUAACAUGUAUUGCCUCAAUCUCCGAGUAGUCCAGACCAAGGCGCAACAUAAAUUUUCAAUUGGCAAAUAUCUCGUUUCACAUUCAAUGAACUUCUUGCUUAGAUAGUAGAUCGCUUUUUCUUUUCGUCCUGACUCAUCAUGUUGGCUGAGUACACACCCAAUGGAAUUCUCAAAUACUGCCAAGUAUAGUAUCAGUGGCUUUUCUGGGCAAGGUGGCAUCAUUACUGGGGCGUUGAACAGGUAAUGUUUGACUUUUUCGAAAGUUUUCUGGCACUCCUCAUCCCAUACACCUGGAUUGUGUUUCUUAAGGAGACGAAAGAUAGGGUCACAUUCCUCAGUUAACUGUGAAAUAAAUCGAGCGAUAUAAUUUAGUCUUCCUAGAAAACGUCAAACUUCUUUUCGUGUACGUGAUGGAGGCAAUUCUUGUAUGGCUUUGACUUUGUCUUGGUCAAUCUCAAUUCCCCUUUCACUAACUUGGAAUCCUAACAACUUUCUUGAUCUAGCCCCGAAAGUGUAUUUAGCUGGGUUAAGCUUUAGCUAGAACUUCCUUAACCUUAGGAAUAGUUUGCUCAGGACUUGCACGUGUUCUCCUUCUAUUCUAGACUUUGCGAUCAUGUCAUCAACAUAGACUUCUAUCUCUUUAUGCAUCAUGUCAUGGAACAAGGUUACCAUAGCUCUCUGAUAUGUAGCUUCCGCAUUUUUUAGUCCAAACGGCAUCACUUUGUAGAAAAAUGUUCCCCACAUCAUUACGAAGGUGGUCUUCUCCAUGUCUUCAGGCUGUAUCCUAAUUUGGUUGUACCCAGAGAAACCAUCCAUGAAGGAAAAAAUAGAGUAGCCGGCCUUGUUGUCCACUAAGGUAUCGAUAUAGGGAAAUGAAAAAUUGUCCUUGGGACUGGCUUUGUUCAAAUCUCUAUAGUCCACACACAUUCGCACUUUCCCAUCUUUCUUAGGAAUAGGGACUAUGUUGGCUACCCAUUCUGAAUACUUGACCUAUUGUAAGAACCCAGCAUCAAAUUGCUUCUUAACUUCUUUUUUUAUUUUCAGCAAGACAUCAAGCCUCAUCCUUCGGAGCUUUUGUUAGACUGGUUUGCAUUCUUCCUUUAUAGGUAGUCGGUGUACCACAAUACCAGUACUUAACCUGGGCAUGUCUUGAUAGGACCAUGCGAAGACAUACUUAAACUCAUGUAGCAACUCGAUGAAAUCUCGUUUCGUUUUUUUGUCAAUAUGAGCUCCAAUUUUCACCUCUUUUCCUUCUCCUAAGCUCACGACUUCUACUGAUUCCUUAUAGGGUAAGAUUUGUUUCUCUUCUUGCACCACCAUUCUUAACAAAUCAAGAGAUAGGACGUCAUUUUGGUCAUCUUCAAAAUCAAGAGAAUCAUCUAUACUCAUGUUUUGCUCAAAAAGGGGCUUUGAGUCAGUAACAUUGUUGCUCACAUCGUCGAUAUCUGAAGUCUUGUUAUUGGGGUUUAGGAAGGUCCAGAGAAAAAGAAUCUAAGAAUAUUUGUAUACACAACAUGAUUAUAAAUGGAAUGAAAAAGAAUGAAAGAAUAUUUGCUCAAAAUAUGACUGAACGAUGCAUUUUCAUUGAAAUAAAAUUUUGGACAUGUGCCUUUUACAAAAGAUUCUUAUUACCCUCAGGCUUGGCGCAACAAGUGUGUUCUGAAUAUUACUCUGAAUUAGUUCUAAAUGUUACAGGGAUCUCUUCUGCAGUCCAGUUGUCUAGAACACUUCCAGGCUCGUAAGGGCGGAUGCCCGACAAACUUCCUUCUUGAAUUCCUUCUUCGAAUAUGGAAUUAAUAUCUAAGUUUCUUGACAUUUCCUUCGCAGUCUUCCUUUUUGGCAUCCUCUGUUCAGGAUAAAUAGUUCCUCCAGAUACGAGGGUUCUGGAUAUAUGGGGGAAAGUCAUAAGUUUCCAAUCAAUUUCUCUUCCGCUAAGACUCGCCUUCCUCCUUUCUUGCCUCCUUUCCAACUCUUUCCUUCUUUGAUUUUCAUUUGUCUUAAACCCUAAGCCAAAACAAUCUCGUUUAUCCUUCAUCAUUGGUGUCUCUACCCUUUCUUGAAGGCACCUUCUGAGUCUUUUCCAAGACAAAGCUCCCUUCCCAACUAUCAUUUGUAGUCCCAUCCUCGUGGUUUUGGAUAUGCUGGGCGUCAAGAUAUUAUUCCCCUCGAUAAUGAAAGUUGCGUUCAUGAAUUCUAAGGAUUGAAAAAAAUAUUCAAUUGCCACAUCGUCCGCUCCUAAAUAUGGCACAUCGUUGGUUACCAACGCAAUGAUGUCUUCUUUAGCGCUUAUCAUAUCCAGCCGACCUUCAGUCACCAAUUUUAGCUUCUGGUGCAAUAAUGAAGGCACUGCUCCUGCUGAAUGAAUCCAGGGUCUUCCCAACAAGCAAUUAUACAAAGGCUUGAUAUCCAUCACCAAGAAAUCUACCUUGUACGUAUUUGGUCCAAUUGAAAGGGGUAUUUCUAUUCUUCCCAUUACCCCCUUUCAGUGCCAUCAAAUGUUCUCAUUGUGCUCUGGCAUGUUUUCAUAUGCGAGCUAUCCACCGGCAACCUAUUUAAGGUGGAUAAGGGCAAGACAUUCAAGGCCGACCCAUUAUCAAUUAACACCCCGGGCAAUAUGUAUCCUUUACAGCGAGUGGUAAUAUGUAGUGCUUUGGUGGUAAUAUGUACCCUUUAUCGGUACCUAUAUUAUUGACUAGGUGGUCCAACUUGUUUACUGAGAUAUUGUUGGCAACGUAAGUAUCAUUUAGCACUUUUUUCAAUGCAUUACGAUGACUCUCUGAACUUAGAAGUAGCUCGAGCACCGAGAUAUGAGCCGAUUGUUUAUGCAGUUGUUCCACCACGCUAUACUCGCUAUGUUUUAAGAAUUUUAAGAAUUCUCUAGCCUCGUUUUCCGCUACUAGUUUAUUAACAUGCGAUUCAAUUCUGAAAGUCUUUGUUUUCUCUUACUCAACUGUCAGGGUUUUUCCUUUCAUGGGCUCUACGCUUGCAUUUGUAGGAUCGUAGCAUUUUCCACUGCGUGUAUAAAAGCCUACGUCCUUACCUUCCUCUGAAGCAUUUACUGGGUUUUUUCCUCCCGGGAUCAUCACGUUGCAGUCAUAAUUCCAAGGAACCCUUUUGUUAUCCUUGUAGGGAAAGGAUACAGGUUUUUGAAUUAUGACCCUUAGCACCAUUUGUACUCCAACUUCUAUGCUUAUUGGCCGUGAAAUAAUCACCACUGGAUGAUUAAACCCUUGGCCUUUUCCCGUCAAUCCUUCAUCUGAGGCAUAAAUUUCUCUCCCUUCUAAUCCUUCAAUCUCUUCAUAAAACUCCAACUUUUUUGUUGUCCAUUAAAUCUUGCACCAUGACCCUGAAUUUGGUACAUUUUUUAAUUUCGUGGCCUUCUUUGGCAUGGAACUCACAAUAUUUCCUUACUCCUUCGGGCCUUUCCUUUGGUUCUUGCUUGAUUAAACCUUUACCUAUCAUUCGUCUCCAAACCCAUCUUAAUUGGGUCUUUACCUCUACAACGUCAACUUUGAUACUCCUUUCCCCACUUUCGACUAUCGCGUUUACCCCCUGAUCCGCAUGAUUGGGCAACGGGUUCCCUAAUACGUUUGGUCCUGUUGGGUCAUCAAACUUUACAAUCCCCAUCUUGAUAAAUCUUUCAACCAAGUUCUUGAACACAGUGCAGUUCUCAAUCGAGUGCCCUGUAAUUUCUGCAUGGUACUCGCAUUGGGCAUUUGCAUCAUACCAAUUAGGAAAUGGGGUUGCAUGGGUUUCAGAUAAAAAGGGGCUACUACAUUUGCAUAAAACAAGUUCUGAUACAACUCCUUAUACGUUAUUGGAAUGGGUUUGAAUUGGAUUCUCUCCGUGUUUGGCCUUGUGCUGGGUUCUUGCCUCGAGGGGCCUUGGUGACUAGUGGCUACCGUUCUUGGAUGGCCAACAGGGAUCGGUUUUGAAUAACUCUUGCUAUAUGUGCCUAUGUUGUUCACCUCGCUUUCAUUUUUCCUUCAAGCUGUCUUUUAGAGCUUUCCCCCGUGUCUAUUUUACCGCUUCUUACUGUAUUUUCAAUCAUUUCACUAGGCAUUACCAUAUCUGAGAAGCUCUCGGUGGUGCUCCUCAGCAUGUGGUUAAUGAAUAGGGCUUUCAAAGUAUUGAUAAAAAGCAUGGUGACCUCUUUUUCCAAAAGGGGUGGCUGGACUUGCAUUACCACCUCCCUCCAUCAUUGGGCGUACUGCCUGAAGCUCUCGUUUUGUUUCUUCUCCAUGUUCUGUAAUGUAAUUCUAUUGGGCGUCAUAUCUGUUACAUGACUGUAUUACUUCAUAAAAGCUUCCGCCAAGUCUUUCCAUGAGCUAACUUUAGCACGACUCAACUGGUUUUACCACUUGGCUGCCGACCUGAUCAAACUGUCUUGAAAAUAGUGGAUUAACAGUUGGUCAUUGUUAACAUAACCUUUCAUCCUUUAACAUAACAUAGUAAUAUGGGCUUCAGGACAGCUAGUCCCGUUAUACUUUUCGAAUUCUGGCAUCUUGAACUUAGGCGGGAGAACUAAGUCAAGGACCAAACUUAGGUCUUUAGCAUCGAUCCUACCAUGGUAAUCAACAUUCUUCAUUGCUUUAAACUUUUCCUUUAACCACCUACACCUAUCCUCAAGCUGCUUCAGUAUAUCCACUCUUGCUUUUUCCACUUCCGCCACGUCGUCAAGAUUAGGAACAACGAGGUUGGUUGGAUUAUCUCCCAGAUUAGGACUCGAGCCUGUUUGGAAAUUCAUUGGUACUGAGGUACCGGCCUAGUAUUGAGGUCUAAUAGUGACAGGUGCUCUCUACGGGCACAUAUCUGGUUGUGCCUGGGUGCUCGUUGGGGUGAAACCUGGAGGAUAAACAGGAUCCUCAUGAUCAACUCCAGAAUCAAUUAAAGGGUUUUUUCCUUUAUCGUUCCCUUCAGCCAAUAACUGCGUUAAUUGGUUCAUCAUAGCUCUUUGGUAUCUAGCAUGUCUUGUUGGAUUUUUUCCAGUCAUUCUUGCAUCUGACCUUGCAUUUCCUUUUACAAUUGUUCCAAACUUUCUAACCUCUGAUCCAUUGCUUUUGUUUGACAACGAGUACCGUAGUGAUAUCUGGUUGGUGGAUUCUUGUUGGUUUCUAGGGUAACUGUCAUAAUUUUAAUUUAUUAGGGUCAUUUUAUGAAACUUAAUGCAUAUGAUGUAAUGCAAAUGUAUGAGAUGAAUGCAAAAAGAGGCAUUGAUUCUGGUUCAAUUUCAUUAGGAAAACUUUACUAGAAAACAAAUUUCUUUACAUAAAACAGAUUACAUAUACGGCUUUACCCUUAUACUCAAAGCCUUGACCUUCCUAAGAAGCCAAGCUAACCCCCGGCCUCGGUCCAAUUCUAACUCAUACUUCAAACUUAAUACAUCGGCCUGAACUGCUAGAGUUUGUAAAUGGUUAGUUACUUCGCGUACUUGAGCUACCGCCUCGCCCAUAAUGUAGUCUCUUUCUCUAGUCUGGCCUUGAGAACGAUGGAGCUGCUCUUGCCACUGUUCAUUACCCCUCUCAAGAAGCUCUAUUCGGAGUUCACCAUUUUUCAAUGCAUCCUCGAGCUCUCCUAUCCUUCCUUUCAAUUCCUCGAUUUUGCUUAAGCUUACUUUUAACCCAAUCAUGAAAUUAUGAUUAUGGUGCUAGUGGAGCCACUUUUCUAACUCAGCUACCAGAGCUUUCAACCCUGCCUUCUUAUUUCGGCAUUCUAAAAUACUCUUUUCCAAAACAACUUCUUAAGCUAGAGUGUCUUGGAACUUCUUUUCCCAUUGAUCAACCUUAAUCUUUUCCUCUUUGAUUUUCUGUCGCCAUUGCUUCGAUGAUUUGCCUAAACCAAUAGUUCUCAUUAACAUUCGCAACUUUUUGUAGUCCAUUUUUAAGCUGUCCAAAUCCUCUUCGGCCUUCUUCUUCCUUUUUAUUAAUUUCUCGACUUCUAGCUUGUGGAUAUCAACAUCUAAUCCCAAGCGCAUCUUCUCCUCUUCUAGCUGCUCAAUCUUAUUUCCCAGUUCUGAACUCCUUUUUUCAAAGUCUCACUUGAUAAUUUCUGACUCAGACGGAUUACUUGUAAAUGUUCCCCUAUUGGCCGAACGUCCUCUUGGCUUGACGCUGGGAUGUUAUCGUUAAUCCUUUUACCCCACCAGCAACUAUAUUCAGGGGUCGUCAUGGGAUUCACGGGAAUACUUUUAUUCUACGGGUUUGGUUCCAAGCAUUUGAUAUUUCACAAACCCUCUUCUUGUAGUUAUCUCCCUUAUAUGAAAACUUGUACUGAGCCAACCCUUGUGUUGCCGGUAUAAACUUCCUUGAUCUGUACUGCCUUAACACUAGCAAAGAGGCAUAUCCAACGGUUCCCCAAAUCCCAAGCAAAAGAACCCAAUCAAAGUCCCCACACCGAUAUAGAAUUUUAUUAGGGAUCAUUCAAGGAGCCCUCCAUUCAACGUCUUCCUCUUAGAGAUUCUGAAGGAUCAUCAUCCACUUCUCUUCUGAAACAUCGCCCGAUCUUGGUGUGGCCACUAACUCCUUUAAUAGGGAAUAAUUCUCAGAAAAAACCUGGUAGGAGACCUUUUCUACCUUCCAGAAGUGGCUAUGGAACCAAGCUAGUAAAAGUUGUGCACAUCCGAUAAACCUUCACUCACCCGCUUUUCGACACGUGCUCAAGGAUCAGAACGUUUCUGCUAAGAUCACUGGGAUGGGUGUGACCCCUUUAUCAAGCCUAUCGAACAAGUCUGAGACCGCUUCAUCUACGUGCCCUAGUGCCUUAGGGAAAACGACUAAACCGUAAAUGCUCAAGGCAAAUACGUCAACCCUUUUCCUCUCAUCUGAAUGUGCCAAAAUCAGAUCCCGCAAAUUCUUCCAAGGUAUGCAUUUACUGUCCACUUUUUGCUUAAGUCAGGCCGCGACCCACUGCUCACUCAUUCCCGUGAUAUUCAUCAACUUCUUUAAGAAAGUUGGGACGUUGGCAGCUCUUGAAUAGGCCUUGUCAACUUGAACCUUCAGGCAUCAAAGUAAGGUCAUAUAUUUUUCUAUUGUGGGUACCAAAUCAACCCUUCUGAAAGUGAAGCAAUAGUUUGUAGGAUUCCAGUACUGAGUGAGAGCUCGAGACAAGUGCUUGUCUACUUUCACGUCGAGCAAAUAGGGCAGAUCACCAUAGUUACUGUAGAAGAGUUGUCUGAUCUCAUCGCCCCACUGAUCCCAAAUCUCUUUCAAUUCUUGUAGGUUAUUUUGGGUUACACUAAUUCGAGUGAAGUCCCACAACUCUAAUACAUAUCCCUCCGUAAGACUAUCACCUUUUUCUUGUUGCAUCUUCUCAGACCAAAUUCAGACGGUUGCGUUAUCUUCCACUUUAUCAAGAAACUCUAUUUCUAUGAUAAGCUCUCUAUUAGAAACCGAAUGCGAAUCAACACCUCUUUUAUGUUGAAAAUGACAUGCAUACAAAUUCAAAGCAAAUCACAGCAAGUCAGUACAACACGAAGCAAAGAUUUAAAGCAUAUGAGAAACAAUAAGUAAAGCACCUAUUUGGUUAACCACUAGGAUUUGGUAUGGCUCUACCUAGGGUAAGAUCCUAGGGCUCACUAUAUGCGGCUCGGUUCUAAAGUAAAGGUACCUGAGCUAGCAGAUUUCUCGAUCCUCACCCAUUAUAGGCUCAUACAGAUCGAGUUCAGUUUAGGGGGAUACAUUUUCCUAUGGCUAUACGGAGAUAAAAAUCUCACGAAGACAUAGGUACGGAUGUAUCCCAAAAGCGAUUCGUUAUGUUAUACGGGGGUGAAAACCCCACGAAGGAAUAACUUCUCACUCCCACUUAAGAGGGGAAAAAUCGACCGAUCAUACGAUGCAAUGCAGAAAUAUAUCACAAUUUACUAACACAAGAAUUUCAAACCACAACAAUAGAGACCGAAACAAGGACGAAUGAAAUGUAACAAAAGGAUUACAUAUUUAAAUCAAAUUUGAAUUUUCGACAAAAAGACAUAAAUCAAUCAAUUUACGGCUUGACACCCUUAUUUUGGAUCCUUAGUGGAGUCGCCAAGCUGUCGAAACCAUUUUUUUUGUAAAAGGGUCGACUUUGGUUUUGAAAACGAAAAUUAAAAUGGGAGUCGCCACCAAUCCUUUUUUAUUAAUGUGUGAUCGGGUCACCUCGUAAUUUAGUUGUUUUAAUAAAAUAUUUUGAUUUAUCAAAACGAUGAUUUUGGUCUACGAAAUUUUUUUUGAGAAAAUCAGGUUUGGAAGUCGGUCACGCACAAUGAAGGGUUAAGACCCUCGAUGUGCCCAAAAUUGGUACCAAGUUGAUUACUUAGUGUCUUAAUGUCGAAAGUUAAAAAUUUUAAAGGAAAUUUAAAACACAAUCCUUUUUAUUAAUGCUAUAAAAAUACUUGAAUAAAUCAAAAAAAAUUAAAGACCCACUCGUCUCAAGGUAAAGAAAUGUCAAAUCCCGUAAGUUAGGACACGAUAUUUAGAGCCUUAGAGAAUAAGUUUAUCUUUAAUUUUUAUUGAAAUUUGGUAUUUUGAAAUUUAGAUUGAUAUUUCACUAUUUAGGUUGGACGAGAGAAUCAAAACCCUGUAAGUUAGGGUACGAUUUCUCAAAUUUCCAAAAUACAAAACAUUGUCUUGUUUUGAGAUUACUUAUAAAUUUGAGUAAAAGGGUAGUAAGUGUUUAAAAGAUAUAUUUUUAUUUUAUUAUCUUUUAAAGAAGUUAUUUAAUACAUGCGAAAAGGGUUAUGUGAGACUCGUAACGAUAGUACGACAUGCAUUCAAGAUAACAAGAACAUGAUAUUUUAUAAUAUAACAUGCGACAUUGAUAGCAACGAAUCGCAAUGUUAACAAGCAUAAACAAGGGCCAUAAUAAUAAUACUAAUAAUAAUAUAAAGAACAAUAAUAAUAAUGAUAAUGACAAUAUAACCGACCAUGAUAAUAAGGAUUAUUGAAAGAUGUAUAUGUGUUGAGAAUAAUAAAAAUGAUAUAAAAAUAAUAGCAAUAAACUAAAAUAAUGAACAAAAUGUGGAAACAAAAUAGUGGAAGGGUUAAAUAGAUAGAUUAAAUUAACAAGGCAUUUGAUUUUUCUUUUUAAAAAAGGAUUAAACAAAGUAAAAUAAAAAAUGACAAACAUUUUUUUUUAAAAAUUAUAAAGAGAAGAAAAAAAUUUAAUGGUCCCAGGACCGAAUUGGAAUUAAAACAAAAUUAAAGGGCAUAAUUAAAGAGGUUAGGGCCCAAAUGAGACGCGUGUAGAGAUGCGGGGGCUAAAUAGGAAAUUAUUCCCCAACCCCUGAAGUGCACCGUUUCGCCGUAGGACAAAAUGAAAUGGAAAUAAAAUUAUAUGGGAAAAAUUAAAACUUAAAAAGAAAAAAAUUUAAAUUUAAAUAAAAUGCAGAGGGGUUAAUCGCGCAAAUAGCCCCUUCUAUUUGGCCCCGCACGACGCCGUUUAAGCACUAUAGUUUGCCUAUUUCAUAGGUGCCUAAUUGAAACAGAAGUAAAAUUCUGUGGCUAAAAUUAGAAAAAUGAGCAAACCCCAUUGAACACACCACAAAGGCGGAGGGCCUAUUUCGAAAAUAUCCCUCAGAGUCGAAACACGUGGAUCCCUUGACGGGUCGGGUAGGCGCGCGAUUAUAGGGGAAACAACGUCGUUUUAGGGCUAUGGUGUCAAGCCAUAAACGGCGUUUUUUAGGGAGUGUAUAGAGGUCUAAAUUUUUUUAAAAAAAAUUUAUUCUCAUCCCACCUUUAAAAAACAAAACCAGCAACCCUCUCAACACUCUCCCCCUCUCUCAUCCUCCGGUCAUGAGAGCCACCGCUCGCCCGCCAUGGCCGUCGACCGACGAAGGUGGUGACCGCCGUAUACGGUUGCCGGGGUCUCAAAAAGGGCCACCUUCGACUUCUUGCCACCUUUCAUCGGAGGUGGCUACCUCCGGCGCUCACGAAGGUGACACGCAGCCAUCAAGUACGCCUCCUUUUAAACUCUCUUUAUUUCCACAUUUUUUUGUUAAAAUAGGUUUGUAAAAAAUAACAAAAUAAAAAAAGAGGAAAACGAAACAAAAACAGUAAAAAAAAUUCAACCUUUCAAAAUUUCUCUGUUGUUUUUCGAUUUGCUAGUGUGUGUAAAAACUUUACAAAGAUAAGAUCUAGGCCUUUAUAGCCGGAUCCAACCAUUAAAAUUUUCCUUUAUCUGCCUAUAUUUACUGCCAUUACUGUUAGCAUGCUCUGCUGUUACAUUCAAUUUUUGCAGGGGUUUCGAGGCCGACGGUGGUGCAGAGGCAUGCGCGAGGAGGCAGGCGGCUCUCUGUGGCACCUAGGGUUUGAAAACUUUGUUUUGUUGCUAGGGUUUCUUUGGGUUUUUUGGCCAUAUUGGGCCAUUAUCAUUUUGGACUGUAAUGGAUUGUGAACUUUUUUAUAUUUUGGUUUUAUUUUGGGCUAUAUUGGGCUCCAGGCAGAAAUUAGGCCUUACAAUUAGAUUUUUAAGAUAUUAAUUUUUAUAAAAAAUUAUAAAUUGAUAGAGAACCACUAAAAUUUUACAUUGUUUAUAUAUAUAUAUAUAUAUAUAUAUAUAUAUAUAUAUAUAUACUUUUACUCUCACUUCAUCCUCCACCCCAAUUUUCUCUCUCAGUUGUUUAAUCUUAAUCUUUUUCUAGAAAGUAUCACAAACUCAGUUGUUCAUCUCUUUCAACCUUUGGACUGUCUAUACGGGAUGAUGGUUCAGUAUGGAUUUCCCCUCCAUUUAAUUAUUCUUUUCGUAAAAAAUUAAAAAUUUACGUCAUCAAUAAUUUAUUUAACUAAAACUUUCUUAUUUUUGAGAUGCGUGCAUGCUUGUGUUGAUUUUUAUGAAUUUUUAAAAUUGUAUUUUUUUGGGUGAACUAUGCUCCAUCAUCACUAUUUCUGAUUUUAAUCAACUCCCUCAUAUUUCCUUCCACCUUUUUAUUUGUUUUUGGUAAGGGUAAAAAUAUAUAAAUUUAUUUUUGGCUAUUUAUUGAAAGUUCAUAAUAGUCAUUCCUUGAUAUAAUUUAAAACAUUAUCCAUUCAUUCAUCCCUUAAAGCUUUUAUUUACUGAGUAAUAGGGCAGCGAAGCUUGAAAACGAAAUAUAUGAGAUUAAUAGAUCAUAACAGCAAGUAUGCUAUGCCAAAAACAAGGCCUUCUCCUCUUGUCCACAUAAACAGGCACUGCCUUUUAGCUGUUAAUACCAUUAACCCAAACUACUACUUCAAACUCAAUUGAAUUUAGUAUCCCUAAUCUAAGCUUAGUUUCUGAUGUGCAGGAUUCAUUAUAUGGCAAGCACAGAGCAUGCUUCUAAACUCACGGGAGAUUUUCUUUCAACGAUAAACCAUGAUCAGAUAGGAAGAGAACAUAGAAGCUUAGAAAGACAUUUUUUUAAAACACACUAUAGUUCCAAAAUUAUAUAGUAUAGUUAUUAUUAUUUUCUACAUCACCGGAUAACAUUAAAUUUAGUUUCAUGAUUGCCAUUUUUAUCGACACCACUUUUGAAACAAAGGGGUCGACUUUUAUUUUGAAAAUAAAAAAUGAAAAUGGGAGUCGCCACUGAUAUUUUUUGAGGUGUGAUCGGAUUACCUUGCAAUUCAAUCGUUUUAAUAAAACGUUUCAAUUUUACUAAAACAAUGAUUUUGGUCUACGAAACUCGGGAAAAACGGGUUCGGGAGUCGAUUACAUGCGAGAAAGGAUUAGCACCCUUGUCACGCCUAAAAUUGGUACUUAAUUGAUUAAUUAAUGUCUUGAUGUCGAAACUUGAAAAAUUGCAAAGAGAAAAAAAGAUCCUUUCGUUAAAAUCACCUUAAAAAACGUAUUUCACAUCAAUCGAGAAAAAGAAUUAUACCCCGUUAGUUAGGAUAUAAUCUUAAAUCCCGAAACGAGAAUAUUCACCAAAAAAUUUAUUUUUAGAAAUUUGAUUAUCUCAGUUUUAGAAAAGAAAUCAUAUUCCGUAAGUUGGAACACGAUCCUUUUUUAUUCCCGAGAUAAUUUUAAAAAUGUGUUUUUUUUAAAAGUGAUUCGUAUAUUUAGAUUUAUCAAAAAAUCAAAACCCCGUAAGUUAGGGAACGACUUCGCAAAUUCCAAAAAUACAAAAUAUUGUCUUUUUUAGGAGUUUUUGAAAUGAUUUUAAUGAAAUGUGAUGGAAUGAUAAUACAUAACAUGGAGAAAUAAUUUACGAACAAAAUGUUAUACGAAUGAAUCACUAUAGCAUGAAAAUACGAAUAAACGAAAUAAUACACAUAAUGGCAAUAAUUACACAACACAUCAUUUUUAAUACAAAUAUCAAUAAUCAAGAAAACAAAAAAAAUAAUAUAUAAAAAAAUUUAAAGAAAAUAAUAGUUUAAAAUAAAUAAUUUAUAAGGACAAUUCAAAAUAAAUAAUAAAAAUGUUCCAAAUAAACAGAAUAUAUAAAAAAAUAAGAAUAAAUAACAAUAAAAACAAUUUUAAAUAUAUAAUAUAAAAAAUAACAUAUAAAACAGUUUUAAAAAAUAUAUAUAUGCAAAAAUUAGAAAGAUAUAUACAUAAGUUUACAAUAAAUAAUAUAUUAAAGAAAUUUAAAUAAAUUAUAUGUAAAAUAGUUUCUAAUAAAUAAUAAAUAUAAAAACUUAAAAUAAAUGAUGAUAAAAGAGCAUUUUUUAAUAAAUAAAUAAAUUAAAUGGACUGUGGACGAGGUUGAAAUAGAACUAAAUUUGGGGUAUAAGUUAAAAAUCACAAAAAUAAUAAAACAAAGAUAAGGGUUAAACUAAACACGCCAAUGAAGAGCAGGGACCAAAUGAGAAAUUAUCCCAAAUCCCCUAAAUGCAGAGUUUCGCGUGGGAUUAAAAUGAAACAGAAAUAAAAUUAUGCGGUAAGAUUAAAAUAAAAGGAAAGAAAGAAAAAAGGACCAAAUAAGAAGAAUAGGAGAGGCGAAAAGACUAAAGUGGAAAUUUGCCCAUUUUAAAAAAAAAAACACGCAGAUCCGCUGGCGGGUCGGUUAGAUCGGGUCAAGGGAGAAACAGUGUCGUUUUGGCACUUGUAAGUCCUAGCCCAAAACGGCGCCGUUUUGCACCCUUAUUUAAGUCAAAAAAAUUUUAAAAAAUUUAUUUUUCUCUCUUCUCCCUAAAAAAAAAAACUCUCUCCCCUUCCAGCCAGCUUGGGUCACCAGACCACCGCGGCAGCUACCGGUCGGCGACGAUAAUGUCGCCAUCAGCGGUGGCCAAAAAAUCGAAAAGGCCCCAUUUUUUGGGGUUUUCGAUUCCAAGACCAAAAAAAUACCAAUUUUUAUCGGAAUCGGUAGACCUCACACAAAAAAGGUACGCUCUCUCUUUCUUUUUCUUCUUAUUUUUUGUUUCUCUUCUGAAACAAAUGAAAACAAAACAAAAGAAAUCAACCAAAAAAAAAAACUACCUUCGAAAAGAUCUCGAAUUUUUUGUAUAUAUUUUCUUUGUUUCUUUUUUUGUAUUCGUAUUAAUCUCUGUAAAAAAAAAGAGCCCUUACAUUCGGUUUUUGGUGACUUUUUAUAGCCAAAAUACACUGCCAUUUUUUUGUGUUCACGUUUCUGUUUUGCAGGUACAAGUACGGAGGCCGACGUUGAGGUAUGGAAGUGGUCGUACAGGGGCGCGUGGCGGCUAUAGGCAAGAGAUGCGGCGGCGGCUAGGUUUUUUAGUCCUAGGGUUUUUUUCUGAAAAUGUUGGGAUUGGGCUUGGGUUUUAGUUGUAUUGGCUUUAUUGUAAUUCUGGAGUGGGACUUUAUUUUUGUUUUGGGUCUUAUGUAUUCAAUUUUAGACCCGGGCAAAAUGGGCUAUUACAAUUUUGUUUUGCUUUUGCUUAUUUAGUGAGGAAUAACAUGAAAUACUAAGUUUCAAUUAGAAUUUGAAAAUCAUAAACAUAAAAUUUUGUUACUUUACUUUUAUUUCUUUUGUUUUUGAAUUACUUUGCGGCUAGAGGUGGUGGUCUCCUACUUCCAAAAUUUUUAAUUUCUUCUCUUUACAAAUAAUAAAAUUAUAAAUUAAUCAAUUGUAUAAUUAUAUUUUGUCCUUUCAAAAUGAUGUAAUUAUAAAUUAAUACAAAAUAAAAUUGUAUUUUGAUUCCCUCAAAAAUUUUAUAAUUUAGUUCCAACCUUUUUAAAAUGAAGUUUCUGGCUUUGCCCUUGGUUGGCCCUCAAUCUUUAAAAUUUAAUCAAAUUGCUUUUUAUUGGAUGGAAAAGUUAUUGAAUCGAUAAAAUUUUAACAGCAUUAAUGUGACGACUUGCAUAACAAUUCACCUGUGCUUCAUAAAAAAUAAAAAAAUAUUUAAAAUAUUUAAAAAAAUCAAAAAAUUUAAAAAUUGUUCAUAAAUUGCUUUUUUUAAAAAAAAACUAUCUAUAUCAACAAUGAAGUACACAUAGACUAUCAUGCGGGCGGUCAAGUUAGUAUGAUUAAAAUUUUAAUGGUUCAAUAAGUUUUUUUUCCAACAAAAGAUAUGUUGAUUAAAUUUUGAAAGUCGAUGGUCAAGAUGAUCCAAAAUAUAAAGAGCCAAAUUUUAGAGGAAAAAAAAUAAUUGAGUUAUAUAAGCAGUUUAAAUUUUUUUUUAAAAAAUUAUCAAUUGAGUUUUAACUCGGUUGGCAUCAACAUUGAAAGUUUGCAUCGAUGUUGUUGUCAGUGUAAGAGAACGUGGGCUCAAACAUGCUAAAUCAUAUUUUUCUUCUUAUUUAAGGAUUAGGAUGGUAGUUUUAUGAAAAAAAAAGUUAUAAUUUUUUUUCUUGACAACAAAUCGAAAAAACUGAAAACCAUUUGUACAUAUUUUGGUUGGGAGUAAAUUGGGUUAGUUUAAUUUUGUAUUCGAAGGUUAAAAAAUUAUAUUUAAUUUGAAUUACUUAUUUAAAUUUUUAAUAUAAACAUUAGUUGACAAAUGGAACAGAUGGGAAGAAGCUCGCCUGAGAUGACGCCUUUGCAUUCUGAUAUAGAGAAAGGUGAUGUUAAGCAUGGAGUUUCCUCCUCCCAAGAAGUAUUUCAAACACUGCUAUACAUUAUUUUCAAAAACAAAAAACAAGGUAUAGUAACUUACAAUAAUUUAGUGCAUUACGUAAAUUAAAGAAGCAAAAGCCUUUUAAUAAAGGAAACAAGUUUCAAACACACACAAGCUACGGGUUGAAAAAUAAAUAAGUAAAAAGGAGAGGGAGAGGAAUUAGAGUAGUGAGUUGUGAGAGCAUGUAGCUCUUAAAUGAAAGUGCAAUUUCUUAAGAUUAAUAGUUUUUAAAUUGAAAUUGUUGUUCAAAUGAUAUUAGUAUAUAAACUUUCAAACAAUUUCAAUAAAUAAGUUCAACUAAAUCUUUUAUAUUAGUAUAGAUAGACACCAAGGUUAACCAUGGCAAAGUUGGGGUGGAGGACUGAAAAGCUUACCAUGUCACGUGUGAGCUUGAAAUAUUUGAUAUAUAAAAUAUCUAAUACUAAAUAUAUAGAUAUAUAAGAAAGAAAAAGAAAUUGUUUGAUUACAACUUUUAAGAAAUAGUAUCUCAUGCUUUUGUGCAGAAAAUGACUCCAGAGAAUAGCGACUUGGCUAUUAAUCCACCUUCUCAAGAGAGGUAUUUGAAAAAGUAUUCUACUGCUUUUGUAUUGACUAAAUUAAAACUAGUUCCUUAAUAAAUUUGUUUAGUGUUAUUAGGAAAGUACUAUAAUUUCAAAGUGCCUCAUCGACUACGUGAAGUAAAUGAAAAAGCCUACGAACCAAAUGUGAUUUCAAUUGGCCCCUAUCAUUAUCAUAAGCCACACUUGGCCAGGACGGAAGAUUUCAAAGAGCGGUGGUUUCAGAAGUUUGUUGAGAAACCCCACCUUGGUAUCGACCAAUUUCGAGAGGCAGUCAGACCCUUGUUAGAAAAAAUUCACAAUUGCUAUGAACAACCUCUUCAUCUUGACUAUAAAGAUGAAGAAAAUUUUGAUGAAGAAAAAUUUGUAGAUAUGAUGGUGUAUGAUGGAUGCUUUGUUGUUCAGCUAAUCCGGGAGUGUCAUCUACAUGGUUUUAGGAAACUGGGACAACAUGUUUCAUGUGACAUGCGGUACGAUUUGUUAUUGCUAGAAUGUUGAAACAAUGGCAGCAGCAACUAUGAACAAAAGCACAAAACCGCAAGCAAAAAUGAAAAACAAGAACAAAAACAAGUAACCGAAAAGAAGAAGUAAUAAUAUCAUUCAUAUUUGAAAAUAUAUUGAUGUUACAAAAUGACUUGGUCAGUUACCUAAACUUGUAACUGCUCCCACCAAUUUUGGCAAGUUGCUAACUAAAAUAUUACAAAAGAAAAGCUGAACAAUUCAGCUAUUACAUCCAUCAAUUUCAAAUCUGAAAGUACUAGCUUUAGAUAUCAAGUUACAUGCCAACUUGUUCUCAUUACAUAAAGACAAAAUUUAAACAAAAGAAAGUUACUUCUGGUUCAAUCUUCAUGCUGAAAUGUAGGCAUUGCUGCUGCUGCUCUCAAUGCUGGUAAUUUGUUGCAUUGCAGGCCAAUGCUCAACACUCUUCCUUGGACUAUAGGCAACAAACACCAAUUAAAUCUCUUAAGAAUUCUAACCUGGUCGUACCAAGAGGCUUUGUCAAAAUGAUAGCCAAUUGGUCUUGUGAGCUGCAAUGUAUGAGACAUACUUCUUUGGAUUGUACAGCCUCUCGAACAAAAUGAAACUUAAGCUUAAAAUGUUUGGUUUUUCCAUGAAAAAAGGAUUCUUGGCUAAGGCAACAGCUGGCUGGUUGUCCACCAUAAUUAUAGUAGGUUCAAGUUGCUCUUCAUUCAAAUCACAUAGCAGCUUUCUAAGCCAAAUAGCUUGGCUUGCUGCUAAUGUAGGUGCAAUGUAUUCAGCCUCUACUGUUGACUGAGUAACUGUUUGUUGCAUCUUCGAGCUCCAGCAGAAAGCUUCUGAACCAAGUGUAAAGAAAUAACCUCAGGUACUUCUCAUAUCAUCAACAGAUCUGGCCCAGUCACUAUCUGAAUAGCCACUCAGUUUUAGCUCACUUCCUUUCUUAAACAUUACUCCAAACUUCAAAGUGCCUUUGACAUAUCUAAGUAUCCUCUUAGAUGCUUUCAAAUGAAUUAAAUUGCAGCAGUGCAUGAAUCUUGACAGUAGGCUGACUGCAUACAUGAGGUCAGGUCUGGUUGCGGUCAAGUAGAGCAAGCAACCAAUUAGACUUCUAUACUCCCUUUCAUCAACCCUUUCUUGACUUCCAAAGCUGGUCAAUUUCUCCCCCAUAACUAGUGGUGUACUCACUGGUUUACAAUUCCCCAUCUAAAAUUUAGUGAGGAUCUUCAGGGCAAAUGCAUGCUGACUGAUAAAAAUGCCUUGAUCAGACUGGUUUACUUCCAUAACAAGGAAGUAAGUCAUGAUUCCUAAGUCUGUCAUAUCAAACAUAUCUUGCAUCUUUUCUUUGAACCCCUGAAUCAAAUCGACCCUGCUUCCAGUCACCAAUAAAUCAUCCACAUAGAUUGAGACAAUCAGCAAUGUUUCAUCUUUAGACCUUUUUACAAACAGAGUUGGCUCACUUAAACUUUUCUCGAAAUUGGCCUAGACAGGUAAGCUUCUAUCCUGUCAUACCAGGCUCGAGGGGCUUGUUUUAGACCAUAGAGUGCCUUCUUUAGCUUAUAGACCUUACCCUCUUUUCCUUAGACUUUAAAACCAUCAGGCUGUUCAACAUAUAUCUCUUCCUUAAGAAAACCAUUCAAGAAAGCUGACUUGACAUCAAGUUGAUAGACCUUCCACUGCUUCUAUGUAGCCAAGGCAAACAGAAGCUUUAUGGUAUCCAGUCUUGCCACUUGAGCAAAUGUCUCCACAAAAUCAAUGCCAAACUAUUGACUAUACACUUUCACCACAAGCCUCGCCUUGUGUUUGUUCAAAGAGCCAUUAGCAAUGAAUUUGGCUCUGAAAACCCACUUGACACUUAUGACCUUCUUUUGUUCAGAUCUAUCUACCAGAUCCCAAGUGUCAUUUUUAUGGAUCAUGUCAAUUUCAACCUCCAUGGCCUUCUUCCAGCUUAUUUUUCUUGCAGCUUCUUCAUAGCUCAAAGGCUCAACUAUGGCCACAUUGCAUCUUUGAUAGAUGUCAGCAAUGGACCUGGUCCCUCUCACAGGAGAAUCAUCCACAUUGGCAUUACUGAACUCUUCUUCAGUUAAUUCUAAGCAGCUAUCUAUCUGCUCUUCUUCAAACUGACUUGUGUCUGAGCCAUUUAUACUCCAAAACCUUCCUUCAUCAAAUUUGACAUCCUUACUUACCACAAAUUUCUUGAUUGAGGGAUCAAAUACUCUGUAUCCCUUCUUGGUGCUACUGUAACCAACAAAUAUCCCUGGAACUGACCUUUUCUCGAGCUUGGUUCUUCUUUUUGCAGGCACAAGUACAUAACACAUGCAGCCAAAUACUUUCAAAUGGGAAACAGUUGGUUUAAGAUCAUACCAUGCUUCAAAAGAAGUUUUAUCCUUCACUGCAUGUGUUGGCAGCCUAUUGAGCAGGUACACAGAGGUGUUGACACCUUCAGCCCAAAAAAUGUUUGGAAGUUUGCUUUGAAACAGCAAACAUCUAGCCAUAUUCAUCACUGUUCUAUUCUUCCUCUCACACACUCCAUUUUACCAAGGAGUGUACACUGUGGUUAACUGAUAAUGAAUGCUAGCCUGCUCAUAUAGCUUUUGAAAUUUUUCAGACAGGUAUUCAGAACCAUUGUCUGUCCUUAAGACCUUAAUCCUGCAGCCUGUUUGGUUUUCUGCCAAAGCCUUAAACUUUUGAAAAACUUCAAAUACCUCAGACUUCUAUCGAAUGAAAUAAACCUAACAAAAUCUGGUCAGAUCAUCUAUAAACAGUAUAAAAUACUUGCUUCCAUUUAAUGAAAAAGUCUUCAUUGGUCCACAGACAUCUGAGUGCACCAACUCAAGCUUUCCUCGAGCUCUCCACGCUUGGUUAAAUGCAAAAGGCAACCUAUCCUGCUUACCAAGCUGGCACACUUCACAAACAAACUUAUUUACUUCAACCUUAAUCAUGUCCUCUGUCAAACUCAUCUUGUGCAACAAAUCAAGUGACAUGAAGUUGACAUCGCCAAAUCUUCUAUGCCAUAGACCAGUGUUGUCAACUAAGCCUGUAUAGGCUUUUCUCUCAAGCUGACUCAUAUUCAUCAAGAAAAAGUUAUCUGCCAUGGUGCUGAGACAAUUUCUCUACCAUGAACAUCACUAAUAACACAAGAAUCAUUCUUGAAAACUAGAGAGUAGUCUUUUUUAACCAACUGACCUACACUAAGCAGGUUCUGAUCUAUACCUCUUCUAUAUCCUCGAAGGUCGGGAUAUGCAAUGGGACCCUGAUCUAGUGUUGAUCACAACAUCACCUCUGCCUUUAGCUUCAAUCAGGUUCCUAUUGCAUAUCCUGACCUUCGAGGUAAAGCUCCUAUCAAGGUCUUUGAAUAGGCUUUCAUCAGCUGCCAUGUGAUGUGAGUAGCUGCUAUCCACAAGCCAACUGCAUUUUGACUUUGCUUGUGGUUGCAUAACAUGAGGCGGUAAAGACACGCUCCUCUUGAGCCUGUAGAUCUUCAACAAAUUUGGCUUGUAUUGGCUGAGCUUGUGCCUUUUCUUGAUUUCUACAAAUCUUCUCAUGAUGGCCAUACUGCUUACAACUUUUGCACUGGAUAUCUGGUCUGGUCCAGCAAUAUUUCUCCAGAUGAUUAGCCUUCUUGCAGUGAAUGCAUGGUGGAAACCUCCUUCUUCCUGUAUCUCUUCUUGAUUUUUCCUUUUUGUCAAACCAUGGCUUCUUUGACUUCUGACUUGAGCUUGAACCCUCUUUAACUUUUGCUUGAAAAGCUCCUUCAGGAUUCUCUUCUUGCCUGCUAGCCCUUCUUUGCUCAAGUGCAUAAAGUGAGUUAACUAACUCAGACAAGGAAAUGGUUGUGAGUUCCCUCGAGUACUCCAGUGAGGAGAUUUUUGACUCAAACCUCUCAGGUAAGGUGGUAAUAACCUUCCCAACAACCCUGCUAUCACUGAAAUCUUCUCUAAGGAGUCUGAUGUUGUUAACAGUAGCCAUAAUCCUAUCAGAAUAUUGCUUGAUAGUUUCUGACUCAUUCAUCUUCAGAUUUUCAAACUCCCUUCUAAGAUUAAUUACUUGUUACUGCCUUGUCUUGUCUGAUCCCAUGAACUCCUCUUUCAGCCUAUCCUAUGCUUGCUUAGGUGAAUCAUAGGCCAUAAUGCGAGUAAAAAUCACAUCAGACACACCAUUUUGUAGUCAGGCCAUGGCUUUAUGUUUCUUGGCUCGCUCCUCACAAUGUUGUCUAAUCUAAGCAAUGGUUGGAUUUUCUCUCAAUGGUGGUGGCUCAACAUCAUUCUCAACUGCACUCUACUGAUCGUGUGCUUGAAGGUAAGUUUUCAUUUUAACUACCUAAAUGUGGUAGUUCUCUCCAGCAAACACUAGUGGUGGAGGAGGUGCAAAGCUCAUGUAGCUGAAAACAGGUUUGACAAACUCGGAUGCUUCCUUUUUUAAGUUUGUUUCAAACAGAAAAAAAAAACUUAAACAACAACAGAGGUCCUCAAAGACAAGAGGCUCUGAUUACCAUUUGUUGAAACAAUGGUAGCAACAACUAUGAACAUAAGCACAAAAUCACAAGCAAAAAUGAAAAACAAGAACAAAAACAAGUAACCGAAAAGAAGAAGUAAUAAUAUCAUUCAUCUUUGAAAAUAUAUUGAUGUUACAAAAUGACUUGGUCAGUUACCUAAACUUGUAACUGCUCCCACCAAUUUUGGAAAAUUGCUAACUAAAAUAUUACAAAAGAAAAGCUGAACAAUUCAGCUAUUACAUCCAUCAAUUUCAAAUCUGAAAGUACUAGCUUUAGAUAUCAAGUUACAUGCCAACUUGUUCUCAUUACAUAAAGACAAAAUUUAAACAAAAGAAAGUUGCUUCUGGUUUAGUCUUCAUGCUGACAUGUAGGCAUUGUUGCUGAUGCUCUCAAUGCUGGUAGUUUGUUGCAUUGCAGGCCAAUGCUCAACAUAGAAAACCAACUUCUUUUCUUUGUGCUUUUGACGUUGUAUGGCAUGAUAGAACCAAAUCUUGGAUCUGAAGGACAUUUGUAUCGCUUGGCUACAUCUGCUCUUUCUUUUUUCGAUAAAGGUCCUCUCAAUUUCAAUCCUAAAAAUACUAGUAUCAGGCAUCUUCUACACUUGGUACAUAUUACUUUCUAUCCUUCACUUCUAGGAAUCCUAGAAAAAAUAGUAAGAAGCGAGGAUAAUUUCCAAACCUCAAGGAACUUGAGACCUAGCGCAACAGAGUUGGAAGAUGUAGGGAUCUAUUUCUUUGGUGCCCCUAUCCAAAAAAUGCAAGACAGGGAGCAAGGGGUAGAGAACAUGUUUGAUAUAAAGUUUCACAAAAACACCAAAAAACUCAAGAUUCCAACCUUACAAGUCUGUGAUUCCACAGAGUAUAUCUUCCAAAAUUAUAUGGCCUACGAACAAUUAUUCACAUGGGAGGUGCCAACUUUCUUUUUUGAUUAUAUGAUAUUCAUAGAUAAACUCAUCAACACAAGCAAAGAUGUGGAGCUACUCCAAAAAAGUGGAAUUAUUGAUAAUUUGUUAGGAACCGAUGACGCAGUCACCUAAAUGUUUAACAAAUUGUGUAACUCCAUUUAUUACAGCCCAAAAGGCUUCUACUAUAAUGAAAUAGCUAAUCAAGUGAAUAAGCAUUGCAAGAGAGACUGGAACAAAUGGAAGGCAAAAUUAAAGAAAGAUUAUUUUCAAACUCCCUGGUCGCCCAUAUCAUUUCUUGCUGCGCUUGUCUUGCUCCUACUUACUAUACUAUAAAAUAUAUUUUUGAUUCUUUCUUAUAAUCAGCAGAGGCAGUUAGACUACUGAAGCCAAAGUGUAUCAUAUGAAGUCAGUAUAAGUUACUAGACCUAAGAGUUAGUGUUAUAUCUCAUCUUCAUUUAUAGGUAUAAUUAGUUUGGUUUUGUUAAUCAUGGAUUCAUUUUGUAUGUAUGUUUCACAGAUCAUAGCCACUUUUUCCUGGUGCUCUGGAUUGUUGAUCAGGGGAUUGAUUUCUUCUAUAUGGGAGUUUUGAAUUUCAGGCAGCACUUGGUGACUGUCAUUCAAAGGUGUUAUCUUGUUUCUAAUUUAAUUUCUAGGCUAGAGAGUGUAUGUAAUAGUUGCCUUUGUGGAUUCCUCAGUUCAUAUCACCUAAUUUGUAUAUGUCCAAUAAUCAUCAGAUUUGUCUAUUGGUAAAGUGUAACACCCUAACCUAGCCAAGACAUUAUGGCCGAAUCUGUGUGUGUUACGAAGAAGGGUUGUAAAAUUAUAUCUUCUAAGCUAAAUCGUAUUGUUUUAUUAGUUUACCAAUCGGAGUCUUAAUAUUUGAAAAAACUUGAGUUUAUAAUCUUAAUUGAAACCAUUUUAAGUUAUCAAGAAUUUGCAGUGGAAGUUUGAAAAAUGUUUUACUCAAAACCAAGCUUGUGUUUUCGAAAACCACUUGUUAAAACCAUUUGUUUGCGUAAAGUGUUUUUAUCAACGUUGCAGAAAAGAAAGCAAAACGAAAUCCAAAUCCAAAAGUUAAAACCAUACAGUCCAGAGAGUCCCAAAAUUUACAAACUCUCAAGAAAAUUAGAUUUUAAAAUAAAACCAUUAUUACUAAAUAAAAAUAGAUCUCAAUCGAGUGGUCAUCGUUGAGCCUCCGUCGCACCAACCCACUUAAGACUGUGGAUUACCUGAAUAGAACAGACAAAUAAAUGUGAGUUUUCGUAAACUCAGUGUGUAACCUACAGAAAUAGUCAUGCAACAUACACAGAAUUUCAUAUACAGUCAGAUACAGAUUCGGGCCUAAGUCCAUAUCAGAUACAGAUAUCAAAUUCAGAUAAACAUAACAGAUAUAUAGAAUCAUAUCCCCAUCCUCUACAUACUUUCUCCGAACAUCCCAUCACACCAUGUGGGGUAAAAAACACCCACCCAUCCCAAAACACUAAAUAGUGUCAAUGCGACACAUAACAGAAUAAUGUACAGCCAAAUUGCUAAAAAAUAGGCAAAAGGUUGUUGUACAGAUCACUUCCUCCACAUAUGCAAAUCCCACCCCAAACACAGAUACAAAAUUAAUAGAAUUAACAUGCUUAACAUGCUCGUAUACAGUAUAUACUCAAACAGAACAGUUAGACAUACCUAUCAAAGUCUUACUCAGAUCUAGUAAUCAGAAUAUCAGAUCACAUGAUAAGGGUUUGGUUAACCCUUUCCGUCCCUACGGUAGGCCCACAGUCGAUCGGAAAGACCCGUGCAACACUAAAAAUAAUUUCAGAAUCCUAGGCCCACAUACCCGUAUAGCUUACCUGUGUAGGCCCACACGCCUGUGUGGCCUAGAUUGGCUUUGCCCGUGUGGCCCAUAUGGCCUGGCCCAAAACCCACACGCCUGUGUGGGCCCAUACGCCCAACCUGGCGUAGCUCAUGUGGCCGAAAUGGCCACACAUUCGCCAUCACACGAUCGUGUCUCACACACGGCCAACCACACGGCCUGGAACACGCCCGUGUGGCAUCGACAGUGCCCUUUUUUGGCUUUUGCCGAACCUCUAUUUUUUGUGUUUAGGGUACACACCUAGUUCAUUUUUGAUGCCAUAGCAAUCUCGGGACCAUCAGAACCUAUAAAUGACAUUAAUACAACCAAUUAACAACCAAUUACAAAUUCAACAUCGUAAAGUUGAAACAUGAAAAAACACUUACCUCCGAUAAGAAUAGCCCCUAUUGCGGUUUAUGCUGUUGGAGCGAAAUUUGCAGGUUCACCAACUACUUAUGCGCAAAAAAUCAUAGAGAAUCAAUCUCCAUUUCUUCACACCAUUAAGAAAUUCAAGAAUAAACCCAACAGCUUAUCGAAAUCGAAACCUAUGGACAAGUGAAAUCCUACUUACCCAACUGUACGUAAAACACCGAAUCCCCUAAAUUUUGGAAAGUGAAAACAUCAUAAAAUUUUGGAAUAAAAUAAAAUCCCCCAAAUUAAGGCAUGAUCUCCUAUCAACCCAAUCCCAACUACCCACUCUCUCAUCCACUUAUACAGACUUCCAAACUCUCUCAGACCACCGAGACAAAAACUAUCACCUUCACUUACGCAAGAAUUCAAACACAAGACCUCCAGCAAGCUAAUCCUUUACCACUCAAACCAACAAACUCAUUUUAAUAUAGAUUAACAGACAAUUUUACAUAAGGCCACCCAAUAAGGAUAAGGCUAGGAUAUAAAAAUAAUAAAAUUUUCCAAAAGUGAGACUUAAACCCAAAACCUCAUACACAUUCACCCUAAAACACCUAUCCACUGAAGCAAAUACAUAUUUGUGAUAGAAUUUACAGAAACAGAAAUAAAUUAUUCAGGGCGUUACAUAAAGAGUAUUAUUUCAUAAGAUGAUCAACCUCGUCCAGGUUGGAAAUUGUCCCAAAGCACCAAAGGUCUACUAUGAGGUUAGGAGAAUUCCAAGUAAAUUAAUAAUAAUUAGAAAUCUUUAUAACCUGUGCCUAUGUGUGUAAAAACUAUGAAUUUAGAAUAUAAAAGUGUGUUUAAAAGUAACAUACAUUAAAUAAUAAAACACAUUAUUUGAAACUAAUUAAUAAUAAUACAUGAAAUAUGUACAAUAUAAAAAUGAAAAAAAGAAGAAGAUUAAAUUGUUUAUCGUGAUGUUGUCAUCAAUCUUGAGUCAAUGUUGAGUUAAACUUGUAACACCAAUUCAAUCAAAUGCACUAUUAAUAUAUAUAUAUAUAUAAUUGAUGGAGAUAAUAAAGUGUGUAUAAUAAAAUUAAAAUAUAUAAAAAUAUUUAAAUAAAAUUUUAAUUUAGUGAUAAAUUAAAACUUUUACUAACGCAAUUGGUAUGGAUUUAAAUUCCCCCAUAUGCACUUUCAAAUAAAAAGACUAAAGCACUUUCAAAUAAUAUAAUUUAUUUUAAUUACAAAAAGAAAUUUCUAUAAUUUUUCUAAUUAAAUUAAUAUCCGAUUAACUAAUUAACAUAUAUCAAUUAUUUUGACAAGUCAAUCAAUUGAGUCUUAACUUGAUUGGCAUUGGUAUUAUUACUAGUGCAGAUGAAUGUGGAUUCAAGCACACUAAAGUACGUUUACCCUUCUAUUUAAGAAUCAAAGAGAGAUUAUGAGUAGUUCAAAGUAUUGUAUAAUAAAAUUAAUAGUAAUGGGAUUAAAUAACUCAACCAAACAUACAAGAGGUGAAAUCAUCCAUGCGUAACCUUGUGCAGAAGGAUAUGAACUUACUUGAUCGGAUUUCAAAUUUAACUUGUGCUGACAAUUGCCAGCACUAGAAGAAAUCUGAGUUAAUACCAAAUUCAAUUUCCUGUUAUAUAUGAAGGUUAAGGGCUAACAUAGUUUUGUGGGACUCUUUAUUUAUAUGCAAGUAUCAAAUAUGUAUGAAUGUGUUCAACAAUAAUUUGGUAUUGGCAAAUCAUGCAGGCUGCAUCGUAAGGGCAUAAACAUACGACUAACUUCACCAUCCGAUUUAUUGAAACUCUAUCGGAAACUGCUAAGACUUGUCCCUACUAUGCCACUACCAAUCUUCAUCAAUAAUAAUCACCAACAUUAAUGCCCUAAACUCUAAAAAGUUGUGCCUUUUAAUUAAUUAGCUAAACUACCAGUCAUUGCCCAAAUUUGCCACCCAAGUGCAAAUUCAGUGAACAAAAUUUUAGGAAAAAAAAAGAACUUCAAACCCGACCUCUAGAAGCAGCAGCGAGUUUUCUUCUCUCUUGAUGUUCUGCAACCUUAUAAUCCACCACUUCACGAAAUAGGGUCGAGUCAAGCACACAAUUCUCAUUCUCAUAAACAACUGCUUGUACAAUAGCCAUUAGUUUGGCUAUUUCCUUCCUUAAAAAUCCUUCAGUUUUAGCAGCAACUUCUCUUAAGAUAUCAUUACCCAGUCCCUUGAUUUGAAUAUUCUACAGCUGCUUUUUUAAACUAUUCUGAAGCACACCAUGUUUUCUCGAGCCAGCCUGAGCUAUGUACUUGUCUAGGUACAGAUAUAGCAAUUUGAAACGGUCAUCUUCCCCAUGCAAAGGGAAUUCCAACACUUCAUCAAUACGACUGGCCACGGCUGAAUCAAGAUCACCAUGAUGGUUUGCAGCAAGAGCGAGGACUAUAUCCUUGGACUGGUAAACAAUGCGAAAAAUAUGCGCAUUCAAUGCACUUCUGUGAGCUUCACUCAUGUAGGUUUUGUUCCGUUUGCAAAAAUAGUUCAGCCAACAAAAUCAUUAUUCAAAGGUAAACAUUAUACAAAACCAAUGGAGCCAAUAAUGUUUUAAUCCUUUACUUUGGCGUACAACAAUUAUAGUUGAGGAAAUUCUGUAUUUCUUUUUGUAAUUGUUAACAUAGAAAAAUCUUCCAGGUAAACAAUUGAUGCGAUCGUUCAAAGCACCAAAAAUAUCCUAUCCCUAAUAAAUAAUGAAAAAGAAUAGUAAAAGGGAAGUAGAGUCAAAUCCUCAGGGACUGGAUUUGCACAAUGUCUUGUUCCGUGAAAUCCCAAGUAGAAUCUUGGCCAAGAAAACCAAGGCUCCUGGAAAAAAAUAAGAAAAUAACAGAAUUAAAUAUUUGGAUCUGGAAAUGAAAAAUAAAAUAAAAACAGAAUUAAGGAUAUUGAAUCGAAAAUUUGAGAAAUUAAAAAUAGAGUUAAGAGAAAGAAAAUUCUUAUGGGAGAUUCCAGCCUCCAGUUGUCUCGUUCUGCCUUGGGUUCAAUCCUCAACUUUUAGAUGAUCCUUCCCAAACCGAAUAAGCCAGUUAUAGUGGAAGAGGACGUCUACGACCACCACCUCCAAGGAUUUAGACUUACAAUUUAAUGGAACCUGACUCUAGCCAACAAUCGCUUCUAUGGGAUCGUCUUAUGCUAGAUCAACGCUUCUCAAUGGCAAAUCCCAUGCCAUUUUGUCUCUUGGGCUUGCCAACCUCUGACGCAGCAAGCUAACAAAUCGACUGUGCAACCUUCCCAAAACAUACAAAGUGGUCGCCUUUGCAUACAUUGAAAAGCUUACUUCUUAAGGGACAUGGAUGGAAGCAUCAGCCCCGUAGUGCAGAGAAACGAUGAAUACUCAACGAGGAGGCUAAGUACGGACUUUAAGCCUCAAGAACCCUUUUUAGGGAAUAUCGACAACCUUAGGUUAGAUGGGUUUAGUGGCUCAUUGUUGAGGUGGAAAAGAAAAUAAAGAUAAUAAAAAUGGAGAUUUUAUUGAAAGGAAAUAUGAGAAGAACAAAAGCCUAGACUUUUGGGGAGAGAGUGUUUACAGAAAAAAGGUGGGAUCCCUUUUGAGUUACUUCACCCCCUAUUUAUAGUGCUAGGGGAGAUAGUCUAAUCCUACUUAAACUCCCAAAAGAUAAAUACCUUUAAUGAAAGAUAAAUAAAAUAAAAUACUAAAAUUAGAUAAUCCUUAAUAAUUAUCUUAAUAUUAAUUAUCCUAAUAUAAUUAAAAUAGAGUUUGAUAGAAUAAAAUCUCUUUUUUUUUACACUUCAACCCUUGUGUCCUCCAUGCUUGCACUGUUGGCACCAACUUUUCUUUGUGUCGCACAUUGGCCCAUUUUAUCUCUAAAUUUACACUUUUGGCCCUUGAUUUUACUUUUGUCUCAAAUUUAGUCCCUAUGAGAUAAAAGAUCAUCAAUAGCUCAAAUUAGCAGGAUCAUACUAAGAAUAAAUACAUAAUUAAUACAUAAAAAUACGUAAUUCUAGAGUGUUAUCAAAUUCCCCCUACUUAGCCCAUGCUUGCCCUCAAGUAUGGUUCCUAUCUACUAUGAAAUUUAGAUUCUGCCAUAAAAGAAAUACCACUCCAAAGUUUUAUAAAAAUCAGUCAAAAAUGCAUAUGAAAAAUAAAGAGAACCCUAAGCUUGCUUGUUUUAAGUAAAACAGAAAAAGUUUUCCACUUAAUACACACAAAAAUUAGAAUCGACUUGAAUUAUUUAAUGAAAAUUAGGUAAAUUACCAAACCUAUCAAGACACCCUAUUUGUUUCCUCCUUUAGUCCCCAAAUUAUAUUUUUUUACUUUUUUAUUUUGAUUCUGAUUUAUUUAUUAUUUAUAUUUUUUAUGAUUGAGGAAUAUACUGAACCUUUUGACGCGAAGAGAGAUAACAACCAAGCACCCCACCCCGGUUACUCAACCCAGCAGACUCCUAAUUUAUUAUAAUUUUUUCUUAAGAACACAUCGAACCUUUUGACGCGAAGAGAGAUGAUAGCCAAGCACCCCACCCCGGUUACUCAACCCAACAUGUUCUUAAAAAUUAAUUCCGGUUAGCGAAGUUUUACCUAACACGUCACACAACUUUUUGACGCGAAAUAGAAUGACAACCCAAACACCCUACCCCGGUUACUCAGUCAGUCACGUUUUUAAGCUGCACUCAUAAUCACAGAAACAUUAAACAACAUUUUAAUAAUAACUUUUUUUUAUGAGGACUUUAGAGAAAAACAAUCAAGUGUCAAAAAUAAGUUUCAGUAAUUACCUUAAUAGUCAUGAACAUAUUUUAGCAUGCAAACAUAUUAAGUGUCCACUUUGUAUUAAACUUGAUCAAUUUUACGAAAAGCAAGAUAAAGUUAACUCUAUUAAUCAUAAUUAUUUUUAGCCUAGUAAGAAUAAAACAGUGGAGAUGGCAUCAAUUAUGGAAAAUCCGUAAUUUCCUUAGAAAACAAGAAUCAUGCUUAUAGGUCAAAUAGUAGGCAAUUCUUGGUAAAUAUCUUGGGCAUGAAAAGAGGCAGGAGAUUCUAAAAAUAAAAAAUAUGGACAAAAUGGAGCCUCAAGCAACAACACUAGCCAAAAAUAAUCACAACAUCAGCAACAACAACCAAAAUCACAGCAGAAAAUGACAGUAAUAACGAAGAGUAGCUCCCCCUACUGAAAGCACAUUGUCCUCAAUGUGGACAAAAAGAAAUAAAUAGGUAGAAAAGUUUAGAAAAACUCCUCGUGUUGUUACUAUCGAUCGCAUAUGAUGGCAAUGAGCUGGGUCAGUUGCUGGCCAAAGGUUUCAAGUCGGGCCUCAAUAAGCUCUAAGAAUUGCUCAACGGUUUUCUUCGCAUUUUCGCUCUGUUUUAUCUAAGCAGAAGAAGAAAAAUUUAUUAAUAUCCAAAUAAGUAAUAAAUAAUAAAAUAAAAUAAAGUAAUAAAUACAGUAAAGAAAAUAAAUAAUAAAUAAAUAAAAAAAUGGGUUGCCUCCCAAAAAGCGAUUGUUUAAUGUCGUUAGCUCGACGUCCUUAUUGGUUCUAAGCUGGUUCAAAAUGGAUUUUCUCAACGUGUGGGCUUGAAAAUUCUCAUAAAAUGCCUUCAACCGCUGGCCAUUGACUACGAACCGCUUUCCAGAUUCUUCACUCUCUAUUUCAAUCGCUCCAUGUGUGAACACUUCAGUAACAAUAAAAGGUCCUGGCCAUCGUGAUCGAAGCUUGCCUGUGACUAACUUUAACACGGAGUUAUAAAGUAAAACUUUUUGUCCUACCGAAAAAUGCUUCUGAGCAAUUCUUCUUAUCGUGAAACAACUUUGUCUUAUCUUUAUAAAUGUGAGCAUUCUCGUAGGCAUCAUUGCGAAUUUCUUCUAACUCUUGGAUGUCUAAUUUCCUUGCCUUUCUUGCAGGUUCUAACUCCAUGUUACAUUGUCGAACGGCCCUGUCAAAACCAUUUUUAAAUUUGAAAAAACGGGUAUCGAUUUCGAAAAAUAGAAAUGGGAGUCGCCACCGAUCUUUUGAUGAGGUAUGAUCGGAUUACCUUGAAAAUGAUUUUAGGUCUACAAACUUUGAGAAAAUAGGUUCGGGAGUCGGUUACGCACGAGGAAGGGUUAGCACCCUCGUGACGCCCAAAAUUGGUACCGAAUCAAUUGUUUAGUGUCUUAGUGUCGAGAAUUUGAAAAGAUUUUAGAAUACGAUCCUUUGAAAAGAAAAUUUUAAUAAUCGAAUUGGAAAAUAAGACUUACCCACUUUAAAGAAAUAAAUCGUCACACUCAGUGAGUUAGAGCGCAACGAUUCAAUCUUCGAAGUUAGAUUCGUCCUUUUUAAAUUUUAAAAAUUCAUACAUUUUGAGAAGGAUAUUUGGUUAUUUAGAUCAGUAGAGAAAUCAAAACCCAAUAAGUUAGGGUUCAAUUUUCCUAAAAUUCCUAAACACCAAAUAUUAUCUUUAUUUUAAAAAUGAGAUAACAAAAUGUCAUAUCCAGUAAGUUAGGAUCAAAUAAUUUGAAAUCUAAAGAAUUUUAUUUUAAAAAUGUACGUAUUAAAAAUAGAUACUUGAUGAUAUAAAUUCAUCGAGAAGAAUUGAAGCCCAGUAAGUUAGGGCACAAUUCUCUCAAGAAUUAUUUAACACCAAGCCUUUUCUUGAAUUUUGAAAUGAAACGAUUAUAAUAUCUUAAUGAAAUGAAAUUCUUACAAACAAUAUGAUUGAUUAACAAUAUACAAAGCAAAUGAUGAAUAACAAAUUAAUUCUACAAUUUGGAGCACCCAAACGUAUAAUGCAUUAACAAUGAUAAUCAAAUAAACUAAUAAUCCAUCUUACAAAUAGCCAAAUGAAUAAUUAAUACAAAAAUAAUUUAAUCACAAGUAAACCAACCAAAAUAAUCUAAAUGAAUAAAAAUUUUAAAACAUAGAAUAAAAUUUUAUAAUUUACAAAUUAUAAUAAAUUUUAUACGCAUAUAUAUGUAUAUUAAAAUCAUAAAAAAAAUGAAAAAAAUAAAAAUUACUUCAUUUGAAAAAAUUUGAAGGCAAAAUUAAAUGCAUAAACAUUUUUAAAAUCAAGAACUAUGACCAACAAAUUUUAAAUCCAAUCUUAAACAAAAUUAAAAUAAUAGUAUAUAAAAUAAAAUAAAUAGAAAAUAUAAUAGACUUAAAAUAUUAAUAUAUAAUGCAUUUAAAACACAAAAUACAUUUCGUACUAAAAUAUGAUUAAUUUAAACGCUAUUGAAAAUAAAUAUAGUAUUAAGUUUUAAGAUGAAAAUAUGAUCAAUUUGUAUUUAAAAUAUUAUUGAAUUUAAAAAAACCUAAUUCGUACUAAAAUGAAAUCCAUUUCGACUUUGAAGGACUCAAUCAGUAAUUAUACGCACACAUCAGGGUAAUUCGAAUCAAUUCACAGAAAAGGCACCGUUUGAUUUGGAUCUGAAUGAAAACAGAACAAAAUAUGAAGUACAAAUUACAAACAGAUAAAAAUAUCGAAUUGCGACUCCAUAAACACGUAAGGACCCAUCGAACAAAUAGACCAUUUGGCCCUAACACGCGAAUCCUUCCCUAGAUCGGAUCACCGCUCAGGUUCGGCCUCUCAGAACGUUGCCAUUUCAAAGCCAUUACAUUGGCUCUAUCCGUUGACGUUUCAAAAUCGAGAUUUAAAGGCUUAAACCUAAAGAGCUCCUUACUUCCAAAACCUAAAGGGAAACUAACAGUUCCUGCACCGCUCGAUAUACAGCACCCUUGAGCAGUCCUCGAUCCUGGCUCGUGCUCCGACGACGACCGAAAGAGCCAAGAUCACACUGCCAGGUACGUCCUCACCUUCUUUCUAUUAUUUCUCUUCUAACCAAUGAUUAAUGAACAUAAAAACAGAAAAAAGAAGAAAAAAAUCAAUCUGGUAACCAGCAAAAUAGAAAAGAAGAAAAAAUUGGGAAAUCACCUCUUGAUCUUUUUUUCUUUUUUUUUUCUAAAUGUGUGUAUUGAAUCGUAUAUUGAAUGCGUAAAUUUUUACAGGCAUUUUUUCGGUUUUUAUAUCUAUAUUCGACAAAGAACCCGAAAAAUCGAAUUAAAUAAAAACAAAAAUAAAAUAAAACCCCCAACUGGUUUCUCUUUGCUACAUUGUUUUCAUUCUGUUUGCAGGCCUGGCGUACGGCGGGGGACGUGGCAUGUACAGAGAUGAGGGUGCACACGUACGGAGUCUCAUCACGUGCGGAGGGAGCGUGAAGAGGUGCUUCUGCUGCGACGCUGGGAACCGAAAGUUGCUAGGGUUCCUUGCUCCUGUUUUGCGUUUUGGCCUUAGUGGGCUAAAGGUUUUUUAGGCUGGUGGGUUAAUUGGAUUGGUAAUUUGGGUAGUUUAGGUUAGAAACAAUUUGGGCCACAUUAGGCCGGGCAUAAAUUGGGUAUUACAGCUGCCCCUCUUUGCUCAUUGUUGUGUAACGGAAAUGAAGCAAAGACUAAAAAUGGCCAAUUUUGCCCGGUUGUGCUAGGCCUUGCUGCUCUUCUUCUUCGAGUUGCCUCAUUCCAUCCAACUGCAUCUUCAGAUGUAUAGGAAUUGGUGCUUCAAUCCACUCCACUGUAAUAUUAGGGAGAUAGGAUUUGUAACUCGUAACUUUUGGAAAGUAAGAUUCGCUAUCGUGGCUUUAAUCUUUUUAACUGUAAUGUCGGGGAAGCAAGAUUCACCGUUGUGGCUUUAAUCUGCUUCAUUACAAUGCUUGGGAAGAUAAGAUCUGUAGUUCUUCGGUCUAUUCCACUGUAAUUUCAGGGAGAUAAGACCUAAUGCGAUCUACUCUACUGUAACUUCAGAGAGAUAAGAUCCUUUAUCUUAAUCCGCUCCACUGUAAUCUCAGGGAAAUAAGAUUACUAGCUUCAAUCUGCUCCGCUGUAACUCAGGGAGAUAAGAUUUCUGGCUUGAAUCUGGUGCGAUCUACUCUACUGUAAUUUCAGAGAGAUAAGAUCCUUUAUUUUAAUCCACUCCACUGUAAUCUCAGGGAGAUGGGAUUACUAGCUUCAAUCUGCUCCACUGUAAUCUCAGGGAGAUAAGAUUUCUGGCUUCAACCUGAUGCGAUCUACUCUACUGUAACUUCAGAGAGAUAAGAUCCUUUAUUUUAAUCCGCUCCACUGUAAUCUCAGGGAGAUAGGAUUAAUAGCUUCAUCUGCUCCGCUGUAAUUUCAGGGAGAUAAGAUUUCUGGCUUCAGUCUGAUGCGAUCUACUCUACUGUAACUUCAGAGAGAUAAGAUACUUUAUUUUAAUCCGCUCCACUGUAAUAUCAGGGAGAUAGGAUUAAUAGCUUUAUCUGCUCCGCUGUAAUUUUAGGGAGAUAAGAUUUCUGGCUUCAGUCUGAUGCGAUUUACUCUACUGUAACUUCAGAGAGAUAAGAUCCUUUAUUUUAAUCUGCUCCACUGUAAUAUCAGGGAGAUAGGAUUAAUAGCUUCAUCUGCUCCACUGUAAUCUCAGGGAGAUAAUAUCUCUAGCUUCAAUCUGCUCCACUGUGGCUUAAAUCUGCAACCUUACACUUGAAGAUAAGAUUUGCCGUCUUCGAUCUCCUCCGCCAUUGCUUAGGGAGACAAGAUCUGUAAUUUCCCAGAUCUGUUCUCUGGGGAACAUGACCUGUAGAAUGAACCUAAUUAUGCCUAAUGAUUAGGAUGGCAUGAUCAAAAUGAAUCAAAUGCUCCUAACUAGACAUGUGAAUAGUAUUUACAUGAAUGCAGAGUUUUAUUUUUUUUUUUGAGAAAGAUCCCGCUUAGGUUGUCAUUGCUCGAAGUUUAUUAAGGCUUUGUGACUGACGUGCUACAACGUCUUCUCGCUUGACUGGCUUUUCUGAAGAAACAUUUAAGUAGGUUGCCCCCCACUGUAAACCUCAAAGUUUAAUCCAUUAAGGCGCACAAUUUGUGCCAUCAUUCUCCCACUGCAAUCCAAAUGUAGAAAUAUGCGACUUUUCCUCAAUCCUUCUACCACAAUUUAAGGAUACUAGAUCUGAAUCAUUCUGGUUUCUUACACCAUUCUCAGGGUGUCGUACCAGAGACUCAUGCGCAAAUGAAGGCUCUAUUCUCCGAGGUAACCUCUUCCUAUUGCCUGAUGAUCAUUACUUGCUUGUUCAUUUAAGCUUUAUCAUUAACCGGUCACCUUAUCAUUUUGUUCAAUCAAUGCAUUUGACAACAAAAUCCAAAGAGAAAGUCCAAAUUUAGACUCUUCCUUCUCAAAUUUCAAACCUUUAAACCUGGUGUGUUCUAAACAAUAGUCUCAUUCCAGGUUCUUAAAUUAUUUAGAAAAUUUUUAGAGUAAUAUGCAAAACUUCCUUUAUGAAAGUUUUAUUAGUCCAUUAAUCAUUAUUCCAAUGCAACACACUUGCAAAAAUGGUUAUAGCAAUGGAUAAGGAUAAAGUUAGUUCUAGGCAUAAUUCAGAAUGAAUAAAUUAUCACAAAUAGUAAAGAAGGAUGAUAAAGAAGUUGAUUGGGAAUGUAUAUCUUGGAAAAGAAAAGAAGUAUUCCAAGAACAACAAAUUUAAUAUAAAUAAUAGGAGAAUUGGGUGCCCCAGAUAUCGUAGCUUGAACUUCUCUGUACAAACUUUCUAAAGGCCAUUCUGAGUUUGACAUGUGUUUAGGAAAUCUAUAGUGCUUUGUCGAUGCCCCAAGAUGUCGCCUAUCCCUUCCUGUUGAUUCAAGCAUAGCAAGAUUGCCACACACCCCGAUCUGAUCAAGAUACAAGCUGCUCUAAACACUUCAUGUCCCAAUCUGAUCAAUAUUUGAGCCGCCCUUUUUGGGUUUUCAACUCAAAUCCCCUUUGGCCUAAGGUGCCCUUUGCGGGUUUUCCCCUUAGCCUCUCCAUUUUUACUUUUUCAUCAUCAUUUUUUUAGGAAUCAAAGCGUCCUUUGCGGGUUUUCACUUUGAUCCCUUUCCUUCAAGUGAAGUAUUUCUUGACUGAGUCUGAGUUUACAGGAUUUGGCAAGUUUCUUCCAUCAAUCUCACUUAGAAUCAAAGCUCCACCAGAAAAUGCCUUCUUUACGACAUAAGAACCCUCCCAAUUUGGCAUCCAUUUUCCUCUAAAGUCUUUUUGUAUAGAGAGAAUUUUCUUCAACACCAGAUCCCCUUCGUGGAAUUCUCUGGGAUGAACCUUUUUGUUAUAGGCUCACAUCAUCCGUUUUUGAUACAUAUGACCAUGUUGGAUGGCUCUCAACCUUUUCCCUUCUAUUAAGUUCAACUGGUUGUAUCGAGACUGAACCCAUUCUGCCUCAUCCAAUUUCAAUUCAGCUAAUAACCUAAGAGAAGGAAUCUCCACUUCAAUGGGUAAAAGAGCUUUCAUCCCAUAAACUAGAGAAAAGGGUGUUGCCCCAGUAGAGGUCCUAACAGAUGUUCAGUAAGCUAAGAGAGCAAAUGAUAGCUUUUCAUGCCAAUCCUUGUAGGUUUCCGUCAUUUUUCCCACAAUUCUCUUAAUAUUCUUAUUAGCCGCCUCCACUGCACCAUUCAUUUUUGGGCGAUAUGGGGACAAGUUAUGGUGACUGAUCUUGAACUGACUACAAACCUCCGCUAUUGUGUUAUUAUUCAAAUUCAACGCAUUGUAGGAUAUGAUUCUUUCAGGCAUUCCAUAUCGAAAAAUGAUCUCCUUUUUCAAGAAUUUACUAACUGCCAAUUUCGUGACAUUUGCAUAUGAAGCAGCUUCCACCCAUUUGGUAAAGUAAUCAAUGACCACAAAGAUGAAACGAUGGCCAUUCGAAGCCUUUGGUGAUAUUGGCCCAAUAACAUUCAUGCCCCACCUGGUGAACGGCCAUGGAGCAGUCAUAGUGUGCAGAGGUAAGGGAGUUACAUGUAUCUUAUCUCCAUAAAUCUGACAUUUAUGACACUUCUUGGCAUAGCUAAUGCAGUCCCCUUCCAUAGUAGACCAAUAGUAUCCAAAUCUCAUUAUCUGUCUGGCCAUUGUAAAACCAUUUGCAUGGGUUCUGCAAAUGCCCUCAUGGACUUCCUCCAGGAUCUUUCUAGCCUCCAUGGCAUCUACACAUCUUAACAGCACUUGAUCUUUCCCUCUUUUGUACAACACUUCCCCAUCUAAGACAUACUCAAUGGUUAUUCUUCUCAGCGUUCUCUUCUCAUUUUAUGUCGCUUGAUCAAGGUAUUUUUAAUUCUUCACAUACUGUAGUAUACUCUGAUACCAAGGGUGAUCAUCUUUUCCCUCUUCUUCAAUACUGUAGCAAUGAGCCAAAACUUCAUAUAUGCUCAUCUGAAUAGGCUUUAUGAUUUCUAACUUGUUCACCUUAAUCAUCGAGGCUAGAGUAGCCAGUGUGUCAACCAUCUAGUUUUCCUCUCGUGGGAGAUAACAGAAAGUGAUGUCAUCAAACCCGUCAAUCAAUUCAAGAACCAGUUCUUUAUAACUGAUCAACUUAGGGUCUCUGGUUUCCCAUUCUCCUUUGAGUUGGUAUAUCACCAACGUGGAAUCUCCAAACACUUUUAGCACUUUGAUUUUACGUUCAAUGGCCACACGAAUACCCAUAAUACAUGCUUCAUAUUCUGCCAUGUUAUUUGUGCAAUCAAAGUCCAACUUGCUAGCGACAGGGUAAUGAUCUCCACUUGGGGAUACCAAGAUUGCCCCAAUUCCAUUACCUAUAGCAUUUGAAGCUCCAUCGAAAUUUAACUUCCAGACGUGGUCUAUUCGAGGGUUUUCUUCAGUGUUUGCCACAUACAAUAAGUCCUCAUUUGGAAUAUCAAAGUUCAAAGGCUCAUAGUCUUCCAAGGCUCUGCUGGCUAGAAAAUCAGCUAUUACACUUCCUUUUAUAGCCUUCUGACUUACAUAUACUAUGUCAAAUUCAGAGAGAAGAACUUGCCAUCUAGCCAUUCUCCCAUUUAAAGCAGUUGAUUCCAUCAUAUACUUUAAAGGAUCCAAUUUUGAAAUCAGCCAAGUCGUAUGAUGCAACAUGUAUUGCCUUAGUCUUCGAGUUGUCCAAAUUAAAGCACAACACAACUUUUCAAUGGACGAGUACCUCAUUCCACAAUCAGUGAAUUUCUUUUUGAGAUAGUAUAUUACUCUUUCUUUCUUUCCUGUUUCAUCAUGUUGGCCCAAGACGCAUCCCACGGAACUGUCAAACACCGUUAGAUAAAAUAUCAAUGGCCUAUCUGGACUAGGCGGUGAUAGUAUUGGAGCAUUAGCCAAGUAUUGUUUUAUCUUGUCAAAAGCUUUCUGACAUUCCUCAUCCCAUUCUCCCAGAUUAUGUUUCUUCAGAAGGCGAAACACUGGAUUGCAUUUCUCAGUCAAUUGCGAAAUGAACCAAGCAAUGUAGUUCAACUUUCCUAGGAAACCUCAGACCUCUUUCUGGAUGCUUGAAGGAGGCAGAUCUCGUGUUGCUUUAACUUUAUCAGGGUCAAUCUCAAUCCCCUUCUUACUGACUAUGAAGCCUAACAACUUUCCUGAUCUGGUUCCAAAUAUGCAUUUUGCUGGGUUGAGCUUGAGCUGAAAUUUUCUCAAUCUUAAGAACAAUUUCCUCAAGACUCGGAGAUGAUCCUCUUCAGUUCUAGACUUUGCAAUCAUAUUAUCAAUAUAGAUCUCAAUUUCUUUAUGCAUCAUGUCAUGAAACAGGGUGACCAUUGCCCUUUGAUACGUUGCUCCUGCAUUCUUCAAUCCAAAGGGCAUUACUUUGUAACAAAAUGUUCCCCGUAGGGUAAUGAAUGUGGUUUUCCUCAUGUCCUCAGGAUGCAUCUUUAUUUGAUUGUACCCAGAAAAGCCGUCCAUGAAAGAAAAUAAUGAGUAACAAGCUGUGUUAUCUACCAAAGUGUCAAUGUGCGGCAGCAGAAAAUUGUCUUUUGGACUAGCCUUAUUCAGGUCCCUAUAAUCCACGCACAUUCGUACCUUUCCAUCCUUUUUGAGAACAGGGACAAUGUUUACUACCCAUUCUGAAUACUUAACCUCCUGUAAGAACCCAGCAUCAAACUGCUUUUUGACCUCCUCUUUUAUUUUCAACACAAUAUCAGGUCUCAUUCUUCUGAGCUUCUGCUGAACUGGUUUGCAAUCCUCUUUUAUAGGUAAAUGAUGUACCACAAUGCUAGUAUUUAGGCCUGGCAUAUCCUGGUAGGACCAUGCGAAAACAUCUUUGAACUCUCAGAGUAACUCAAUGAGGUCAUAUUUUGUCUUUGCGGUGAUAUCAGUUCUGAUUUUCACCUCUUUUCCUUCCUCUAGGCUCACAAUUUCUAAUGAUUCCUUAUGAGGUAGGAUUUGUUUAUCCUCUUGUUCCACCAUUCUCAACAAGUCCAGAGAUACACCACAGUCUUCGUCAUUUUCAAAGUCAUGAGAUCCUUCCAAACACAUGUCUUGAUAAAAAAGAGACUCCGUGUUUGAAGCAACAUCACUCAUGUCAUUGAUAUCUGAGGACCUAUAGGGAUACACCAAAGAAAUAUACAAAGUAUAAAUUUAUGAAUAAUUAUUUGUACGAUCAGGUUAUAAAUGAAAAAAAUAUUUGGAAGAAGAUAAUUAAUCAAAUGGAAAACAUUUACUCGCUUGGAAAGAAUAAAAGAAUAAUUGCUCGAAAUGAAUGCAAAGAUGUAUUUUACUAGGAUAAAGAUAUUCAGACUUAAGCCUAUUUCACAAAGGAUUUCUUAUCAUUCUUAGGCUAAAAACAACAAUAAUGUUUUGAACAUUACUCUGAAUAAGCUCUAAAGACUACAGGUAUUUCUUCCGCAGUCCAAUUGUUUAGCUCACUCCCAGGUUCGUAAGGGCCAAUCUCCAGCAAGGACCUUCUUUUAGCUGUCUCUAUAGCAUUGAUAUAAACUUUUUCCAACAUAUCUUCAAUGUCUUCCCUUCUGGACACCCCUCACUCAGGGUAAAUAAACCCACCCGACACAAAGGAUUUAGAUAUGUGAGGGAAGGUCAAAGGCUCCCACUUGACUUCCUCUCUGCUUAAACGUGCCAUUCUUCUCUCCUGCCUUUUCUCCACUUCUCUUCUCCUUUGUUUCAUAUAUGGCUUGUAACCUAAGCCAAAACGAUCAAACUUUCCUUUCAGCACAGGUGCUUCAACCCUUCCUUGAAGGUACUUUCCCAGCCCUUUUCCUGGCGAAGCUCCUCUUCCUACCAUCAACUGCAGACCCACCUCAGUAGUCUUGGAUAUCUUCGGUACCGGGAUCUUGUUUCCUUCAGCGAUAAACGUUGCGUUCACAAAUUCCAAGGACCGGAAAGAACAUUCCACUGCCUCAUCAUUGGUCAGUACAUAAGGUGCAUCACUCGUUACCAUCGCGAUAAUAUCUUCCUCUGCAUUUAUUGUUACCAAUCGACCCUCUGAUAUUAGCUUCACCUUCUGAUGUAACGAUGAAGGCACUGCCCCUGCCGAGUGUAUCCACGGUCUCCCCAAUAAACAAUUGUAGGAAGGCUUAAUAUCCAUUACUAAAAAGUCCACCUCAUAAGUACUUGGGCCAAUUCUUAAUGGUAUUUCAAUUCUUCUUAUAACCCUUCUUUCUGUUCCAUCAAAUGCCCUUACUAUAUUCUAGUAGGGUUUCAUAUGUGAACUGUCCACAGGUAAUCGAUUAAGAGUGGACAAAGGCAAUAUGUUCAAUGCGGAUCCAUUAUCGAUCAAAACCCCCGGUAAUAUGUCCCCCUGACACCGGGUAGUAAUGUGUAGAGCUUUAGUAGAACCCCUACCUCCAGACGGUAUUUCAUCAUCAUUGAAGAAGAUAAAAUUGUCAGCACUUAUAUUGUUGACCAAGCGAUCCAAUUUAUUGACUGAGAUGUCUUCGGCCACAUAUGUUUCAUUUAGUACUUUCAUCAACGCACUUCGAUGUACUUCUGAACUUAGGAGCAAAGCUAAUACAGAAAUGUGGGCCGGUUGUUUGUCUAGUUGCUCCACAACACUGUAUUCAUUGUGUUUCAAAAACUUUAAAAACUCAUUUGCUUCUUCUUCAUUUAUUGGUUCAUUAACCAAUGGAUUAGAUUCCACCGCUUUCCCUUUCCUCUGUUCCACCGUCGGAGUCUUUUCUCUUGGCAAUUCUGCUCGAGUGUCAUAACGCUUCCCAUUACGUGUAUAAGAACCCCUUUCCUGGUAUUCUUUUACCAUAUUGCCCUUAACUUCUUUUCCUGGGAUUGUCACAUUGCAUCCGUAAUUCCACGGGACCAUUUUGUCAACCUUAUAUGUGAAACUUGACGGUUUCGUGAUUACAAUUUUUGGUGUUACCUGAGCCCUAGUCUCAUUACUCUUAGGGCGUGAGAUAAUGACUACAGGAUGAUUUAUUUUCAGGGUCCCUGUUCCCGACUCUGUCGCGCAUAUGCUCCUUCUUUCUUCCACAUCUUCAUAGAACAUCAUCUCCUUGUUAUCCAUCAUGCUUUGAACCAAAGCCCUGAAUCCUUUACAUUCUUGGAUUUCGUGCCCUGUUUUAUGGUGGAAUUCACAAUAAUUUCCUAUCUCAUACCCCUCCUCCAAAUCUGAAAUAACUAACCCUCUUUUUGUCAUCUUUUUCCAUACUCGCUUCAAUGGAGUUCUUAGUUCAGCGAUGUCAGUCUUAACUUCUUCCCCCGUAGGUUCGCUCAACAUAUUCACUCCCUUAUCAUCACGAUUAGGCAAUGGACCUUCUGUGCUGGGUGAGUCAUCAAAUUUGACAAUACCCAAUUUUAUAAGUCCUUCUACAACCUUCUUGAAAGCGGUACAAUUUUCUAUUGAGUGUUCUGAAAUCCCUGCAUGGUAGUCACAUUAUUCGUUCGUGUCAUACCAUUUUGGAUACGGGGGUUGUAGAGGAUUCAAGUAACGAGGAGCAACAACAUGUGCAUUAAAUAACUUCUGAUACAGCUCUUUAUAUGUCAUUGGAAUGGGAGUGAACUGAGGCUUCUUAGUAUUUUUCCUCAUUCCCGAUUAUUGUUUCGAUGAGCCUUGUUGAUUAGCAACCAUCUUCCCUGGUUGAUUCACUGUAAUUGAUUUACUGUAUGCAUUCACAUUGUUUGCUUCACCUUCUUUUUUCUUUGAAGCUGACCUUCGAUUAUUCUCCCCACCAUCUCUUUUUCCACUUUUAAUAGCAUGUUCAAUCAUUUCGCCAUUCAUGAUUAUAUCUGCGAAACUCUUUGAGACACUUCCUAACAUGUGCGUGAUAAACGGCGCCUUCAAAGUGUUGAUGAAAAGCAUCAUCAUUUUUUUUCCAAAAGUGGUGGCUGAACUUGAAUUGCAAUCUCUGUCCACCUCUGUGCAUACUGUCUAAAACUUUCAUUUGAUUUCUUUUCCAAGUUCUGCAAAGUAAUUCUGUCAGGAAUUAUUUCAGAUACAUGACUGUACUGUCUCAUAAAAGCCUGCGCCAAAUCCCUCCAAGUGCUGACUUUGGCCUGGCUCAACUAGUUAUACCAUUUAGACGCCGCCCCAAUGAGGCUAUCCUAAAAACAAUGUAUUAACAGCUUAUCAUUGUUAAUGUACCCAGUCAUUCUCCUACAGAACAUUGUAAUAUGGGCUUCAGGGCAACUGGUCCAACUAUACUUCUCAAAUUCUGGCAUCUUAAACUUGUAAGGAAGUACCAAAUCCGAAACCAGACUCAGAUCUUUUGCAUCUAUUCCAUGAUAACUUUCAAUGUUUUCUAUCGCCUUAAACUUCUCUUCAAUCCAUUUCUAUUUCUCCUCAAACUGUUUUGAUAAUUCUUCCUUUUCUUUAUCCUUCUCAGCUACUUCAUCGAAGUCCGGGACAGCAAGAUUAACUGGGUUUUCACUGGGGUUAGAACCUGAUCCAGCGUGGGAGUUCAUCGGUAUUGGAGUAUCAGCUUGAAACCGCUGAGGCAUUAUUGAAACAGAGGAUCUACGUGGUUGCACCUCAGUCUGAACCUGCGCAUGCAGAGGCGUAAAGCCUGGAGGAUAGGUGGGUCCAGUCUUGUCUUCUUCUUCACCAUUGAUCAUAGGGAAUUUCCCCUUAUUUAAUCCUUUUAAUAAUUGCGUCAGCUCAGUCAUCAUGUCCUUUUGAGACUCCAGCAUCUUUUCUGUCAUGUCCUGUUGAAUUUUUUCCAAUUGUUCAUUCAUUUGUAUCUGUAACUGAUCUUGCAUUUCCUUUUGAAGUCACUCCAACUUUUCCAAUCGUUGGUCCAUAAUUUUUUAUUUUGCACGGGUACCGUAGCGGUGUUUGGUUGAUGAGUUUUUUCUAGUUUCCAGAUUAACUGAAGCACAAUUUUAACCAAUUAAAACCCCUUUUUAAUAAUCUUGAAUGCAUAUGAUGACAUGCAAUGCAGAUGCAUGAAAUGAAUGCAAAAAAGAGCGUCAAUUCUGAUUCAAUUUAUUCUUAGAAAACUUUAUUGAUAAACAAAAUUCUUUACAUAAAAUAAACUACAGACAUUGUUUUGCCCUAAUGCUCAGAGCUCUAACUUCUUUCAACAAUGAAGCUAACUCCUGACCCUGGUCCGAUUCUAGUUCAUACUUAACACUUAAAACAUCAGCCUGAAUUGCCAUUGUUUGCAAAUGAUCAGCUACCUCCCGAACUUGAGCAAUAGCUCUGCCCAUAAUGUAAUCCUUGUUCUGAAUUUGAUUCUGUGAAUGAUGAAGUUGCUCCCUCCAACGCUCUUCGUUUCCUUCAAAGGAUUUGAUCCGUUGUCUACAGCCUUGUAAUGUGUACUCCAAUUCUUCUAUCCUCUUUUUCAAUUAUUCAAUCUUGCAAAGACUUGUCUUUAAUUCCACUAUAGAAUUACGACUUCUAUACGUAGCAAGUGAUCUCUCGAGUUCGCUAUUCUAGGCUUUCAAGUCCGCUUGAUAAGUUUGAGUUUCUAACACCUACCGCUCUAAUGUCUCUUUCUGAAUUGAGUCUCCCAGGACUUUCUUUCCCACCGAUCGGCUUUACUUCUUUUUUCCUAGAUCUCAUGUCGCCACUGCUCUGAAGUCUUUCCCGGCCCGACAGUUCUCAUUGAUACUCAUAACCUCCUGUAGUCUGUCUUUAAGCUAUCGAGAUCCUCCUCUACUUUAUUUUUCCCCUUCUUUAAUUUUUCAGCUUCUAAUUUUUGGACGUCGACGUCUAGCCUCAAAUGCAUCUUCUCUUCUUCCAACUGCUCUAUUUUCUUUUCAAGUUCUAAAUUCCUCUUUUCAAAAUCUUGUUUUAUAAUCUCCAACUCUGAUGGGAUCACUUGUAGAUACUCUUCCAUUGGUCGAACACUCUUCAAUUUUAACUCUGGGAUGUUAUCAUUAAUCCUUUUACGUCGCCACUCACCGUACUCUGGAGUUGUCAUCGAACCUACAGCUAGCCUUUUCAUCCUGUGAACCUGAUUCCAAGUCUGAGAAAUUUCCUUCACCUUUUUCUUGUAAUUGUCUCCUCGGUACGAGAACUCACAUUGAGCUAAACCAUACGUUGCCGGCACAAACUAUCUUGAAUUGUAUUACCUGAGGACCAGCAAAGGUUCAUAUCCAACGGCUCCCCAAAUCCCAAGCAACGGAACCCAGUCAAAGCUUCCACAACGGUAGAGAAUUCCAUCAGGAAUCAACCAAGGAGCUCUCCAUUCCAUAUCAUCCUCUUGAAGAUUUUACAGAAUUGCUAUCCAAUUUUCUUCUGCUAUAUCGUCCCUUUUGGGGGUAGCCACUAUCUCCUUUAACGGGGAGUAAUGCUCAGAGAAAACCCGAUACGAAACUUUGUCAACCUUCUAGAAAUGACUAUGGACCAAGCUAUCAACAGUUGCGCACAACCUAUAAAUCUGCCUUCACCAGCUCGCCUACACGCUUUCAAAGAUCUAAAUGUUUCAGCCAAAAUCGUAGGAACAGGUGUGAGCCCUUUACCCAACCGAUCAAAAAGAUCUGAAACAGCUUCGUCAACAUGCCCCAGUGCCCUCGGGAAAAUCACUAAUCCGUAGAUACUCAAAGCAAACACAUCAACCUUCUUUUUUCCAUCAGGAUGUGCUAGGAUCAAGUCUCGCAAAUUCCUCCAUGGAAUACAUUUACACUCGCCCUUCUGUUUAAUCCUGGCCGUGAUCCAUUGUUCACUUAUUCCCGUAAUACUCAUUAAUUUUUUCCAAAAUGCUGGGACAUAUGCGGCUUUGGAAUAUGCUUUAUCAACCUGAAGCCUAGGGCAGUGCAGUAAAGCUGUAUAUUCCUCUACUGUAAGCACCAAAUCUACAUUCCCAAAAGUAAAACAGCUAUAUGCAGGAUUCCAAUAUUGAGCGAGAGCACGAAACAGUCGUUCAUCCACCUUGAUGUUAAGUAAGUACGGCAAGUCCCCACAAUUAGAGAAGAACAACUGCUUGGUUUCAUCAUCCCACUGAUCCCAAAUCUCACUUAACUCUUGAAGGCUAUUUUGUGUCACACUAAUACGAGUGUAGUCCCAAAGCUCUGAUACAUAAUCCUUAGCUAGAUUGUCUCCCUUUUCCAAUUGCACUUUCUCUGACCAUAUACGGACAAUGGCAUUGUCUUCCACUUUAUCAAGAAAAUCGUUUGCCAUGAAAAUUUUCUAAUUUGGUAACUGACCUUGAAUCGACACUCUUUGAAAUAUGCAAUGACAUUCAACAUAUCAACAAAACACAAACAAGUCAGUAUAACACCACAACAAUUCAAAGUAAGUAUAAGAAAACCAAGCACCUAUCCUGGUAAUCGCUAGAGGUUGGAAUAAUUCUAACCAGGUUGGUCUCUUAAGUCAGCUAUAUGAGGUUUGGUUCUAGAGUCAAGGUACCUGAACUAGCAAAUUCCUCAAUCUUCACCCAUUAUAGGCUCAUAUAGAACGAGUUCGGUUCAGGGGAAUACAUUUCCCUAUGGCUGUACGAAGAUGAAGAUCUCACGAAGACAUAGGUACGGAUGUAUCCCGAAAGUGAUCCACUAUCCUGCACGGAGGUGAAAACCUCACGAAGGAGUAGCUUCUCACUCCCUCUUAGAGGGGUAAGACAAAAAUAGCCUUCAUGCAAUAUGAUGACAAAAUAUAAAAUUCAAUUUACAGUAAUCAUGUAAACAAAUGCAAAGAGAAGAUCGUAGUUUUUCAAAUCAAAUUUUUAAUUUUCGACAAUAAGACAAAAACAAUCAAUUUUACGGCCUGACUCUCUUAUUUUGGUGUCCCCAGUGGAGUCGCCAAGCUGUCGAAACCAUUUUUAAAUUUGAAAAAAUGGGUAUCGAUUUCAAAAAAUGGAAAUGGGAGUCGCCACCGAUCUUUUAAUGAGGUAUCUUGAAAAUAAUUUUAGGUCUACAAACUUUGAGAAAAUAGGUUCGUGAGCCGGUUACGCACGAGGAAGGGUUAGCACCCUCGUGACGCCCAAAAUUGGUACCGAAUCAAUUGUUUAAUGUCUUAGUGUCGAGAAUUUGAAAAGAAUUUAGAAUAUGAUCCUUUGAAAAGAAAAUUUUAAUAAUCGAAUUGGAAAAUAAGACUUACCCACUUUAAAGAAAUAAAUCGUCACACUCAGUGAGUUAGAGCGCAACGAUUCAAUCUUCGAAGUUAGAUUCGUCCUUUUUAAAAUUUAAAAAUUCAUACAUUUUGAGAAGGAUAUUUGGUUAUUUAGAUCAAUCGAGAAAUCAAAACCCAGUAAGUUAGGGUUCAAUUUUCCUAAAAUUCCUAAACACCAAAUAUUACCUUUAUUUUAAAAACGAGAUAACAAAAUGCCAUAUCCAGUAAGUUAGGAUCCAACAAUUUUGAAAUCUAAAGAAUUUUAUUUUAAAAAUGUACAUCUUAAAAAUAGAUGCUUGAUGAUAUAAAUUCAUCGAGAAGAAUUGAAGCCCAGUAAGUUAGGGCACAAUUCUCUCGAGAAUUAUUUAACACCAAGCCUUUUUUUGGAUUUUGAAAUGAAACGAUUAUAAUAUCUUAAUGAAAUGAAAUUCUUACAAAUAAUAUGAUUGAUUAACAAUAUACAAAGCAAAUGAUGAAUAACAAAUUAAUUCUACAAUUUGGAGCACCCAAACGUAUAAUGUAUUAACAAUGAUAAUCAAAUAAACUAAUAAUCCAUCUUACAAAUAGCCAAAUGAAUAAUUAAUACAAAAAUAAUUUAAUCACAAGUAAACCAACCAAAAUAAUCUAAAUGAAUAAAAAUUUUAAAACAUAGAAUAAAAUUUUAUAAGUUACAAAUUAUAAUAAAUUUUAUACGCAUAUAUAUGUAUAUUAAAAUAAUGAAAAAAAUGAAUAAAUAAAAAUUACUCCAUUUGAAAGAAUUUGAAGGCAAAAUUAAAUGCAUAAACAUUUUUAAAAUCAAGAACUAUGACCAACAAAUUUUAAAUCCAAUCUUCAACAAAAUUAAAAUAUUAGUAAAUAAAAUAAAAUACAAUAGAAAAUACAAUAGACUUAAAAUAUUAAUAUAUAAUGCAUUUAAAACACAAAAUACAUUUCGUACUAAAAUAUGAUUAAUUUAAACGCUAUUGAAAAUAAAUAUAGUAUUAAGUUUUAAGAUGAAAAUAUGAUCAAUUUGUAUUUAAAAUAUUAUUGAAUUUAAAAAAACCUAAUUCGUACUAAAAUGAAAUCCAUUUCGACUUUGAAGGACUCAAUCAGUAAUUAUACGCAAACAUCAGGGUAAUUCGAAUCAAUUCACAGAAAUGGCACCGUUUGAUUUGGAUCUGAAUGAAAACAGAAGAAAAUAUGAAGUACAAAUUACAAACAGAUAAAAAUAUCGAAUUGCGACUCCAUAAGCACGCAAGGACCCAUCGAACAAAUAGACCAUGUGGCCCUAACACACGGAUCCUUCCCUAGAUCGGGUCACCGCUCGGGUUCGGCCUCUCAGAACGUUGUCGUUUCAAAGCCAUUACGUUGGCUCUAUCCGGCGACAUUUCAAAACCGAGAUUUAAAGGCUUAAACCUAAAGAUCUCAUUACUUCCAAAACCUAAAGAGAAACUAACAGUUCCUGCGCCGCUCGAUAUACCACACCCUUGAGCAGUCUCCGAUCCUGGCCUAUGCUCCGACGAUGAUAGAGAGAGCUAAGAUCACAUUGCGAGGAGGCUAAGUAUGGACUUUAAGCCUCAAAAAUCCUUUUUAAGGCAUAUCGACAACCUUCGGCUAGAUGAGUUUAGUGGCUCAUGGUUGUGGUGGAAAAGAAAAUAAAGAUAAUAAAAAUAGAGAUUUUAUUGAAAGGAAAUGUGAGAAGAACGAAAGCCUAGACUUUUGGGGAGAGAGUGUUUACAGAAAAAAGAUGGGAUCCCUUUUGAGUUACUUCACCCCCUAUUUAUAGUGCUAGGGGAGAUAGUCUAAUCCUACUUAAACUCCCAAAAGAUAAAUACAUUUAAUUUAAGAUAAAUAAAAUAAAACACUAAAAUUAGAUAAUACUUAAAAAUCAUCUUAAUAUUAAUUAUCCUAAUAUAAUUAAAAUAGAGUUUGAUAGAAUAAAAUCUCUUCUUUUUUCAUUUCAACCCUUGUAUCCUCCAUGCUUGCACUUUUGGCACCAACUUUUCUUUGUGUCACACAUUGGCCCAUUUUAUCUCUAAAUUUACACUUUUGGCCAUUGAUUUUACUUUUUCCUCAAAUUUAGUCCCUAUGAGAUAAAAGAUCAUAAAUAGCUCAAAUUAGCAGGAUCAUACUAAGACUAAAUACAUAAUUCAUACAUAAAAAUAAGUUAUCCUAGAGUGUUAUGAACAAUCAUGAAGGAAAAUUGUUAAGACUAGCAUAAAGAAAUUACCCUUAACAUCCUAAUGAAACCAUGCAUGUAUAUAUUGUCCCAAGCAACCUCCAUCAUAAACAACCAGUUUUCUUCUCCGUUGAUGUUCUCUAACCUUAUUGUCGAAACCAAUUUUUUGUAAUAAAAAGGGUCGACUUUUAUUUUGUAAAUAAAAACAAUGAAAUGGGAGUUGCCACCGAUAUUUUUUUUGUGUGAUCGGAUCACCUUGCAAUUCAAUCAUUUAAAUCAAAUGUUUUGAUUUUACUAAAACAAUGAUUUUGGUCUACAAAAUUCGAGAAAAAUAGGUUCGGGAGUCGAUUACGUGCGAGGAAGGAUUAGCACCCUCGUCACGCCCAAAAUUGUUACCUAAUUAAUUAAUUAAUGUCUUAAUGUCGAAAGUUAAAAAUUUUGAUAAGACUUAAAACAUGAUCCUUUUGUUAAAAUUACCUAAAAGAAUUUAGAAUGGGCGUAUUUCAAAUCAAUCAAGAAAAAGAAUUAUACCUCGUGAGUUAGGAUAUAAUCUUAAAUCCUGAAACGAGAAUAAAUAUUAAAAAAUUUAUUUAUUUUUAGAAAUUUUUGAUUAUCUCGAUUUUAAAAAAAAUUAUAUUCCGUUAGUUGGAAAACGAUCUUUUUUAAUUCCCGAGAUAAUUUUGAAAAUGUAUUUUUUAAAAAUGGUUCGUAUAUUUGGAUUCAUCGAAAAAAUCGAAACCCCGUAAGUUAGGGAACAAAUUUUCGAGUUCCAAAAUAGGAAAUAUUGCUUAUUUUUAAAAGUCUUCAUUUUUUAAUUUGAGUGAAAAUUAAUGUAAUAUUUAAAAUGAUAUACGAAUAAAAUAUUAAGCUGACGAAUGACUACAAUGCGAGUGCAUUAAUAAACAAAUCGUAGCAUAUAUAAUGAUAAUGAUCACAUAACAUACAUCACUUUAAUACUAAUAUUUAAAAUCAAAGAAAAAUAAAAUCAAUAAUAAUAACAAUGAAUAAUCACAGUAAUAACAAUAGUAAAAUAAACACAUAACAAGACAAUAUCAAAUUUAAUAGAACAAAGGAAUUAACAAAUAAAUACACAAAUAAGUAUUGAGGAAAAUAAUUUAUGAAAUAUUAAAAGGACAAUUAAAAUGGGUGAAAUUAAGGUUGUAGGAAUAAUAAUAAUGAUGAUGAUGAUGAUGAUGAUGAUGAUGAUAAUCAAAAAAACAAACCGAUAAUAAUAAAAUAAAAAAAUAAGAAUAAAAAAAAUAAACUUUAAAAGGAUAAACUUAAAUAAAUAAAGGAUUUAAUUGAAAUUAAACCAAAUUUAAAAGAUGAAUUAAGGAAAAAAAAUAAACAAAGGACCUAAUUGAAACGCGCGAAUAACUCAGAGGGACCAACUGGGGAAAUAUCCCCGCCCUCUGAAACGCACUGUUCUGCUAGGACCAAAUCAAAACUAAACUAAAAUUUGAAGUAUAAAUUAAAAGACUGGAUUUAAACAAUUAAAAAAUGCGGAAGGAUUUUACGCGCAAAUAGUCCCUUCCACCAAAACACGUGGACCUCAUUGCGGGGUGGAUCAAAAUCGAGUCUCAAAGUCUUAUACGGCGCCAUUUUAAGGCCACUAAAACAGGCCCUAAACGACACCGUUUGGUUAUUCUAUAAAAGUAAGAAUUUUUUUAAAAAAAAUCAAUCUAUCAUAUUUUCUAAAAAAAAAAUCUUCCCCCACCUUUUUCUAUCAACUCUCUUGAAUUUGGCCGUGGCUCCAGCGCCGGACCACCAUGGCAGUCGUCGGUCGGUGGCGACAAUGCCGCCGUCCACGGUGGCCAAAAAAUCUAAAGAAACCUAUUUUUUGGGGCUUUUCGAUUCGCCAAACCAAAAACGAUGAUUUUCAUCGGAAUCGACGGACCUCUUCCCUCGGCGGAGCAAAAAUGCGAACAAAAAGGUAAGUUUUUUUUAUUCUCUUACCUUUUUAAAAAAAUGAAAUCAGACAAAAAUAUAAUGAAAAAAAGAAGAAUUUGGGGCUACCUUUGCGAAAAAAGUCACUGUUUCUUUGAUUUUUUUUUGUAUUCGUAUUGUGUAAAAAAAAAAGUCCAUACAUCACUAUUUUUAGGGCUUUUUAUAGCCAAGAAUACAAUUGUUAUUUUCUUUUUUUUUUGUUUUUCUACUUCUAUGUGUUGUUUGUUUUGCAGGUACGGAGCUGUGUACAGAAGUGGUCGUACGGAGGCACGCGUGCCUGAUGUGCGGUGGCUGAAGGUUUAGGGGGCUAGGGUUUUUUUUUGUUUUCUAAAAAUGCAGUUGGUCGAGUUUGUAUUGGGAUAGGGCAAAUUAGUUUUGGGUUUAUUGUAAUUGGGCCUACUUUUGGACUUGAUGUAAUAGGUUUUUGUUAUUAUUUAUUAUGUUUGGUUUAUUUGCUUAGUGGGCCAGGCAAAUCGGGCCUGUUACAGUUGCCCCUCUUUGCUCGUUGCCGUGUAACGAAAAUGGAGCAAAGACUUUUGAAAAGGGCCCAUUUUGCCUGGCCUCACCGAACCUUGACCUCUUGGGGCUCGUCUUCUUUAAGUAGCCUCUUCCUAACUCACUACAACUUCGGGGAGAUAAGAUUCACUACCUUCAAUCUUCUCCACUGUAACUUUAGGGAGAUAAGACUUGUGACUUCAAUCUACCCCAUUGCAGUUUUAAGGAGAUAAGGUUUGCUAUGAUCUGCUCUACUGCAACUUCAAAGAGAUAAGAUCUGUAAUUUAGCUUAAAUCUAUACCACUGCAACUUCAAGGAAAUGAGAUAUGCUAUCUUCAAUCUGCUCCACUGCAAGUUCAGGAAGAUACGACUUGUAUCUUCAAUCUGACCCACUGCAACUUCAGGGGGAUAAGAUUUGCUAUCUUCAGUCUACUCUACUACAACUUUAGAGAGAUAUGACUUGUAAUUACAAUCUGCCCUACUGCAACUUCAGAGGGAUAAGAUUCGCUAUGAUCUGCUCUACUGCAACUUUAGAGAGAUAAGAUCCGCUAUGAUCUGCUCUACGACAACUUCAGAUAGAUAAGAUCUGUGAUUUAUAGCUUUAAUCUGUUCCACUGUAACUUCAAGGAAAUAAGAUUUGCUAUCUUCAGUCUGCUCCACUGCAUCUUCAGGGAGAUAAGACUUGUAACUUCAACCUGUUCCAUUGCAACUUCAGGGAGAUAAGGUUUGCUAUGAUCUGCUCUACUGAAACUUCAGAGAGAUAAAAUCUACAAUUUAUAUCUUUAAUCUGCUCCAGUGCAACUUUAGGAAAAUAAGAUUUGCUAUCUUCAGUCUUCUUUACUGCAACUUCAGGGAGAUAAGACUUAUAACUUCAACUUGUCCCAUUGCAACUUCAGGGAGAUAAGGUUUAUAGCUUUAAUCUACUCUACUACAACUUCAGAGAGAUAAGAUUUGCUAUCUUCAGUCUGCUCCACUGUAAUUUCAAGGAGAUAAGACUAGUGGCUUCAAUCUGCUCCACUGCAACUUUAGGGAGAUAAGAUUCACCAUGAUGACUUCAAUCCAUCCCACUGCAACUUUAGGGGUAUAGGAUUUGUGGUUUUAUCGAUCUGUUCUUUGGGGAACAUAAACUAUAGAAUCCAUUUCAUGGGCCAAUUUAUGCCAAGUGAUUAGGAUGUCAUGAUCAGAUUGAAUCAAACGCUCCUAACUGAAUGAUAUUUGCAUGAAUAUAGAAUGCCAUUUUUUUAAAAAAUGAUUCCCUUUUAAUGCUUGGGUUAACAUUGCUCAUUGUUCAUCAAAGUUCUGACGCAUUACCCUACCUUCUAGCUUAACUAGUAACUUUGAUAGAAAACUUGAAGAAAUAGCCAUAAUUCAGACUAUUCUUUCUCAAAUGUUCCCAACCCUUAAGUUUGGUUUGUUCUAAAUAAUAGUUCUGUCUCAGGUACUUGUACAAUUUAGAAGCUUUCGGAGUAAAAUGCAGAACUCUUUUUGAGUAAAUAUUAUCAGUCCAUCAAUCGUUAUUUCAAUAAAAAAAUGCUUGAAAAAAGAUUAUCACAAUGGACAAGAUGAAAUUUUAUUGAGAGUAAAGCUUGAAAUGAAUAAAUUAAUCAAGAUAUUAGAUUUUGCUAAGAUACAAAAUGAAUAAGAUGAAGAUAGGUGCCCUAGAUAUCGUAGUAUGAACUUCUCUGUACAAAAACUUCUCGAGGACCCUUUGAACUUGAUACGUGUUUAGAAGUCCUAGAAGGCUUUAUUGAUGCCCCAAAAUGUAGCAUCCUUCCUUCUUGCUAAUUCAGAGAGGAUAAGACUACCACAUGCCCCACCUUUGAUCAAAAAUUUGAAUUGCUCAUUCCUGGGUUUUCAACUCAAAACCCAUUUGGUCUCAAGGUGCCCUUUGUGGGUUUUCCAUUGGCCUCUCCUUUUUCUUUUUCUUUUUAUUCUGUUUUUUUUAAAUAUUUUUUAUUGAAUCUAAACUCAUAUGAUUAGGCAUGUCCUUGUUAUCCCUCCCUGUCAAAAUUAAUGUUUUUUCAGAUAAGGCCUUUCACAUAAGGUCUUUCCCAGUUUGACAUCCACUUUCUUCUGAAGUCUUUUUGUAUGGGAAGGAUCUUCUUCGAUACUAGGUCCCCCUCAUGGAAUUCUCUGAGGUGAACCUUUUUUGGUGAGCUAGCAUCAUUUCUUUUUGGUGCAUUUGACCAUGAUGGAUAACUUGGAACCUUUCUCUUCAAUCGGGAUUGGAUCCAAAAACUCAGAGAGAAGGAAUCUCGACUUUAAUAGGUAAAAUUGCAAUAAGCUAAAGAGAAAGGCGUUGCCCCGGUAAAGUUUUUUUUGUUUUUGUUUUUAUUUUUUUUGUUGCCUCCACUGUACCAUUCACUUUGGGGCGAUAUGGUGUUUGUCUUGACCAGAUUGCAAACUUCUAAUAUCGUACUGCUGUUCAAAUUUAUUGCAUUUUCAGAUAUGAUCUUUUUUGGCAUUCCAUACCGACAUAUGAUUUCUUUUUUCGAGAAUUUGCUGAUUGGCAUAUGAAGCAGCUUCCACCCAUUUAGUGAAGUAAUCGACAACCACAAAGAUAAAUCGAUGACCGCCAGAAGCUUUUGGCGAGAUCGGUCUAAUGACAUCCGUGCCCCACACAGAGAAAGGCCAUAGAUUCCUUUAAUUCUUUGUAAGGUAGUAUCUAUUUCUUAUCUUGCUCUACUAUCCUUAGCAAAUCAGGAGAUAAGCUACAGUCUCGGUCAUCUUUAAAGUCCUGAGGUUCGUCUGGACACAUAUCUUGCUCAAAAAGAGGUUCUGAGUCAAUAUCAGUGUCGCUCGUAUCAUUGAUAUAUAGAGACCUAUUAUUGGGACGAAGGAAGAUCCAAAGAACAAAAGAAUCUAAGAAUAUUUAUCUGUAUAGUAUGAUUAUGAAUGAAAUGGAAACAAUAAAAAAGUAUUUGCUCGAAGUGAGAAACAAAGAUGCAUUUUAUUGAAAUAAAGAUGUUGGACAUAAGCCUAUCUCAUGAAAGGAUUAUUAUUGCUCCUAGGCUUAGAGCAAUAAGUGUGUUUUGGACAUUACUCUGAAUUAGUUUUAAAAAUACAGGGAUCUUUUCCACAAUCCUAUUUUUCAAAACACUCUCAGAUGUGUAAGGGCAAAUGUCUAAUAAAUUAUUGUCCCCGGCUCCUUCUUUGGGUACAGCGUUAAUGUUCGAAUUCCCCAACAUUCCUUUCGGGCCUUUGACCUCUUCAAGGAAUUCCAAUUCUUUAUUAUCCAUUAGGCUCUGCACCAAAGAUUUGAAUUCAACGCACUCCUGGAUUUUAUGACCUUCUUCAUUGUGGAACUCAUGGUAGCUCCUUGUCCCUUUUGGUAUCUCCUCUAGAUUCUGAAAGAUUAACCCCAUGUCUAUCAUUUGUUUCAAAACCCAUUUCAGUGGGGUUUUUACUUCUGCAACACUGGUUUUGGUUCUCUUUCUUCUAUUCUCAAUUAUCGCAUUUACCCCCGAGUCUGGAUGACUGAGUAACAAAUUUCCUGCCACAUUAGGUCCUGAUAGAUCGUCAAACUUCACGAUGCCCAUCUAGAUAAACCUUUCCACUAACUUUUUAAAUGUAAUGUAGUUUUUAAUUGAGUGACAUGUUAUUCUCGCGUGGUAUUCGCAUUGGUUAUUCGCAUCAUACCAUUUUGGGAAUAGAGGUUGCACGGGUUACGAGUAGAACGAAGAUACCACAUAUGUGUCAAACAGAUUCUGAUAUAGCUCCUUAUAUGUCAUUGGGAUGGGUGUAAACUAGAGUCUUUCAAUGUUUGGCUUUGAGUUAGAUUCUUACUUUGAAGGGUCUUGAUAACUAGUGGUUAUGACCCUCAGUUUUCCUACAGUGACUGAUUUGGAAUACUCUCUACUCAAGUUAUUCACUUUAUUUCUCUUUUUCUUCAGGUCUGAUCUUUUGGUGCUUUCUCUCGCGUCUAUCUUCCCACUCCUUAUCGCGUUUUCAAUCAUAUCACCAGACAUUACUAUAUCUGAAAAGCUCAGGGUAGUGUUUCCCAGCAUAUGGUUAAUGAAUGGGAUUUUUAGAGUGUUGAUGAAAAGCAUCGUGGUUUCUUUCUCUAGAAGAGGUAGCUGGACAUGUGUCGCUACCUCUCUCCAUCUUUGGGCAUAUUGCCUGAAGCUCUCGCUUUGCUUCUUUUCCAUAUUCUGCAGUGUAAUUCUGUCAGGUUUCAUGUUUGUUACAUGGUUGAAUUGCUUCAUGAAAGCCUGUGCCAAGUCCUUCCAAGAGUGGAUGUUGACACGGCUUAACUAGUUGUACCAUUUGGUAGCCGACCCGAUCAGACUAUCUUGGAAGCAAUGAAUUAACAAUUAAUCAUUAUUAAUGUAUCCUGUCAUUCUUUAAUAGAACAUCAUGAUGUGGGCUUUAGGACAACUAGUCUCAUUAUACUUUUCAAAUUCUAGAGUCUUGAAUUUUCGUGGAAGUACUAGAUCUGGGACCAAGCUCAGAUCCUUGGCGUCAACCCCGCAUAGUAAUCAGCAUUUUUCAUUGCUCUGAGUUUUUCUUCUAACCACCUAUAUCGAUCUUCGAGUUGUUUUGGCAGUUCAAUCUUUGCCUUUUCUAUUUUUGUCAUUUUGUCUAGGUCAGGAACUACAGGAUUGGUUGGAUUAUCCCUUGGAUUGGAACUUGAGCCUGUCGGGUAUUUCAUUGGUGCCGAGGUAUCAGUCUGAUAUUGUUGGGCUCUGAUAGUAAUGGGUACCCUUGGUGGAUGCGUGUCUGGUUAGACCUGAACACUUCUUGGGGGUAAAACUUAGGGGUAGGUAGGGUAUUCACUAUCAUCCCCAGAGUUGACCGCUGGGCUUUUCCCUUUUUUCAAGCCCUUUGGCUAGUAACUGCGUUAAUUGGUUCAUCAUACUUCUUUCGGAUUUCAGUAUCUGAUCCCUCAUCUCUUGUUGUACUUUGGCUAACUGUCCUUGCAAUUGCACUUGCAACUGAUCCUACAUAUCUUUUUGCAUUUGUUAUAAUCUUUCUAAUUUUUGAUCCAUUGAUUGGGUUUUGCGGCGAGUACCGUAGCAAUAUUUAGUUGGUGGAUUUUUGUUAGUUUCCAGGGUAACUGUAACAAUUUCGAUUAAUUAGGGUCCUUUUGUGAAAUUCAAUGCAUGCAAUAUAAUGUAAUACAAAUGAAUGGAAUGAAUGCAAAAAGAGACACUGAUUCUGAUUCAAUUCUGUUAGAACAAUUUUACUAGAAAACAAAUCUCUUUAGAUAAAGUGGAUACAUAUAAGGCUUUGCCCUCAUACUUCCGAAGAAGACAUCGAUCCUUUUCUUCAUCUGGAUGUUAAGAUAAAUCUCACGAAUUUUUCAAUGGAUGCCUCUACUAGCUCUUUUUUGCUUGAUCCGAGCCACGACUCAUUUCUCACUCAUCCUCGUAAUGCUCGUUAGCUUCUUUAAAAAAGGUCAGGACAUUGACAACUCUCGAAUAAUCUUUUUCAACUUGAAUCCACGGGCAACGAAGCAAAGUCGUGUACUCCUCCAUUAGACUAUCACCUUUCUUUUGUUGUGUUUUAUCGGAACAUAUUCGGACAGUUGUAUUAUCUUCCACUUUAUCAAGAAAUCUACUUUCUAUGACAAGCUCUCUAUUUAGCAACUGAAAAUGAAUCAACACCUCUUUUCUAUGAUGAAAAUGCAAUGCAAACAUAACCAAAACAAAACGAAACAGGUUAGUUCAAAGCAAAAGCAAGCAAGAAAAAAUAAAUAGAGCACCUAUUCAGGUGACCACUAGUGGUUCGGUGUAACUCUACCUAGGGUAGGCUCUUAUGGUUCACUAUAUGUGGUUUUGUUCUAAAGAAAGUGUACCUGAACCGGUAGAUUCCUCGAUCCUCACCCAUUAUAGGCUCAUACGGACCAAGUUCAAUUCAGGGGAAUACAUUUCCCUAUGACUAUAUGGAGAUGAAAAUCUCACGAAGACAUAGGUACAGAUGUAUCCUUAAAGCAAUCCACUCUCCUAUACAGAGGUGAAAACCUCACGAAAGAAUAAUUUCUCACUCCCACUUAAAAGGGGAUAACCGGACGGUUAUGUAAAUGCAACAUACAAAAAUAUAUUGAGAGACUUUAACAAAUAAAGCCAACAAAAUGUCACAGACUAUGAAAAUGAAAUGCAACAAAAGGAUCGUAACUUUAAACCAAAUUAUCAACUUUCGACAAAAAGGCAAGAAAUAAUCAACUCGUGGCUUAACUCUCUUCUUUUCGGUCACCAGUGGAGUCGCCAAGCUAUCGAAACCAGUUUUUUUUAAUAAAAGGGGUCGACUUUUAUGUUUAAAAUAAAAACAAAGAAAUGGGAGUCGCCACCGAUAUUUUCUUUUAGGUGUGAUUAGAUCACAUUGCAAUUCAAUCAUUUAAAUAAAAUGUUUCGAUUUUACUAAAACAAUGAUUUUGGUCUACGAAAUUUGAGAAAAAUGAAUUUGAGAGUCGAUUACGUGCGAGGAAGGAUUAGCACCCUCGUCACGUCCAAAAUUGGUACCUAAUUGAUUAAUUAAUGUCUUAGUAUCGAUAGUUGAAAAUUUUGAUGAGACUUAAAACAUGAUCCUUUUGUUAAAAUUACCUAAAAGAAUUUAAAAUGGGCUUAUUUCACGUCAAUCGAGAAAAAGAAUUAUACCCCGUGAGUUAGGAUAUAAUCUUAAAUCCUGAAAUGAGAAUAAACACUGAAAAUUUUAUUUAUUUUUAGAAAUUUUUUAUUUUCUCAGUUUUUAAAAAAAAGUAUAUUUCGUAAGUUGGAAAACGAUCUUUUUUAAUUCCCGAGAUAAUUUUGAAAAUGUAUUUUUGAAAAAUGGUUCGUAUAUUUGGAUUCAUCAAAAAAAAUCGAAACCCCGUAAGUUAAGGAACGACUUUUUGAAUUCCAAAAUAGGAAAUAUUGCUUAUUUUUAAAAGUCUUCCUUUUUAAAUUUGGGUGAAAAUUAAUGUAAUACUUAAAAUGAUAUACAAAUAAAAUAUUAAGCUGACGAAUGACUACAAUGCGAGUGUAUUAAUAAACAAAUCGUACCAUAUAUAAUGAUAAUGAUCACAUAACAUACAUCACUUUAAUUCUAAUAUUUACAAUCAAAGAAAAAUAAAAUCAAUAAUAAUAACAAUGAAUAAUAACAGUAAUAACAAUAAUAAAAUAAACACAUAACAAGACAAUAUCAAAUUUAAAAGAACAAGAGAAUUAAUAAAUAAAUACACAAAUAAGUAUUGAGGAAAAUAAUUUAUGAAAUGCUAAAAGUACAAUUAAAAUGGGUGAAAUUAAGAUUGUAGGGAUCAUAAUAAUAAUGAUGAUGAUGAUGAUGAUGAUGAUGAUAAUGGUAAUAAUUAAAAAAAACCGAUAAUAAUGAAAUACAAAAAAUAAAAAUAAAAAAUAAACUUGACAACACUCUAGAAUAACGUAUUUUUAUGUAUUUAUUCUGCGUAUGGUCCUACAAAUUUGAGCUAUUUAUGAUCUUUUAUCUCAUAGGGACUAAAUUUGAGGCAAAAGCAAAAUUAAGGGCCAAAAGCAUGAAUUUAGAGAUAAAAUGGGCCAAUGUGUGACACAUUUAAAAGUUGGUGCCAAAAGUGCAAGCAUGGAGGAAAUAAGGGUUGAAAUGCAAAAAGAAGAGAUUUUAUUCUAUCAGACUCUAUUUUAAUUAUAUUAGGAUAAUUAAUAUUAAGAUAAUUAUUAAGGAUUAUUUAAUUUUAGGAUUUUAUUUUAUUUAUCUUUAUUUAUCUUCAAUUAAAUGUAUUUAUAUUUUGGGAGUUUAAGUAGGAUUAGACUAUCUCCCCUAGCACUAUAAAUAGGGGGUGAAGUGACUCAAAAGGCAUUCAUCUUUUUCUGUAAACACUCUCUCCCCAAAAAUCUAGGCUUUUGUUCUUCACAUAUUUGCUUUCAAUAAAAUCUCCAUUUUUAUUUUAUUUAUUUUCUUUUCCACCACAACCAUGAGCCACUAAACCCAUCUAGCCAAAGGUUGUCGAUAUUCCCCAAAAAGGGUUCUUGAGGCUUAGAGUCCGUACUUAGCCUCCUUGCCGAGUAUUCAUCAUUUCUCAGCACUACGGGGCUGACGCUUCCGUCCAUGUCCCUUAAGAAGUAAGCUUUUCAACGUAUGCAAAGGCGGCGGCUUUGUAUGUUUUGGAAAGGUUGCACAAUCGGUUCGUCAGCUUACUGUGUCAGAGGUUGGCGAGCCCAAGAGACAAAAUAGAGUGGGAUUCGCCAAUGAGAAGCGCUGAUCUAGCAUAAGACGAACCUACAGAAGCGAUUGUUGGCUAGAGUUAGGUUCCACUAAAUUGUAAGUCUAAAUCCUUGGAGCUAGUGGUCAUAGGCGUCCUCUUCCACUAUAAUUGGCUUAUUCAGUUUAGGAAGGAUCAUUUAAAAGCCGAGGAUUGAACCCAAGGCAGAACAAGACAAUUGGAGGCUGGAACCUCCCAUAAGAAUUUCCUUUCUCUCAACUCUAUUUUUAAUUUCUCGAAUCUUUGAUUCAAUAUUCUUAAUUAUGAUUUUAUUUUAUUUUUCAUUUCCAGAUCCAAACCUUUAAUUCUAUUAUUUUCUUAUUUUUUUCCAUAAACGCAGGCUUUCUUGGGCAAGAUUCUGCCUGGGAUUUCACGGAACAAGACAUUGUGCAAAUCUAGUCCCUGAGGAUUUGACCCUACUUCCCUUUUACUAUUAUUUUUCAUUAUUUAUUAGGGAUAGGAUAUUUUUGGUGCUUUCAACGACCGCAUCAAAUUUUGGCGCGAUUGCUGGGGACUGGCAACGUACUAAUCUUGUUUUUUUGUUUCUUAUGACUAGAUCUGCUCCAGGUACUCUUGCGUUCGAUUCAAAAAUUGAGAAGACUGCUAGAGCCAAUCGUAGGGAGACAAAGUUACGGAAAAAUCAGUCAGCGGUGGUUGGAACUCAGAGUAACCCACCGCUAGAAAUCGAAGUCGACGACGAAGCUGAGUCCAGGGUUAACGAAAACCCUACUCGAACACUUGAAAGUGAAAAAGUAGAAGUCGACUCACCAAAAGAAGCUUAACGCUAGGGUAAACGAAAACCCGAAUCUAGCACACCAACCAAUGGCUCAAACGAUUCAGCUAUUGGCCGAAGCUCCGACAGAACAACCGCCAUUGUGUAUCGUGUAUCCUACUGUGGAUACCAAUUUUGUGUUGAAGUCAGGUUUAAUCCAGUUACUACCAACUUUUCGUGGGUUGCAAAAUGAAAAUCCUCACAAGCUUCUGAAAGAGUUUCUUAUGGUUUGUCUUAGCAUGAAAUCUCAGAGGGUAACUGAGGAUCAGAUUAAAUUACAUGUUUUCCCUUUCUCCGUAGCAGAUUCCGCUAAGGAAUGGUUAUUUUGUUUACCCCCUGGAUAUAUUACAACUUGGGUUGAUCUAUCUCAUUUGUUUCUGAACAGGUUUUUUCCAGUGUCUCGAGCAGCUGAGCUAAGAAGAGAGAUCGUUAGAAUAAGGCAAAAAGAAGCUGAGUCCCUUUACGAUUAUUGGGAGUGGUUUAAGAAGUUGUGUGCAAGCUACCCACAACAUGGUAUAACAGAGAAAUCUCGCAUCCAAUACUUUUACGAAGGUUUGAAGCCCAUGGAGAUGAAUAUGGUAGACGCCGCUAGUGGAGGAGCAUUGGUCAACAUGACUCCCCAACAAGCGAGAGACUUGAUCUCCAUGAUGGUUGCAAAUUCUCAGCAAUUCCGAGCCAAUAUUGAACCCCCUAGAAGGGUUCACCAGCUAAGUAAUUCAACCUUAGAGGAUAAAUUUGAUAGACCUACUAAUAUGAUGAACUCUCUUAUUGUAGAAAAAGCGAAGACAGCUCGAUUAUGCGAAAUAUGUGCUACACAUGAGCAUGCAACUGGUGCUUGUCCCAGUUUGUAUAAUGAUACCAUGGUCCAUCUAGAUACUGUGGGAAGUUUCCCUGGGCCGCCACAAAGGCGAUACGACCCCUACGCUAAUACCUACAACCCAGGGUAGAGGGACCAUCCUAACUUAAGUUAUGGGGCCAAUCCACGAAAUAACCAGCCAUACCAAAAUCGGUUUCCGCAAUAGCCGCAAGGUUCAGGUAAUUCUCUAGAAACCAUGGUCAAUAAGUUAGCAACUAAUGUUCUUGAUUUUCAACAACAAACUCUUAAUUUCCAAAAAGAGACGAAGGAUUUCCAACAGAAAACCGAGGCGUCCAUCAGAGAGUUGUUUCUCAACCUCUCAAGGGGAGCUGCAGUCACAAACAGAACUAAACCCUAGCCGAAAUGUGAAUACAAUGACAUUACGAAGCGAAAAGGUACUGAAAUCGAUUCCUGACAGGAAUCUUGCCCAAGAAAUUGCCUAGAAAAAACUCGAGAAAGACGAAUAGGUUCGACCGAAGCCUCCAUUGCCUAAAAUUCAACCUCCAUUUCCAGAACAAUUCAACCAGUGUCGAAGAGGUAAAGAGAACAAGAAAAUCCUUGAAACAUUUAGGAAUGUCGAGAUCAAUAUUCCGCUGUUGGACGUCAUCAAGAAAAUACCGCGAUAUGCUAAAUUUCUUAAAGAGCUUUGCACCAACAAGCAAAAAUUAACAGGUAAUGAAAGGGUGAAUGUUGGUGAGAAUGUAUUCGCAGUUUACAGUGGAAAAUGCCGGCAAAAUGUAAGGAUAGGGGCAUGUUUGCAAAACCAUGCAAAAUAGGCCAUCUGGGAAUUAAGAAGGCUAUGUGUGAUCUAGGGGCUUCUAUAAAUGUAAUGCCAUAUUCUAUUUAUGAAUCACUUAACGUGGGUUUUUUUACAAAAAUAGGUGUUAUCAUUCAAUUGGCAAACAAGUUUGUUGUGUAUCCAGAAGGAGUCCUUGAGGACGUUCUGGUAAAACUUAAUGAGCUUAUUUUCCUUGUAGAUUUUUAUAUGAUCAAAAUAGAAGAGGAUAACACUCCUGGAUCUUCAGAUUUCCUGCUGGGUCGACCGUUCCUUAGUACAGCUAGUACUAAAAUUGAUGUUGGAAGUGGAACUCUCACUAUGGAGUUUGAUGGGGAGAUCGUAAAGUUUAAUGUCUACAAUGCCAUUAGCCAUCCAAGCAAAAUCUUGAGCAUAAGUCGUAUCGACAUAAUUGACUCUUUAGUGGAAGAGAAUUUUGAGUCAAUUUAUGGAGAUAAUUAUGAACUUGAUAAAUUUGAAUUUGUUAAUGAGUUAUUAUCUCCAAAUACUAAACUGUUACCUUCUGUUAUAUAGGCACCAGAGUUGGAGUUAGAACCCGCAGGAAAGGCAAGGAAAUUAGACAUCCAAGAGUUAGAAGAAAUUCACAAUAAUGCCUACGAGAAUCCUCACAUUUAUAAAGACAAGACAAAGUUGUUUCACGAUAAGAGAAUAGCUCAGAAACAUUUUUCUGUAGGACAAAAAUUUUUACGUUAUAACUCUAUGUUAAAGUUAUUCCUAGGAAGCUUCGAUCACGAUGGCAAGGACCUUUUAUUGUUACUGAAGUGUUCACACAUGGAGCAAUUGAAAUAGAGAGUAAAGAAUUUGGAAAGCGAUUCGUAGUCAAUGGCCAGCGGUUAAAGCCAUUUCAUGAGAAUUUUCAAGGCCACACGGUUGAGAAAAUCCAUUUGGAACCACCAUAGAACCAAUAACGACAUCGAGCUAAUGACGUUAAACAAGUGCUUGUUAGGAGUCAACCCAAUUUUUAUUUUUAUUAUUAUUAUUUAUUUUAUUUUAUUUUAUUUUAUUUAUUUACUUUAUUUAUUACUUUAUUUUAUUUUAUUAUUUAUUACUUAUUUGGAUCUUAAUAAAUUUCUCUUCUUUUACUUAGAUAAAACAAAGCGAAAAUGCGAAGAAAAAGGAAAAGCUAGGAAAAUAGAACCAAACAGCCGUAUCCAUGGUACCAAACGGCCUCUAUUCCAGAUACUAUUCCAGCCCAGAAUGCUUGCAGCUAAACUACCGUACUCCUGCAGCCAACCACUCUUAUCCCUGCACCCAAGCACCACCCCUCAGCACAAAUUAACCCCCCAACCCUAAAAUUUUAAAUUUUUUUUUCUUUUCCCACAAAACCACCAUAGCCGCCGCUCUUCCCUCCACUAUUCUCCCUCACCAUCAAUCGCCACCACCAUGGUUUAGACCCGUAGCCACACCACCGCCGAGCCCUCCUUCACCAUGAACCCACGACGGCACUGUUUCUCUGCACCCCAGUUAUCAUAUGCAAUCGAAAGUAACAACACGGGCAGUUUUUCUAAACUUUUCUACCUAUUUAUUUCUUUUCAUCCACAUUGAGGACAAUAUGCUUUUAGUUGGGGGAGGUACUCUUCGUUAUUACUGUCAUUUUUUGCUGUGAUUUUGGUUGUUGUUACUGUGAUUAUUUUUGGCUGGUGUUGCUGCUUGAGGCUCCAUUUUGUCCAUUUUUUUUAGAAUAUCCUACCUCUUUUCAUGCCCAAGAUUUUUACCAAGAAUUGCCUACUUUUUGACCUACAAGCAUGAUUUUUGUUUUCUGAGAAAAUUACGGAUUUUCCAUAAUUGAUGCCAUCUCCACUGUUUUAUUCUUAUUAGGCUAAAAAUAAUUGUGAUUCAGAGAGUUAACUUUUUCUUGCUUUUCAUAAAAUUAAUCAAGUUUAAUACAAAGUGGACACUUAAUAUGUUUGCAUGCUAAAAUAUGUUGAUGACUAUUAAAAUAAUUACUGAAACUUAUUUUUGACACUUGAUUGUUUUUUUCUCUAAAGUCCUCAUAAAAAAAGUUAUUAUUAAAAUGUCAUUUAAUGUUUCCGUGGUUAUGAGUGCAGCUUAAAAACGUGACUGACUGAGUAACCAGUGUAGGGUGCUUGGGUUGUCAUCCUAUUUCGCUUCAAAAGGUUGUGUGACGUGUUAGGUAAAACUCCGCUAACCGGAAUUAAUUUUUAAGAACAUGUUAAGCUGAGUAACUAGGGUGAGGUGCUUGGCUGUCAUCUCUUUUCGCGUCAAAAGGUUCGAUGUGUUCUUAAGAAAAAAAUAUAAUAAAUUAAAAGUCUACUAGGUUGAAUAACCGGGGUGGGGUGCUUGGCUGUCAUCUCUCAAGGUUUAGUAUAUUCCUAAAGCAUAAAAAAUAUAAAUAAUAAAUAAAUCAAAAUCAAAAUAAAUAAAAAGAAAAAAAAGAAAAAGAAUAUAAUUUGGGGACUAAAGGAAUAAACAAAUAGGGUGUCUUGGUAGGUUUGGUAAUUUACCUAAUUUUCAUUAAAUAAUUCAAGUCGAUUCUAAUUUUUGUGUGUAUUAAUUGGAAAACUUUUUCUGUUUUACUUAAAGCAAGCUCAGGGUUCUCUUUAUUUUUCAUAUGUAGUUUUGACUGAUUUUUAUAAAAUUUUGGAGUGGUAUUUCUUUUAUUUAUGGCAGAAUCUAACUUUCACAGUAGAAAGGAACCAUACUUGAGGGCAAGCAUUGGCUAAGUAGGGAGAAUUUGAUAACACUCUAGAAUAAUGUAUAUUUAUGUAUUAAUUAUGUAUUUAUUCUGAGUAUGAUCCUGCUAAUUUAAGUUAGUUAUGAUCUUUUAUCUCAUGGGGACUAAAUUUGAGGCAAAAGCAAAAUUAAGAGCCAAAAGCGUGAAUUUAGAGAUAAAAUGGGCCAAUGUGCGACACAAAAAAAAGUUGGUGCCAAAAGGCCAAGUAUGGAGGAAAUAAGGGUUGAAAUGCAAAAAGAAGAGAUUUUGUUCUAUCAAACUCUAUUUUAAUUAUAUUAGGAUAAUUAAUAUUAAGAUAAUUAUUCAGGAUUAUUUAAUUUUAGGAUUUUAUUUUUUUAUAUUUAUUUAUCUUCAGUGAAAUGUAUUUAUCUUUUGGGAGUUUAAGUAGGAUUAGACUAUCUCUCCUAGCACUAUAAAUAGGGGGUGAAGUGACUCAAAAGGCAUCUAUCCUUUUCUGUAAACACUCUCUCCCCAAAAGCCUAGGCUUUUGUUCUUCUCAUAUUUCCUUUCAAUAAAAUCUCCAUUUUUAUUUUAUUUAUUUUAUUUUCCACCACAACCAUGAGCCACUAAACCCAUCUAGCCAAAGGUUAUCGAUAUUCCCCAAAAAGGGUUCUUGAGGCUUAGAGUCCGUACUUAGCCUCCUUGCCGAGUAUUCAUCAUUUCUCCGCACUACGGGGCUGACGUUUCCGUCCAUGUCCCUUAAGAAGUAAGCUUUUCAACGUAUGCAAAGGCGGCGGGUUUGUAUGUUUUGGGAAGGUUGCACAAUCGGUUUGUUACCUUACUACGUCAGAGGUUGGCGAGCCCAAGAGACAAAAUGGCGUGAGAUUUUCCAUUGAGAAGCGUUGAUCUAGCAUAAGACGAACCCAUAGAAGCGAUUGUUGGCUAGAGUUAGGUUCCACUAAAUUGUAAUUCUAAAUCCUUGGAGCUGGUGGUCGUAGGCGUCCUCUUCCACUAUAACUGGGUUAUUUGGUUGGGGAAGGAUCAUCUAAAAGCCGACGAUUGAACCCAAGGCAGAACGAGACAACUGGAGGCUGGAACCUCCUAUAAGAAUUUCCUUUCUCUUAAAUCUAUUUUUAAUUUCAUGAAUAUUAAAUUCAUAUUUUUAAUUAUGUUUUUAUUUUAUUUUUCGUUUCCAAAUCCAAACCUUUAAUUCUGUUAUUUUCUUAUUUUUUUUCCAGGAACGCAGGUUUUCUUAGGCAAGAUUCUACUUGGGAUUUCAUGGAAUAAGACAUUAUGCAAAUCCAGUCCCUAAGGAUUUGAUCCUACUUCUCUUUUACUAUUCCUUUUCAUUAUUUAUUAGGGAUAGGAUAUUUUUUGUGCUUUCAACGACCGUAUCAAAACUUUAAAAGGCUAAACUUAAAUAAAUAAAGGAUUUAAUUGAAAUUAAACCAAAUUUAAAAGAUGAAUAAGGAAAAAAAAUAAAGGACCGAAUUGAAAGGCACGAAUAACUUAGAGGGACCAAUUAGGGAAAUAUCCCCGCCCUCUGAAACGCACCGUUCUGCUAGGACCAAAUCAAAACUAAAAUAAAAUUUGAAGUAUAAAUUGAAAGACUGGAUUAAAAAAAUUAAAAAAUGUGGAAGGAUCUAACGCGCAAAUAGUCCCUUCCACCAAAACACGCGGACCUCAUUACGGGGCAGAUCAAAAUCAGGUCUCAAAGUCUUAUAUAGCGCCGUUUUAAGGCCACUGAAACAGGCCCUAAAUGACGCCAUUUGGUUAAUCUAUAAAAGUAAUAAUUUUUUUUUAAAAAAAUCAAUCUAUCAUAUUUUCUAAAAAAAAAGCUUCCCCUCACCUUUUCCUCUCAAUUUUCUUGAAUCCGGCCGUGGCUCUGGUGCCGAACCACCGUGGCGGCCGUCGGUCGCCGACGACGGUGCCACUGUCCACAGUGGCCAGAAAAUUGAAAGAAGCCCAUUUUUUUGGGCUUUUCAAUUCCCCAACGCAAAAACACUCAUUUUCAUCGGAACAGACGGACCUCUUCCCUCGGCGGAGCAAAAACGCAAAUAAAAAGGUAAGUUUUUUUAUUCUCUUCCCUUUUUAAAAAAAAUGAAAUCAAACAAAAAUAUAACGAAAAAAAAAAGAAUCCGAGGCUACCUUUGCAAAAAAAUUAUUUUUUUUUGUAUUCAUAUUGUGUAAAAAAAAAGUCCAUACAUCAUUGUCUUUAGGGCUUUUUAUAGCCAAGAAUACAACUGUUAUUUUUUUUUGUUUGUCUGCUUUUAUGUCCUGUUUGUUUUGCAGGUACGGAGCUGUGUACGGAGGUGGCCGUGCGGAGGCGCGCGCAGCUGAAGGUUUAGGGGGCUAGGGUUUUUUUUGUUUUCUGAAAAUGUAUUGGGCCGGGUUUGUAUUGGGCUAGGGCAAAUUAGUUUUGGGUUUAUUGUAAUUGGGCCUGCUUUUGGACUUGAUGUAAUAGGUUUUUGUUAUUAUUUAUUAUGUUUGGUUUAUUUGCUUAGUGGGCUAGGCAAAUCGGGCCUAUUACACGUAUAAUCCACCACUUCACGAAAUAAGGUGGGGUCAUAAGUUUGGCUAUUUCCCUUAAACUCCUUAUAAGUUUUCUUCUCACUCCCGUAAACUUCUGCUUCAACACUAGCCAUAAGUUUGGCUAUUUUCCUUCCCCAAAAUCCUUUAGUUUUAGCUGCGACUUUUCUUAAUAUAUCACCAUUCAAUUUGCUGCUGCUUUUUGAAAAUAUUCAGAAGCACGCCAGGUUGUCUUAACACAACCUGAGCCUUGAGCUAUGUACUUGUCUGGGUACAACUUUAGCAAUUUGAAGCAUUCACCUUCCCUGGGCAAAGGGUAUCUUUAGGUCCAAAUUGUGUAUUUUUCUAGUUUUUCUAUAAAAUUAUAAUAUAUAUAUAUAUAUAUAUAUAUAUAUACACACACACAUAGUUGGUGGGUGAUGUUAGUUCAAUCAAACACUUAACAUGCUUGGUUUGCCUGAAAUUGAAUAAAGUUGUGAAGGAAUGUUAUUAUGUGAGAACGAAUAGAAAUGUUAUGGGUAAGGGUGAGCAUUCGAUCGAAUCGAAUGAAAAAAAUUUGAAUUAAUUGAGUUGAUGAAUCUUAUUUUAUCAUCCUAACUCGAUUUGAAAUUUUCUCAAUUCGAGUCAAGUGAGAUGAAAUUCAAAUCGAAUCGAAUAUAUUUGUUCGUGUUAAAUUAAAAAAAAGAUUUUGGAUCCAUGUAACCACUUCCAUCCAUCAUAAUAAAAUUUGUAAUUAACUUUCAUCUCCUCAUAAUUUAUUUAUUAAUAUUUUAUGCAAAGGUUAACUUCUUUGCUUGCUUUGUUGCUUCAAUUAUCUUCUGAUUUUUAUCAGUAUGUAUUUUAAAAUUAAAAAUAUAUUAAAUAUAAAAAUUUUGAUUUUUUAAUAAAAGUUAUGUUAAAUAUAAAAUGUUAAAUUGAUAACAACAUAAAAUUUUAACAUGAGAUUUAAUAUAAUUAAAAAUUCAAUAAUAUAAAUAGUACAAAAUGUGAAUUUUAUUUUAAUAAUAUAAAUAAUAGAUAUAUAUAAUGAUUACUAUUUAAGUUUAGAGAUUUUUUUUUUGAAUGAUGUUUUAUUUGAAGGAAAAGAGUGAAAAGUAAAAGUCGAAAGGGAAGGGGAAAACAAAAAGUUUUGACAGUUGGGAAGUAAAUUUUUUGGGGGAAAGUAAAUGGGGAGAAAAUAUUCAAAAUAAAAUUUGGGGUGAGAUGAGAGGGGAAUAAAAGUUUUAAGGGGAAAGUGGGAGGGAGAAAAAGUAUUAGGGGGAAAGUAAAAAGGUUUGGAGGUUUUGGGUAAAAAUGUAAAAUAUAAUAGUUUGGUAUUUGGUUUAAUCAAAUUAUUCGAAUUUGAAAAUUAAACUCGAUUAGAACUUCAAAUUUGAAAAAAAAAAUUAGAGUUAACUCGAAUUUUGAAUUUUUUUUAUUUUUUUGUGUCGAAUCGAGUUUUGCACACCCCUAAUUACAGGACACGAUGUAAUAACUUUAACAAUAGCUUUGUUAGAUGAAAUGAAAUAAAGAUGUAGCAUUACUUUGUUUGGUUGAGUAAAAUAAAUAUGGCAAAAUCUCAAAUUUAGCUCUUAAUGUUUUUAUGUUUUGUCAAUUUAGACUUUUUUUAACUAAUUUUGGCCCUUAAGUUUUUAAAAAGAGUCGAAUUUGACCAUCAAUAUUUUGAAAAAGAGUCAAAAUGAUAUCUUUUUAAUGAGAAUACUAAGUAAAAUGUUAAAUUUUUAAACACAACAACCUACAUAAAAAUUCAUACGUACUCCAUGUUAAAUUUUUUUAAAAAUUUUUUAUAUCUUUUUUAUUUUAAUUUUGAUCCUUUUAUCUUUAUAAUUUUUGAAUUAUUUUUUUAUGUGACAAAUAAGACAAUUGAUAUUAUGUGACAUAUCAGUAGCUCCUCUACGCCAUUGGCCACCGCUGUUCAACCAAAAACAAAAUAGGUUUUUUCCUUUAAAUCUUAUCUUCUCAUCUUAUUCUUUUUAAAAAAAAAUUAAAGAGAAUCCUGAAUUUAAAAGUUUAGAAUGUAUGCGUGACUCGUAAACUUUGAUGGAAGUAAAAGCCUGAGUUAGAAUAGAUGAGGAUCCGAAAGCUGGUGUGUUAGGUGUAUGACUUCCACAAUAUGUAGAGUCGUUCACAAUAGUGGAAUUUAUAGCCCAAGACAUAGGUAAAUGAUAUCCUCUCAUUGACAUUACAUGGUUUAUGAAAAGUAAACAUGGUCAUGGGUCGUUCUUUGUGACGAAUAACUUGAUUGCUAUUUGAUAGUAAUAGACUUUUCAUAAAAAGAGAGGUAAUGGUUACCAUGAGAUAAAAUAUGAUCAUAUUGGAAGAACAAAUAUUAUCCUAAAGAGAUUAAGGAUAUCCUAUGAGGGUAAAACACUUGUUACAAGGUUACUAGACAAGCAUUGAUUGAGUUGCUUUCGUAAUAGUAUGCUGUCAGGGAAAACUCAAUCACGAUACUAUAAUGGAAUGACUUAGUGACUAAAAGAGUUUAUAAUUAAUAGGCGAAAAAGUUGGAACUUAAUUAUAAAUUAUUUGAGCCCUAAUUGCAUAUAUCCAAUUGGUCCCUCCGUUAGGCCGUUGAAAUUAGAAAUGAGUUGCAUGUUGAAUCAAAAUGCACGAAAUGAACAGAAAUGAAUAAAUGAAAAAAAUUAAAAAAUGAUUAUGGUUUUCUCCAAAAUGGAGAAAUGAAAUCAUUUGAAAAAGAGUUGAAAUGAUAUCUUUUUAAUGAGGAUACUAAGUAAAAUGUUAAAUUUUUUAACACAACAACCUGCAAUCCAUAAGUACUCCAUGCUAAUUUUUUAAAAAAAUUUAUCAACUUUUUAUUUUAAUUUUGAUUCUUUUAUCUUUAUAAUUUUUGAAUUAUUUUUUUUAUGUGACAUAUCAGCAGCUCUUCUACGCCAUUGGCCACCGCUGUUGAACCAAAAGUUUUUUAGGUUUUCUCCUUUAAAUCUUAUCUUCAAUUCUUAUUCUUCUUUUAAAAGAAAAUUUAAAAGAUUAGAAUGAGAUUUUAACCCAAAAAAUUCUAGUUGUUCACUCCAUCGUUUUACUUUUUUCUUUUUCUUUGGGUUUGUGUUAUUCAACCUUCAGUUGAUGAUUAUUUGAUGUAUUAUUAAGAAAAAAUAUGAGAAAUAUAUAGAUGUCAGUGAAAAAUAAUAUUUUUGGAGGCCUUAUCAAAACAAAAAUAGCUUAUAAUUUUUAAAAAGAUGAAAGCAAAGAAGGACAAUGUUCGAACCCAGUGCCAUUAGCACAUGGUCUGGAUAGGCGAUUCAAAGGGCAGGGGGCUCAAGAAAUAAUCCUAGAGGAAUGGAAAAUUCAACAAAGAAAAUGAAACAGUAGACCCAUUCAAUAAUGGCUCCGUUAAAUUAGUAUAUAAAUUCAAGUAAUAACAAAACAAGAGUCGUUAGCUUCUUGCUCUAUUGACUCGUUAUUGACAUAGAAAUUAUAUAUUUAAUGUGAAAAUAUAAUUAAAAAUAAUGUAUAAUAAAUAAAAAAUUGUAUGGUUUAAAAUUAAUAAUAAUAUGUACUAAAUGAAAUAUGAAAUGUGCGGGUGAAAUUUUGUGUAAUAAUAUUACAAUUAACAACUCGGUCUAUCAAACACGAAAAUCAAUGUAAAGAACAGUGUAGUCAAAUUCUUGAAGAAACAGUAAUUAGUGAGAAAAUUAUUAACUGAUAGACAUAGGUUGGUGGCAAACUUGAAUUGGUUCUCCAUCACUCACUCUUAUUCUUCACCAAAAUUAGCAUUUAUCCGUAAACAUUAAAAAUUAAAAUUAUCAUGAAAUUAGAAUUCGAAAUUCGUAAUAUAUUAAUAUUAUUUUCAAGCAACUGGAAGCUAAAUUUUGUGUUCUAAAAAUUAGAAGCUAAAAUCAUGCUAAUGAAAUGCUAUGAAAAAAAAAGAAAGAAAUAGCUAAAUGAUAAGUGUAAAAGUAAUAUGUUUUAUUUUUAUUUUUAGUACAUAUUUUGGGUGAUUCUGUGGUAUUAAUAGUGAAUUAUAUACUCUUAAUUCUUUAUAUUCAUCUUUUUUAUGCUUAAUAAAGUACUUGGGAGCAAUAUGAAUGAAAAACAAGAGGAUUAGAACAUUGGAGCAAUCCGAAAGCUAAACACAUGCAGCAGAGUUCCACACAGCCAUGUGAUCCAUAUGAUCGUGUGUCUAGGGCGUGUGGAUUUCGAGAACCAUGUGCAUUGAUAGUUGAAAACCACGAUUUUUUAGGGUUUUUUUUUACACUUUAAGAAGGUAUAAAUAAGGAAAUGAAAGAGGAGAAGACCAACCGUCAUAGAAUAGCACGAAAAUUAUUCAACGAACGCCAUUGAAGUCGAUUUUCACAAUAUUCUCCAUCAAGAUUCAAGAGUCCAAGCUGAUUUUUGAGGUAGUUAUCAUGGAUUUCUUUCAUUUUAGUGUUAUAUUAUACUUUUGGUGUUUCGUCUUGCAAAUGUGAACUAAUUCUCUUAAUACCAAGGGGAGAUGUAUUCUAUUGUUUGAUUUAUACUUUUAUGCAAUAAAACAUUAGUUUCUUUGUUUUCAAUUAUGAAUUGUUUGAUUUAUAUUUUUAUGCAAUAAAACAUUAGUUUCUUUGUUUUCAAUUAUGAAUGUUUAAUUGUUCUUAGGUUUAUAAUUAUAGAGUGUUAAUCCAUGUUUGAAGUGCAUAAGUUUGAGGUCGAAUAGACCCUUCUUGUGAUUAGAUCUUACAUAAUUGAAUGAGGUUGCAUGCAAUCCUAGAAAUAAGUCGACAUAAAUGUACCGGAUUAGAGUGAAAUCUAAUAUGAGAGAUCCAUAGAGCGAAUUAAUGCAAUAAUAAGUGUUUUAAUUAAAAAAAUUUCAAUUAAACAACUUAAAGUUAGUUGCUCUUAUGCUCGAAAGAGAAAUAAACAUAAAUUAGAGAUUUCUACAUAUCAAAGAACUAAGAAUAGAAGUUGUAUUGAGAAUUAUAGAUGAAAUCUAGGUGGACUCUUACCUAAGUAUUGUUUUGUCACUUGGUUAAAUUUGACUGUUUUUGCGUUUUAUUUCCUUGACACAUUCGUUAGUUAAUUUUAGUUUUAAUCAAUCUUUUAAACUAUUAAAUUAAAUAAUAGAAAGACAAUAAUUACUAAUGAAUUUAUUAAAACUCUCCGAGGAUGAUUGAAUUACCAUAUUUAUUAAUUAUUAAUUUGUUGUUCUGUAUUUCCACCUACCAUCGUGACGUCUUAAAAUUUCGAGUUAAUCGAGUUAACGAUUCUUAUUUUAUAAUCCUAAUUCGAUUUGAAUAUUUUUUAAUCGAAUAAUUUUUUUGUGUUAAAUUAAAAAAUAAACAUGUCAAAUUAAAAUCAUACUUUAGUAUAACUAAUUUCAUAUUAGACCCCAUAAUUUUCAAACCAUAUAUAUUUAAAAACCUUUUCAAAGUAAAAUAAUAAAAAAUAAGAUACUUUAAUAUGAUAAAUUUGAAUUAUUAAUUAACUUAUAUAGAUCUUAAAUUUAUUAUUUAAAAAAAUUAAAAAUUUAACUUCCUUUAUAUUAGAAAAUUUUAAAUUUAUUAUAAUUUUAAAAAUAUAUAAAUUUGGAAUUUUUUAUAAAUAUUUUAAAUUUUAAAAAUUACUUUUAAUUUUUUUAAUUUUUGUUGAGAGGGACUAAUUUGCUUAUUUUCAAAAUUGACAAGAAUCAAGUGAGUAUUAACUCUAAUUUGUUAUUCGAAUUAUUCAAAUUGUAAAAUUCAACUUGAUUCGAACUCGAAACUCGAAUUACUUAUUUAAGUUGACUCAAAUAACGCAAUCCGAUUAACUUGAAAUUUGAUUUUUAUUAUUUUUAUUUUUUCAAAUCAAAUCAAGUUUUGCUCACAAUUUUUUUGGGUGGUGAUGAAAAUUGCUUCUAGACAUGAAAUUUUUAACGUCGGUCGCGCUUGAGUUUAGCAUCUAUAAUCUGGAUCAUGGCUUGGGAAAAAAUUUACUCUCAUUUUUCGAACCAGGCCAGGCUCAAACCUAAAAAAUAGACCUAAAAUUCUAUUGAUGUUUGACCUAAACCCGGCCUGACUCAUGAUCAAGUCUAGCUUUAAGUAAUAAAAAAUUUCAGUAGUUAAAUAUCUAUUAAUAUAGACAAUAUUUUAAAUCCAUAUGAUAAAAAUAUCAAAUCAAUUAAAAAUUUUAGACUUAAGGGUGUAAAAAACGGUUCAACUUUUUCAAAAAAAGCAAUUAAGCCCUUCCUCUUCUUUUUUUUUUUUUGCACUCAAUUGAGCACUUGAACUUUCAAAAUGCAUAAAAAAAGCAAUUAAGUUCUCUUUUUUUUUUCCUUUUUUUUGCACUCAAUUGGAUACUUGAACUUUCAAAAUGCAUCAAAAAGACCCUUAAAAUUUUUCAAAAAAGCAAUUAAGGCCUUAUUAAAAAUUAAAAAAAUAAAAGCAAAUAAAUUUUAGAUAAAUUAUUAAAUUUUAAUAAAAUAUAAAAUUUUAAAAUUUAUUAAAAAUUAGAAAAAAUUUUAUAAAAUUGUAAAAAAGUAAAAAAAUUGUAAAAUUUUAUAAAAAACAUAAAAAAUUAUAAAAUACAUCAAAAAAUCCUUUUAACAAUUAACUUUAACUAUUGGUCGUUAAAGUUAACGGCCCCUAGUUUUUUUUUUUAAAUUAAAGUCAUCAUGUGUCGCAACAUAAUGUGACAUGUGGCGAAAAAUGAUAAAAAAAUAAAAACCAAUAAAAGUUAUAAAAAUUAUAAAAUGAUUCUUUUGGUACAAUAAUUUUUGUAAUUUUUUUUACAAAAAUUAUAUUUCUUUACAUUUUGUAUAAUUUUCUUUUGACUUUAUAAAAUUUUAUAAUUUUUUUAUGAUUUUUAUAAAAUUUUACAAUUUUUUAUAUUUUUUACGAUUUUAUAAAGUCGAAACAACCAAACAUCACGCCACAACGUGGCGACGUAUUUCUCAAGUUUCUCAAUUUUCUUUUCUCAGUUAAAUUUUGUUUUAAUUUCUCACUUAAACUCUGAUUAAUCUAGGGAUAUUUUGAGUCAUAAAAACUACGAAUUUAACCUAUAAAUAGGCUUUAGUUACUCUAGGUUUACAACAUAUAAAAAUCCAUAGAUUGAGAGAAUUCUGUGUUUUGAGUUAGAAAGGUUUUUUUCUUUCGAGGUUUUGAGUUUUCUUUUUAUUCUCUUCAUCUUUGAACUUGUUUUAUAUAUUAGUAAAAUCUCCUUUUGCUCGUGGUUUUUUAUUUUCUUAACCUAUCUCAGUACAGUGUCAAAAAGGUAGUAGGGCUUAACCCAUCACAGUAUCAGUAUAAAAAAUGCAGUACGGUCUUAGUCCAUCAUAGUAUUAGUAGCAGUAACAGUUAUGCAGUAGCAAAAUCCUACCCAACCAGCCUUUACACACCAUCUCUGUCCAACCCUACACUCCAUGUAGGGAUAUAAUCAACCCACCCAUCCCUACACUCCAAGUAGUACCAAAUGCGGCAUAAAACAGUAGUUUGCAGUUGAGUUGCCAGUAAAUUAGGCUUAAAGCCUUUCAGUACACUUCCUCCGAAUAACAACCCCCAACCCAAUGCAAUGCAACAUACAACGGAUGAUAUGCUAUUAUGCAAUUUCAGUACAUAUAUUCGGUUCAAAUAUUAACAUGCUCAGUAUAGAUAUCAUUAAGUUAAUUUCACACAUUUAGGGGUCUAAGUAGUGCUUAUCGACCUUACAGUAGGUUUACAGUCGACUUGGGCAACCCGUACAACCUUAGAAACAUUUCAGUAAAAAUGGGCCCACAAGCCCGUGUGUGCCCGUAUAGCCUACUCAGCCCAAAUUGGCCUUGGCCGCGGGAUCCAUUUUUAAUGUAACCCAUGCUAGCUAGAUAUUCAUAUAUGUUUUCACUAUUUACUUAUAUGUUCAUUCAAAGUUGUCUACUUGAGUCAUUGUCACUAAAUUAUUUAUAGCUUGAGCUACAGAAUUCCAAAUAAAGAUUCGCUUGAUGUUUUCGAAACUAGACUCAAAUACCUUUCUACCAUAAAAUUUUUAGAAUUUAUAGCUUAUCAAAUAAGUACAGUAAAAUCUUCAAAGUUAUCCCUAUUCUACUAUUUGAUAGCUUCAACAUUUCCUUACUAAAUAUUAUUUAUCUCAUAGUACGAAAUUUGGAUGAUGUUUCCAUUGGUUUCUCUUAAAAAUAGACUCAUUAAGGAUUUAAACGUAUAAAUUUAAUCUCUUAAUUAUUUUUUUACAAUUUUUGAUGAUUUUUCCAAAGUCAGAAUAGAGGAACCCGAAACCAUUCUAACCUUGUCUCACAAAAUUCAUUAUAACUCAUAACUUACAAUUCCAUUGCUUACACUAUUUCUUCCAUGAAAAACUAGACUCAAUAAUCAUAUUUGAUUCAACCUCUAACUCAAUUUCCACUAUUUUUGAUGAUUUUUCAAAGUUAGACUACUACUGCUAUCCAAAACUAUUUUAGUGCAGAAUGUUGAUUACCUAGUUUAUAACACCCUUAUUUCCUUUCUCCACAAUUUUUCACAUCAUUUUCUCUUAUUUCUCGACAACAAGCAAUUUUGGCUUUUCGUCGAAUCCCAUUUUCUGCGUUCCGGAUACACACCUGGUUUCAUUUGAUGCUAAAAUAGUCCUCGAGCACUCCAAAGCCUUCAACCGAUGAACAGUAAUUCCCACACAACUAAAACUCUGAUUGGUGAUUAUGAUCCCUUGAAUCCUCCCCGAACGAUCACAUACAAAUGUGAAGCGACAUGAGGCAGAGUGGGAAAAUAAAACUCAAGAAGAUGAAGAGUGAAAGAGAGCAGAAAUUCGGCAGCAACGAAGAGAAAGAUGGCAAGAGGGUGGAGGGAUUUUGGGGAAAGUAAAAAAAAAAAAUAGAUGAACAAAAUAUUUGAUAACCACCCCAAUCCCUUAUUUCUCUCCAUCAAACUCCACUUAGAUUUUAGUCCAUCUCAAACUCUCCUGGAUGCAGGAGCAAAAAUAAUGCCCACACCAAGAUUUGAACACAAGUCCUCUUUCACACCAACACUCCACUUAUCCACCAAACCAGCAGGCUCAUUCUAUUAAUUAUUUGCCAACUUUUACUUAAAAGCCUACUGAUCAAAGAUAGGGCUUAUUCAUAAAAAUACCAAAAUUUGCCCAAGUCCUGGCUUGAACUUGGGACCUCUCAAACACACCCAAAACACAUAACCACUAAAGCAGACAAAUAUUUUGCGUCAUACAUUCACAAUACCCAAAAUUAAAAUUUUGGGGCAUUACAUAGAUACUAUAGCAUGAGAUAAAAAUAAACUAAACAGAUCUCACCGUCCAUCCAAACUUACCUUAAAUAUUCAUACAUCAAAAUAAUAUAAUAAAAAAGAAUGUUCCCUCAAUGUUCCAUCUCAUCAUGACUUAUUUUGCAUCUAAACGGAGCCCUUUUUCGACUUUCGGCCUUUUUCGAUAGCCCUUUUUUUUUACUUUCGCCGAACCUCAAUUUUUUGUGUUUAGGGUACACACCUGGUACAAUUUUGAUGCGAAAAUACUCUCGAGACCACCAGAACCUAAAAAUCAACAUUACAAGCUCCAAAAAUCAGUCUUACUCCUCAAUUAAACCGAACUAACAAAAUCAAAAAUAGUGAAGUUCAAGUGUUCCACACUUACCAAAUUCCUCAAGCAAUUCUGACUAUGAUUUCGCAAGAGGCGAGUUCCAUUCCUCACGAUUAACUGCUGCCAAAAAUCCCAGAAAUAACAUCAACGAAAAGAACAGCAAGUUAAGAAACACUCGAAAAUUAUCCCAAACUAUACCCCCUACACUUACCAAGCCGCACGCCAACACCAAAAUACCGAAAUUGAAUAACAAAAUUGUGAUAGAAAACGAGGAGCGAGGAAAUAGGAAUUUGUCAAUUGACAGGAAAUAUGUAGAGAAAUGAAAACUAACAUCAGAAUUAAAAACAAAAAUUAAAAUUAAAAUUAAAAUAAAUUCAUAUCCUACUAAAUCUCAACCCCCAUUAUCCUACUAACAAACCCACUAACUCUCAACCAUCUCAGAAUUCUAACUCCACCCAAACUCUCUCAGACAACCGGAGCAAAAAUUUAUCACCCACACUCACAUAAGGAUUCGAACACAGGAACUCCAACAAGCUUACUCCUUACUACUCAAACCAACAAACUCAUUCUAAUACUAGUUUACCAAGAAUAUUACAUAAGCCUAUCCAGCAGGGAUAAGGCUAGGAUUAAAAAUAACAAAAUUGCUAAAAAUGGGACAUGAACCUAAGACCUCACACACACACCUAGAACACUUAACCACUAUACUCAUUUAUGUCAAAUUUCACCAAAAGUUGACUUAAAUUAUUCAGGGCGUUACAGUUAACCCACUUGUUUCUUCUAUUCCUUUUAUUAUUAUAACAGUCUAAUUUUUUUCAAAAAAAUAGAAUAAAAGUAAAUGUAAUUUAAAAUAAUAUUUCUUUAUUUUAUUUAUUAAUCAAUAGCAUUUAUUAUUAAAAAUUAAUUCUAAAAUGAGACUCAUUUUAAAUAAAAUCAAAAAAUGAAAUUUAUCUAAAAUUUAUUUAUUUUUCUAAUUUUUAAUAAGAGCAGGGCCUUAAUUGCUAGUUUGAAAAAUUUUGAGUCUUUUUGAUGCAUUUUGAAAGUAUUUUCAAGUGUAGUAUAAACACUAUGAAUACAAUCAACAAAUCAUUUUCUUUUAAGGGUAAGCUACGUCAACCGUCCCUAAAUUUUAAUUAAAAUUAUGUUUCAACCACUUAACUUUCUUAAAUGUUCACCUAAUUGCUAAGUAAGGUUUAUCUGACGUGCCAUGACAAAUAUGCCAAGUCACUACACCAAAAUAGGCUUUUAGCGGCGCUUUUUUAGGCCUUUAGCAGCAUUUUUUAGCGCCGCUAAAAGUAUUUGCGGCGAUUUGAGAAGCGCCGGAAAAAAUGCAGCUAACUUUAGCGGCGUUUUUAGAAAAGAAUGCCGCUAAAGACCAAGACCUUUAGCGACGCUUUUUCCAAAAACGCCGCUAAAGACCAAGACCUUUAGCGGCGCUUUUGCCACAAACGCCGCUAAAGACCAAGACCUUUAGCGGCGGUUUUCCCACAAACGCCGCUAUAGACCAAGACCUUUAGCGGCGCUUUUCCCGAAAGCGCCGCUAUAGACCACUACCUUUAGCGACGCUUUUCCCACAAACGCCGCUAUAGACCACUACCUUUAGCAGCGCUUUUAUCACAAACGCCGCUAAAAAUAUAACCUUUAAAAAAAUUAUUUUAAUCAAAUAAUAUUUAUUUUUAUGAUAAAUAUUAUAUUAUGUUUUAUUUUUUAAAUUUGAAAUUUAAAUAUACUUUUUAAUGAUAAAUAAAAUAAUAUUAUUUAAAUUAAAUUUUCUAUGAAAAUUUUAACUUUAAAACUAAAUAUAAAAAUUAAUGAAUUUAAUUUUAGAAUUUAAAAUAAUAAAUUAAUAACACAAUUAAAAUCCAAAAGUUAGAACUCAAGUUGUCAUAAAUAUUAAAGUAAAAAUAAAAAUUUAGAAUCAAAACUAAAAUAAAUAAUACAUAUGAAAAAUUAAAACACAGACAGUAACGAAAACUAAAACACAGACAGUAACGAAAAAUUAAACACCACACAAAAUUUAUCAAACUAGUUAAGAAAUACAUGGUGCAACCAUGCAGUAUAAAUACAAUAGAAUUAUAGGGUAAUUUUCCAUAAAUAUCUUCAGGGUACCAAGAACAAUUUGUCACAAAAUUAUAAAACAUGAUAAUAAAAAAAUUUGUUACUUUUUGUUUUGCUUCCAAGGCUUCCUUAGCUGCCUUCAUCUCGGCAACAGAAUCAUCUUCAUCAUCCCUGCUUAAGAAAACAAAGAACCAUGUUACUCAAGAUGAAACGAAAAGCUUUUUUUCAAUAAAUCAUGUACACAUCAACUCAAGAUGAAGAAAAACAGAAAAUAUUAGUCCAAUGUUAUAACUGAAAAUUGCAUAUAAGGUUAAUGUCCUUGUUAGCAUGAGAAUUUUUAAAAAAAAGAAAAAAGAAGCUCUUUAUACUUGAAGGGGCAAUGGAAAUUAGAACAGAAUAAAACUAAACAGGCAAGAAAUAAAACGGAUAUCAAUGGACACCUCAUCCCGAGAUCAUUUUCAUUGGGGAACCUAAGGGAAAAGAACACGAGAAACCAUAGCUUAGUUUUGAGUUAAGAUUAAAGAAUAGCAUUACCUAGGAAGUGUUACACAAUUUGAUCACAAUUUCGAACCAUUGCAUACAACAUGACAUAGCAAAAGAACUUCAAUAACAUUACAACAUAAGCCUAAGACAAAUUAUAAUUUAAGUGUCAGCUAACCUUGAGGUAGGCACAAAUAUGUUACUAAAGACAAAAAUAACAACAUAAAGGCAUAGAAAAUAAAUAAAAGUUCAAACAAACAUAGCAAGAAACAGAACUGUCUAAGUUAGAACUCUGAAGGACCAAUCGGAAUAAAUGAAACGACUAAAAUAGGCAAAAUAAAGAAUACACAGAACAGGAAAUAUAUAAAAAUGUUUAGAAAAAAAAUAAUUUAUUCGAAAAUAAUAGCAAUGAGAACUAAUUUUAGACCCCCCCAAAAAAAAUUCUACCCUUAGCUUCCACAAAGGUAAAAGGAAAACGGAGAUGUAUCUCCAGCAGCAAAACAACUUAUAAUUAAACAUUACCACAAAAAGAAAUUGGAUCGGCAAAGUGAGAGCACCUGAUCAAAUAAGAUAACGAAUUAAAGAGACUAAGACCUUUGCAGUCUUCCACACAAGAUAAGAAGUAUUAUAACAAUUCCAGUUAUGGAAGACACAAAAUGAGAUCGAAAAAGAUAUGGCAAAUCACAAAUUCCACAAGCAAUUUGUUAACUGCAGUGCAAGGGAUAGCAUGAUGAAUGAUAAAAAAAAAUAUAGAAAAAUACUACACACAGAAAAUAAAUAAAUUGCUAAUCAACAAAAAAUUGGAAAAUUAAAAAUGAUAUACAGGAUGCAUUUCCUCAGUAGGGAAAAAAACAUUAAAAGGGCAAAAGAUUCAUAGCAACAACUAAUCGAGAGAAACAAGAACAUCAACAGCAACGAUGUUCUUGCAACUUAGAUUGCAUGGGGUGAAUUCAAAACCCUAAACUCCAAAGCAAAGAAGACAAUUAAAAAAACAGGGAAAAAUCCACUCCUUUAAUUCACAAACCAGAUAUCAAAGCCUAUGUCAGCAUAUAAAAAGAAAAAUGAUAUACAGGUUUUAAAAUGUGUGCUCCCUACACAUAAAACAAAUUAUCACACUAAGCUAGCUCGAAUGCCAUUAAAACAAUUAGAAACAAUACACUAAAUGUCAAUGCAAUUACCUUCCACCAUACAGUAAAAAGCCAAGUGCCGCAAACAGUGACACACCUGCACAUAUACAGUGAGGAUCAAAUAUCCAUUCAUUAUUGAAACAAAUUACAACAGGAUUAACAUUUAUAAAGCAUCUAAACUAAGUGAUUAUCCUGAAUCAUGGUACAUCAACAGAGCACCAAAGUUACUCAACAGUUAACUACUAAAAAUCUAUUAAGAACACCAAAAAGACUUACCUGCAAAGAACAUUUUAGAUAGAAUGACUAAAACUGGGAUAUAACCCGCAAAACGCAGCCUUCUUGUUGGCCAUUAUUGUCGCUUUCUACAUCCCAAAGCCCCUGGAAUACACAGCAACUUCAAGCACAUAUUAGAAACAUUUCGACUAAGCUAAAAGUGUCAAAAAAAAAAAAAAGAUUAUGCACAAAACUGAUCUCUUGUGAUGUCUUUAUAACCAAGUGAUUAAAAAGUUGCACAUUACCCACAUCCAAGCCGAUUAAAAGUUAAAAAGGAUAAGCUAUUAAAAGUUAAAUAAAAGUUGCACAUUACCCACAUCCAAGCCGAUUAAAAGUUAAAAAAGAUAAGCUCUUAAAAGUUAAAUAAAAGUUGCACAUUACCCACAUCCAAGCCGAUUAAAUUAUACUUAAGCUCUGAUUGAUCCAUCUUUCUAUGCAACUCAAAGAGUUUCUCUACAUCUUCUUUUAUUCUUCAUACCAAAGCUUAUCGGUUUAGGAUCCCUGCGAUUAUUUUCAUGUUCAUUUCUUUUCAAAACAACUUUAGUCACCCUUCAUAUGUAUGAGUCAAUCGAUAAGUGGUUCUAUUAAAUAUAUGUGGUUGACGAAUGUAUUCAAAAGUAAUACACAAAAAAUAAGGGGCGAGAGCCUAAUAUACAAGUAUUGUAGGAAUCAACAUGAAGAAAAUAGCACAUUGAAAAAAAAUAUCAAUUACAGUAUGAAGCAAACUUACUUUUCUGCAGUUCUUCUGGGGUCAAAGUCUGCAAUAUCAGGAUUUUAUAAAAAAAAACAUAAGAACACGAUAAAUAUAGUAAAUUACGAAUGGAGAAAAGCCAAACAAGUAGCUAAAAACCUGACCUUUAGGGUUCGAUAAAAGGCAUUUUUCCAUAAAGUGAGCAAUGCUUCACGGAUGAAUCCAAACAUUUCACUGCUUAUGUAUGCUUCAUGAGUUGCCUGAUGAAGCAACCCGAAGAUGUCAGAUACCUUCGUUCUGCUGACAUUAUCAAUGGCUUUUCGCGAAAUGAGGAAAGUUUCAAAAACAUGCUGAAUGGGAUUCGUACAAAAGUUGGUUCCACUUUGCAAGAAUGCUAUCUGUGUAAGCAAUUCCGAGAAAUUCACUGCUAUUACAACAGUUAUUGGGCAUCCAUUAACCGCUCUUUCUUCCAAUACAAUCAUAUCAUGUUGUACUGUUCUUUGCUACAGAUUAUCGUCAGUAUUGUUGGCUGGCGUGUCUUUGGAAAUUAAACUGCUUUUCUUGCUUUUCCUUUAAUGGUUUCCAGUGUAUUUCUUCCAGAGAUUUAUUCAUCCAUCUCAAAUGCAUAAAACAAUAUACCUUUAACGAGUACCAAUUGCAAAAUCUAUACCUAAAUGUAGGACCUUCAAGUAUCACCCACAACCAUAGAUAUCACCAUACCAAAUAAUUGAACAAUGAAACCAAAUCAUGCAUUAAUUUUUAAAUAUAAGAAACCGGCCAACAUUUUUAUUUUUAUUUUUACAAAGAUAAUGCUCAUACUUUCAGCACCAAACACUGUCGUAAGGUUUCAUUCCAUUAUUUUAGAAUAGCAUGCGGUAUGGGAUGCCUAACUCAUUACAUGGACAAGCAUUCCAAACAAGAAAACCAUUGCGCACACUAAAAUUGCAGCAGCGUCGCUCAGUUUCAAUUAGGGGUGAGCAUUCGAUCGAAUCGAAUCGAAUCGAAUCGAAAAUUUUCGAGUUAAUCGAGUUUUCGAAUCUCAUUUUAUCAACCUAACUUUAUUUGAAGUUUUCUCGAAUCGAGUCGAGUGAGAUGGAAUUCGAAUCGAAUCGAAUCGAAUAUAUUUGUUCGAGUUAAAUUUUAAAAAAUAAUUUUGGGUCCUUGUAACCAUUGUCACCCAUCGUAAUAAAAUUUGUCCACCUUAAUCAAAUUUUUUAUUAACUUUCAUCAACUCAUAAUUUAUUUAUUAAUUUUUUAUAUACUGGUUAGCUUAUUUGUUUGCUUAGUUGUUUCAAUUAUCUUCGGAUUCUUGUCACUAUGUAUUUUGGAAUUAAAAAUAUAUUAAAUAUAAAAAUAUGAUUUUUUAAUAAAAUUUAUUUUAAAAAUAAAAUUUGAAAUUGAUACCAAUAUAAAAUUUUAACACAAAUAUUUUAUGGCAUAAUUAAGAAUUCAAUUUUAAUAUAAAUAUUCAAUAUGACUAAACAAUUCAAUAAUAUAAAUAAUAUAAAAUGUGAAAUUUAAUUUAAUAAUAUAAAUAGUAUAUAUAAAUAAAAUUAUUACUAUUUAUGUUUAGUGAUUUUUUUUGGAUAAUUUUGAUUUUUUAUUUGAGAGUAAAAGGUGAGAAGUAAAAGUUUAGGGGAAAAAUAAAAAGUUUUGGGGAAUAAAAGUUUGAGGGAAAGUAAAUAGGGGGAGUAAAAUUUUGGAGGGAAAAUAUUAAAAAAAAAAUUGGAGGGGGGAGGGUUUGGGGUAGAUGGGAGGUGGGAGGUGGGAUGGGAAGAGAAUAAAAGUUUUAGGGGAAAAGUGGGAGGGAGUAAAAAUUUUGGGGGAAAAUAAAAAGUUUUGAGGGUUUUUGAGAGUAAAAUUUUGAAAAAAAAAUGAAUGGAAGAGUAAAAUUUUGGUGGGAAAUGGAUUUUGGGUAGAUUGGGAGGUGGGGAGGGGAGGGGAGUAAAAGUUUUGGGGGAAAAGUGGGAAGGAGUAAAAGUUUUGAGGGAAAAGUAAAAAAGUUUGGGAGUUUAGGGUAAAACUGUAAAAUAUUAUAGUUUGAUAUUCGAAUUAUUCGAAUUAUUCGAGCUAUUCGAAUUCGAAAACUCAACUCGAUUCGAACUCGAAAUUCGAAAAAAAAAUUCGAGUUGAUUCGAAUAACUCGAUUAACUCGAAUAACUCGAUUCAUUUAACUCGAAAUUCAAAUUUUUUUUCGAUUUUUUCGAGUCGAAUCGAAUUUUGCUCACCCCUAGUUUCAAUAGCAUACCUUGCUAAAUAAUUUACUUGGGUGUUGAUCCUACCAGUUCCAUGUGCUGUAUUCGAGAAAAGUAGCAUUACUCUGCCAUAAUUUAUUCUAUUAAACAAUUACAAUUAAAUGAAGAGAUUUAGUAUAUAAGAACCUGCAGCUUCCUUGAAUGGAAACUCAAUUUUAAUAUCGGAUUCAUUAAGAGAUUUGAGUCGGGUCAAAAAGUCUCUAGAAUCUACGGUAGAUACCAACCGAGCAUAGAGCUGCAAUUAAUUUCAGAAAUUAGAACGAAAAAAGAAUUAACACACACAGAAAAAAAACCCUAAAAGAUUGAAAUUUACAUACGUUAGGAGGACAAUCAUUUAACAGAACAGGAGAUUCAGAUAAAUUAUUGAGAAGUUUGAGGUUCUGUUCCAGUUGAUUCCUUAAACGCCGAUUUUUGGAUUGUAGGGUUUCCAAUUCUUUUUGAAGCUCGAAAUUGUGAAGAUUGUGGGGAGUAUCAUGGUGAUGAUGGAGGUGGUGGCUACAUUCCAAGGCGGUCCAUGCGACAUCGGUGACUUCGAGGACGGUCUUGGCAACUUCCACAGCUUCAUGGCCGCCCAUUGAUUAAGGCAAAAACUGGAACUUUUCUUCGAGGACUUUAGAUAUGGGGUGAGAGAGGGGUUGGAUGUUAGAGGGGAAAGUUUGGGAUUUUGGGGAGGGAAUUUUACAAAAUGGCGCUAUUUUUCUAAAAGUAAUUUUUUUGUGGCGUUUUUUACAAAAAUGUCGCUAUUGCUUAUCUAUUGUGACGUUUUUUUUUUAAAAACGCCGCAAAAAAUUAUUUCAUUUGGAAUAAAACGAUAUUGUUUUGCUAUGCUAAAAGGGUGCUAUUUUUUUAAAGUAAAAUUAUUUUUUGUGGCGUUUUUUUUAUAAAAAACUGUUGCUUACCUUUUGCGGCGUUUUUAUGAAAAAUGCCGCAAUAAAUUAUUUCAUUUGAAAUAAAACGACACUGUUUUGCUGUGCUAAAAAUCUUUUAUUUUGUCUGUUAAAAAUUAUUAGUUAAGUGAUUUUAUAAAACAUUUAUUAUUUUUUUAUAAAUUAAAUUUUUAUAAAAAAAGUCAAGUACUCUCAAAAUAAAUAUCGUAUAUUUUAAUAAGAAAAAAAUGAUUAAAUGGCUAUAAUUAAUUAUUAAGUUAGAAUAAUCCAAUGUAAGCAAUUAAUCUCUCACAUAUCAAAUUUCUAUUAAAGAUUGAGACGUUAAUCAUGAUUUUAUAUUAUUCAUUUCCAAUCUAAUCUCCAUUUUAUUAGAGAUAUUUCUUCCUAACUAAAAUAUAAUUAUUUUGUUAGAUGUUCGAUGUGGAAUGAUUUUAAUUUUUAUAUUUUAUUUUUAUUUGUUUUAAUUUGUCCUAUAUAUCCAAAAUAGAUAGUUACGUAUCUGUAUCAAUUUGUUACAUUUUUUAUUAAUUUUUUUAAAUCUAAUAUUUAAAUAUAUCAAAUGGUUUAGAUUAAAUAUUUUUAGUCAUAAACACCGCUAAUGUUACCUUUUCCGGCGUUUACAGAAAAACGCUACUAAUAAAUUAAAUUCUUGUAAUGAAAUGACACCAUUUUGAAAAAUUCUAAUACAUAUUAGCGGCGUUUUUGCUAUAAACGUCGCUAAAGCUCGCAUAUUUUAGAAUUUUUUAUAUUCAAUUAUUGUAUAUUGCAUAUCAAUUUUAAAUUAAUAAUCUUUACAAUUUAUUAUUAUCAAUUAUAUAAGAACUUAUUUAGUAUAUAAAUUAAAAAAUACUAAUUAAUCUAAACCUUAAACCCUAACCCGACCUCAAAUCUCUAAACCCUAAAUCACUAACUCUUAACCCCAAACCCCAAACCCAUAACCACUAACCCCUAAACCUUAUUUAAUAUAUAAAUUAAAAAACACUAAUUAAUCUAAAUCCUAAACCCUAACCCGACCCUAAAUCUCUAAUCCUUAAACCCUAACUCAACCCUGAAUCCCUAACCCCUAAAUAUUAUUUAAUAUAUAAAUUAAAACACACUAAUUAAUCUAAACCAUAACCUGACACCGAAUCCAUAAAACCUAAAUCUCUAACUGAUCUUAACCUCUAACCCCUAACCCAUAAACCUUAAAUCAUAACCCUUAAAUCAGAAUCCCUAAUCCAUAAUCCCUAAUUUCAUUGUUGACACCAUUUUUUGGAUGAUGAAAAACGGGGUCGACUUGGGUUUUGGAAAAUGAAAACGAAAACGAGAGUCGCCACCAAUCCUUUUUGAUAAGGUGUGAUUGGAUCACCUCGAAAAGUGGUUGUUUUUAAUAAAAGGUUUGAUUUUAUUAAAACAACAAGUUUGGUCCACGAAAUUCAGAAAAACGGGUUCGGGAGUCGGUUACACACGAGGAAGGAUUAGCACCCUCGAUACGCCCAAAAUUGGUACCUAGUUGAUUACUUAAUGUCUUAGUGUCGAAAAAACUGAAAACUUUAAAGAGAUUUAAAAUACGAUCCUAAAAACUUGAAUGGCAUGGAUUAAAAUUCAAGAGGAUGUUUAGCUAUUUGGUUGAACGAGAAAAAUCGACACCCAGCACCUUAGGGCAUGUUUUCUCGAAUUUCCAAACGCAAAACAUUGCCUUAUUUUAAAAUUUUUAAAAGGAUAUUAAGCCAUUUGGUUGAACGAGAAAAAUCGACACCCAGCACCUUAGGGCACGUUUUCUCGAAUUCCAAACGCUAAAUAUUGCCUCAAUUGGAAAUGUUUUCCCUUUUAUGAAAUAUGGUGUUUUUAUGCAUAAUGUAAUAAUAAAUGAUGUGACCAAAAUAAUAUGAGCAAAAACAAAUAAUAAAUAAAUAAAUAAAAACCUAAUUCAUCAUGUAUGUACAAUAACAAAUAAAUAAAUAAAUAAACUAAAACUUAAAAAUGGGCAUAUGAAUAAAUAAACAAAUGAACAUUAAGUAAAACAAAAUAAUAAUAAAAGGAAAAAUUGAUCCAAAUUAUAAAAUAUAUAAAAACAUUCAUGUACAUAUAAGGAAAAUAUUUAUAUAUAUAUGCUUAUAAAAAUAUGAAAACAUAUAUAUAUUUAUGUUUCAAAGUUAUUAAAUAUGUAAAACUCAUAUAGGUAUAUACAUAUAUGUAUGGAUGUGUAUAUAAAAGGACAAAAGAAGAGAUAUUAAUAUAUGUGUAUUCGUAAGGAAAAUAUACAUGGAUCUAUAUGUAUAUAAAUUUUAAAAUGUAAAACAUAUAUAUAUAUAUAUAUAUGGGUACAUGCGUAUGUAUAUAAAAAAAGUACAUAUAUAUAUAUAUAUAAAGUUAAAAGAUAUGGACGCAUAAACCAUAGGAAAAAAAAAAUAACAAAGAUAACCACAAUAAUAACAAUAGUUAAUUUAAUGAUAAUAAAAAAAAUUACAUUAACAAAUAAACAAAACGGUAGGAUGAAAUCAAAAGUAAAAUGAAAUUACAGGGUAAAAAACUGAAAUAAAACAAACAAGAAAGAUUAAAAUGGAAAUGCGCGCAAAGGUCAGGGACCAAACGGGUAAUAAGACCAUUAUUAGGACACGUGCUCGUUGCCUAGUACGCCGGAGGGCUAAGGACGAAAUCGAAAGAGAAACAAAAGUUCGGGACAAAAUUGAAAUAAAAUAAAAUCGAACAAAAGGGAGCAAAUUAAAAAAGAAAAUAAACGUGGAAGGACCGAAAUCGCAAAUAAACCCUCAGGCACGAAAACACGCGGACCUUCAUCGGGUUGGGUCGGGUCGGCCUGAUCCAUGUCAAAACGACGCCGUUUUUUUUACUAUUGCUACUAGCCAAAACGACGUCGUACCAGAAGGCUAUAUAAGCCUAAAAAUCUUUAAAAGAAAUCAUUUUCCUUCUUCCUUUAAAAAAAAAGAGAAUCUCUCUCUAUUCUCUUUCUCUUCUCCGGCCAAGGGGUCAGUGUGGACCACCGUGCCGGUCGCCGAUUACCGGCGCCGACGCCGCCGUAGGCGGCGGUCGGAAGGUAAAAGGUCGGGUUUUUUAAACCCCGUUUCAAAAGCCUUUCAGAGAUCAGGUCCUUAAGGCCCUAAGUCCAAGAGAGGGAACUCCAAAAAAGAAACGCCUUCCUCGUCCGUUCUCAAUGAUUCGGACUCCGGCGACGCCACGACCGCGACGGUUCGGGUAAGUUUCGUUUAUUACUUUUUUUAGUUUAUUAAAUGUGAAAGAAAAGAAAAAGCAAGAACAGAUCCGAAUCGAAGAGAAAAAGACUAAAAAUAUCACCUUUCAAACUGAUUUUCUUUUCUAUUUCUUCUAUCUUGUUUUUAAAAAAUCAGCCCCUUUUACAAAGAUUUUUUUGUUGGCUUUAUAGCCGAUUUACAUGAAUUUUUUAGUCUAUUUUCUAUGCUUGUCAUGUCUGCCUUGAUUUGUUUGCAGGGAUCAACGCACGUGGGUGGAGAUGACAGUGGCAGUUGGCGGUGGUUGCUGGCAGAGCAGGUGGGCAGAAGACCAAAGGUCAGAAGACCCUAAGAGCGGCGCCUAGGGUUCUUCUAUUUUCUGCUAGGUUUUUUCUAUUUUGGGUUUUUAGUAUUGGGUUUGUUAUUGGGCUGGUAGUUGGGUAUUUGGGCUGAGGGUUAGUGGGUUACAAUUUUAUAAAUAGACUGUUAAUAGUUUAGUUUUUCUGGUGCAGGCCCGGGCAGAAAUGGGCUUGUACAUCCAUAAUCUAUAAACCUUAAAAUUGUAACUUUUAAACUGACCCUAAAUCCUAAAUUAACCAUAUAUAUACUCUAAAACAUAUAUAUUAAACCCUAAACAUUCGGCUAUAGACUCGAGACCCGGCUAACACUUUUUGUUAUUAAGAAAAAACAAUCAGCUUUUUCUUUUCAGGAGCAAAUUGUCCAACUAACCCCACCGACUCUAUUAGCUAAAUUGAAUCCCAACUUCACUUAAUUAUUUUCUAAAAUUCAAUAUUUAAUAAAUUUUAUUCGAAUUUCAAUAUUUAUAAUAUUUUCCUAUAACCCUUUCUCAGCCUAAAAAACCUAGCUAGUAUUAAUUUCUAGCAUGGUAUUAGACCAAGUAACAACCUCAUUUGUCCCUUUUCAUUCAUUUUCAGUUCUUACUCUUGAGUCGGUACUAUUAGGUCAUUGUUGUGCUCAUGUUUGAUUAACUAAAUAUAAAAUUAUUUUUGGUAAUAAAAUUAUCAAUAUAUAAUAUUAUUUAUCACGAUAUUUGGUGUUUUAUAUUACUUUCUUUGAUUUAUUUAAUCAAACUAUCAAAAUUUAUUAUUCUUAUAAAAAUUUAUUCUAUUUUUUAUUCUUUACAACACAACAACUUAAGUUUUAUGAUAUUUUAUUUUACUCAUAAUUUAAUAUAUUUUUCUAGUAAAGUAGUUUAAAUAAACUGUGAUUGAAUAAUAAUAAUAAAUAGUUAGGAGUUAGGACUUCUCUUUAAUAAAAACAUUUUGUAUUAAACAAUAUUAUUUGUUAUCAUUCAAAUGUAAAUUUGACCAAUAUAUAAUAAAUACAAUGAAAUAUCAAUUUUUUCAACUUAUAAUAAAAAAUAUAAUUGAAACAUUACUUGAGAAUAUAUCAAAGAAUGAGAUAAUUGAAAUGGUUUUAGAUUUUAUUAUUAUUAGCGACGCUUUUUCAAAAACGAUGCUAAAGGCCCGAGCAUUAGCGGCGCUUUUUCAAAAACGCCACUAAAGGCCAAAGCAUUAGCGGCGCUUUUUCAAAAACGCCGCUAAAGGCCCGAGCGUUAGCGGCGCUUUAAUAAAAACGUCGCUAAAGGCCAGAGCAUUAGCGGCACUUUUUCAAAAACGCCGCUAAAGGCCCGAGCGUUAGCGGCGCUUUAAUAAAAACGCCGCUAAAGGCCAGAGCAUUAGCGGUGCUUUAAUAAAAACGCCGCUAAAUGCCCCAAAAACUCAGAAAACGGUGUCGUUGGGCUUAGGCUUUUUGCGGCGCUUUCUAAAAAAUGCCACUAAUGCUUAUUUUUAGCGGCGUUUUACAAAAAGCGCUGCUAAUGCUCGACCUUUAGCGGCGUUUUUAUAAAAGCGCCGCUAAUGCUUGAUUUUUAGUGGCGUUUUUUUGUCCAAACGCCGCUAAAAACGCCGCUAAAAGCAUGUUUUGAUGUAGUGAGUAUUUAAGAAGAAUUGUCUUCCUUUCUCUUUUUUCUGAAUAUUAAUUACUUAAUUACUUUCUUAAAUGACAUGAAAUUUCAUUUAUUUUUCUUUUCUCCCUUCUUUCUUUUCCUUCUUUAUUCACUAAAUCACUACCAUCCACAAUCUGUGCCUCCCUUAAGUUGUCCACAUCAUCUUUAACCUCAACCUUCUUUACAAGAUAUAUAGAUAGAUGCAUGCAGAUGAAGGGGCCAGGAGUUUGGUUGAGUGACGGAGCAACGAUAUACGCAGAUGGUAUGGUUUGUGCAAGCAGGUACUGAAGAUUACAUACCUAGAAAAAUUAGGUGACAGGACAUAUAAUGUUAACUUUGGCAUGAUAAUUAAACUUAAUAUACACACUACACCAAAACAGGUUUUUAGCGGCGCUUUUUUAGGCCUUUAGAAGCCGCUAAUGACUGUGCCGCUAACUUUAGCGGCGUUUUUAGAAAUAAACGCCGCUAAAGGUGUUGGUCUAUAGCGGCGCUUCAAGCACAAACACCGCUGAAGACUAAGACCUUUAACGGCGCUUUAGUGGAAGCGCCAUCUUUAGCGGCCUUUUUGUGAGAAGCGUCGCUAAAGAUUAGGGUCUUUAGCGGCGCUUCGACCACAAACGCCACUAAAGAACCAAAUCUUUAGCGGCGCUUUCCCCACAAAUGCCGCUAAAGACCAUGAUCUUUAGUGGCGCUUUUUCUACAAACGCCGCUAAAGACCCUUAUCUUUAGCGGCGCUUUUAUCAAAAACGCCGCUAAAGGCCAACACCUUUAGUGGCGUUUUUUUUAAAAACGCCACUAAAUUUGGCAGAUUUGUAAAAUAAUUUUUUUUAUAUUUUCAGCCUCCUGUAAAAACAAAUCAGAAGAAAUCAUAUUUAAACCAGCCAAAAGUAAUAAAUCUAUAGAUCAAUAAAUAAUAUAAUAAAUAUCAAUAAAUAAAAUAAAAUUCGUAUUAUUCUUACAAAAAUGUUAAAAGUUAAAAUGAUAAUUAAAAGUCAAAAUUGAAGUAUAUUUACACGAUAGUCUAAGACGGCGGUUGUUGCGACUGCUGAAACAUCUUCAUCAUACUCUGAAGCUGCUGCUGGAGUUCAUCGAACUUUUGACGCUGCUCUACUUCCCUCGCUGCAGCCUCUACUUCCCUCGCUAUAGCCUCUGCUUCCCUCGCUGUAGCCUGUACCUCUCUCGCUGCCGCCUCUGCUUCUCUUGUUGCCGCAUCUGCUUUAAGCUGCUGCUGGAGUUCUUCAUACUUUCAUUGAACCUCAGCUUCUCUCGCUGUUGCAUCUCCUUUAAGUUGUAGCUGGAAUUCUUCAUAUCUUUUUUGAACCUCAGCUUCUCUCGAUGUUGCCUCCGCUUUAAGUUGUGUAAUUUGCUCAGUUGUUGUCGCUUGCAUCUGAGCCAUCUGGUCUCUUAACCUCUGAACUUCAGCUUCAGCUCGACUCCUUGAAGGCAUAUAUUAUUGCAAGCUAGAUCCAAAAUAUUGGGAUAGGUUAACAAAAGAUCCUUGAAAUCGAACCCGACCAUACCUUUCAGGACCCAAAACUUCAGUGAUAAUCCGGUUAUCAAUGUCGUCAAUAUGAACAGAACUAUCACUGGAAGCAAUCGCUUCGUACUUCACCUUUUAUCCUUUAAUUUUUCCUAAAAAAUAAAUCACAUAGUUAGGAACGCAAUAUAUAUUAAAAAACCCAAUGCAACAUAACUUAACAAUAUUUGCAUUACAAUAAAUGAAAUAAACCAUUAGAAAAUAAACACUAUAAAUAAUUAAAACAAGUGAAAUUGUAUUAAGCAAACGUACCAUAAUUUCUGCAGCUUCAGGAGUCAUAGGGUUUCCAUCUUUCUUCUUAUGUGUAAUGUCAAAAAGUUGAAGGCGUCCNNNNNNNNNNNNNNNNNNNNNNNNNNNNNNNNNNNNNNNNNNNNNNNNNNNNNNNNNNNNNNNNNNNNNNNNNNNNNNNNNNNNNNNNNNNNNNNNNNNNUUUUUGACCGGACGACAGUUCCUACAAUACAAUAGUAAAAAUAUUAAUUGAUAGAAAGUAAUAAAUAUCUGCCAAUAUUAAAAAAUUCAAAAUACCUCUGCAUGAGUUACACACACAAAACUUUUCGACCCAGCUGUGUGACUGAAUUUUUGUUGCUGCCUACUAUUUUUUCCAACUCGUUCACAAUCCUACAUUAUGAAAUUAUUAGUACGUUAAUUAGGAAAUACUAUACACCAAAAUAAUUACAAAAUUUUAUAAGUUACACAUACCUCUCAUUUCUUCGAAGUCCAAAAUCUAACGACCUCUUCCCACUGGUACCUCAGCAUUCCCGGCGGGACAUUUUGUAAUCUCUCGUCGAGUGUUGUUUUUGUCUUAAAAUAGUCUUUCUUUAAAGUUCUCUUAUGGUCUCUCCAUCUUUUUCCCAAUGCCUUCUUUACAUAAGCAUCGGAGACCUCUAGAGUAAAUCUCGCCUACAAAAAACACAACUUAAGAAAGUAAAUGUAAACGAAACUUAAACCAAAGUAUUAUAAAUGACAUACACGUUUUGUUACCUUAAUGUUAUCAAGAUCUUGGUUCUUAUUACUCUCGGGCACUUUAUGCCAUGACUCGAAGUUAAUUGGCAACAUAUUUGCAUUCCGUGCUAGAAUGCUCAUGUAUCCUGCUAAAAGGCGAGCUUCUGAUCCAACAGGCUGACCAAAGCUAUUACUAGAUACUUGGACACGCUCGAUUGGAUCUAGCUCGUAUAAAUCGCUCAGUACCGUACGUCCGCGAACUCUCCGCGUCCCACCAGUUUCAUCUGAAAAAUAAAAGUAUUGUAAUAUACGAAAUUUAAAAAAAAUAAACAAGAAGUCAACACACAUGUAAAUUAAAUGUUAAAUUACUUUGAACUUCUAUAGGUUCCUCAGGUGUAACCGGAACAUUCGAAGAUCCAAUAGCAGUCUGUUGUUCAGUGCUAUUUGUUUUCGCCGAGUUUGGAGUACCUUGAACAAUGCGGUGCGAUCGCACUUUUCUUCUAGGCAUUUUAUCUGAAUACAAAUAAAUUAGUUGAAAACUUUGUAUACAAUUACAACAAUAAUAUCACAUAUAAAAUAGUUGAAAUAUAUUCAUUCGUAAAUAUAAUUAGAUAAUGGUAAAAGCUUACUACAUUAUAAUUCAUAAAUAUCUUCAUCCGUAUCCUGGCGGACCCAUUGAAAUUGUGUACUAGUACUAGGGAUGUUUUCGUUUAAGUUCUGUUCUGGAAAUGGCAAAGUUUGUGUUCUAUCGUCAAUGUCAUCUCUACUUCCACUGCCCAUGUCAAACAAGUCUCUAGGGAUGUUACAGAGUACAACGUACCAACCCUCAUCAGUUGGAUCUUUUGAGUAAAAAACUUGUUUGACUUGAGAAGAAAAUACAUACGGCUCAUCAAUCAAUUGUUGUCCUGUGUGAAUUAAUCAAGCGAAGUUUACCAUUGUGAAACCAAAUUGAUCUUGCUUUAUUCCACGUGCAGUAUUAACAUCGGCCCAAUCACCUCGAAAUAAGACAACUUUCCAUUUGCCGUAGUAAUCCAACUCAAUUAUGUCAGUAAGAAGUCCAAAAUAUUCCACAUUUCCCUCCACAGGAUUAUUGUCCCUAACACUAGCAUAACUUGUAAUUGAGGAAUUAACAACUAUUCCACAAUUUUGCGUUCUCCUCAAUCUCUCGCGAUAUUUUGUAUGAAAUCUGAAUCCGUUUAUAAGGAACGCACUAUAUCUUUUAACCACCCGAUUUGGACCUUGGGAAAGCCAUUUAACUUCGUCGGUGAUGUUCUUCCCACUCCAAACCUAUUGAAUGGAAAGUAAACUGAGUAAUUAAAAAUGUUUUGAGUAAAUAUUAUUAUUUGUCGGUGAAAGUUCCAAUUACAUACCGUUUGACUUAACCAUUCAUGAAAAGAUUCUGUAAACAACUUAUUAAUAUCUCGAUGUUGUGUUCUUCGGGAGCGCGAACGAGAUCUCAAUAUUUGUUUGUACUCAAUAUGUUAAAAAUAUGUUCAGUUUUUUAGACUAUAAACAAUUUUUAAAUGAUGAAUAUUUAUCAAAUUUCCAGAACUUACUUGCGUAAAGGUUCCACUAAUUCGUGGUGAAACAGAACAUAUCGAUGUGCUUGUACCCACGAUAAAUCAUCUAAUUCUGCAAUUUCAACUUUACCGAUUGGUUCUCCAAAACUUUGGAACAAAUAAUUAUCGGCAAAGUUAUGAUUCGUGAGUCCAGCAUUUCUAUUUCGUCUAUUCAACCUUGUUUCAACAUCUUCCAAAUAUCUUGAACAGAAGGUCAUACAUUCCUCUGCCAAGUAGCCUUCAGCAAUCGAUCCUUCUGGAUAACGCUUGUUGCGGCAAUAAGACUUUAAUUUGGAUAGGAACCUAAACACGAUAUACAACAUUAUCAAAAGUUGUAACUAAAGGCAUAUAGGUGAAUGAAGGAAAAUUUUAAAAAUUGUAAUUAAUACCUUUUUAUGGGAUACAUCCAUCGAUAGAAAAUGGGUCCGCCAAGAAUUGCUUCAUGCAGGAGAUGGAUUAUCAAGUGAACCAUAAUAGUGAAGAUGGAAGGUGGGAAGAUUUUCUCCAUGUUGCAUAAAGUUAAAGCGGCUCGAUCCUGUACCUUCUGAAGUUCUUGAACAUCCAAAACUUUGCCACAAAUGACUUUCAUUAUAUUGGAUAGUUCAAUUAUACAAGACAUCACCUUCUUCGAAAUACAAUAUCGUAGAGCAACUGGCAGUAAAUCUUGCAUCAAGAUGUGAUAGUCAUGUGAUUUUAGCGAAUAUAGUCUUCGAUCUUUAACACUAACACAUCGAGAUAUAUUUGAUGCAUACGCAUCUGGAACCUUUAUAUCCUUCAACACCAUGCAGAACACUUCUUUCUCUGUCUUCGACAUUGAGAAAAUAGAAGGCGGCAACCGAUAUUUACCAUUCAGAAGUGGAUUCGGAUGAAGAUCAGGUCGAAUUCCCAUCUGAACUAAAUCAAGUCGACUCUGAAGAUUGUCUUUUGAUUUUCCGUCUACAUUCAAAAUUGUACAGACAAUGUUCUCGCAGACAUUUUUCUCAAUAUGCAUAACAUCAAGAUUAUGUCGUAAAAGGUGGUGCUCCCAAUAAGGAAACUCAAAAAAAUACUUCUUUUUUUCCACAAGCCCGCCUCAUUAGGAUCAUCCUCUUCAUCGGAGUCAUCAUCAUCUUCAUCAUUUGAUCUUCUAUUUCUUUGCGUGUUUGCCGGUUGAUUCAUCUUCCCAUAACUGAAAUUCACAUCUUCCAACAUUAAAAAGAUUUCAGAUCCACUUGUCUGCGAAGGAGCUUCUCUGAACUCUUCAGUACCGUCAAAUGCCGAACUCUGAAAUCUAAAUCUAUAUUUUUCGGUAACCACCGACGAUGCCCGAUGUAAGAGAACUUCUUCCCAUUGUAUAACCAUUGCAAACAUGUUUGUGCAGCACAACAAGGGCACGCAUAACGACCCUUGGUACUCCAACCGGAUAAAUUGGCAUAAGCGGGGAAGUCAUUAAUGGUCCACAUCAAAGCUACACAUAAAUUAAAGUUCUCCUUUCUCAACACAUCGUAUGUCUCGACACCAGCCCAUAAUUGUUUUAACUCUUCAAUAAGUGGCUGUAAAAAAAUGUCGAUAUCAUUCUUGGGCCCUUUCUUUCCAAGGAUAAUCAUAGAUAAGAUAAGGGAAGAUUGCUUCAUGCAAAUCCACGGAGGCAGAUUGUAAGGAACAAGCACUACUGGCCAAGUACUGUAUGCAGUACUCAUGAUCUUGUAAGGAUUAAAUCCAUUAGAUGCUAGGCCAAGCCUCACACUCCUGGGAUCGCUUACAAAGCUUGGAAAUUUAUUGUCAAAUGAUUUCCAAGCUAAAGAAUCUGUCGGAUGCCUUAAUAAUCCAUCAUCGGUUCGUCCUUCAUGGUGCCACGUCAUUGACUCUGCUGUCUUCGACGACAUGAAAAGCCUUUGAAGCCUUGGUAUCAGCGAAAAAUACCGCAAAAUCUUGGCUGGCUUUUUUCUUGGUUGUGCAUCAUUUUCAUCGUCGUUCCCAUCUUCUGUGUUUCUAUUUAUCCAACGGGAUUCUCCGCAUACAUGACAGCACUAUUGGUUUCUCCGAUCGCCCCAAUACAACAUGCAAUCAUUCGGGCAACUAUGGAUUUUGUUGUACCCAAGACCCAAGUCUUUUAUCAUUUUCUUCAUAUCUUUGCAUAACUGAGGGAUUUUUGCAAACGGAAACAUUUCUCUCAAAAACUCUAAUAGCAUUGUCAAUGAGUUCCCGGUCCACCCUCCCAAACAUUUUAACUGGAAAAGACGAAUACAGAAAGACAUUUUUAAAAAAUUCUAUCCCUCAUAUAGUUCUUCAUUCAUCUCAUUAAGUAGCGCGUAGAACUUCGCCGCUUCUGCAUUCGGCUCUUCAUGAGGUACACUUGUUCCCGGUUCAGUAAAAGCAUUUGCACCAACAUUACAAUCAUCAGAUGCCAUAAAGUCAGUUGGGAAUGGCGACUGAAAACCAUGAUUGUGCAUAUUAAAUGCAUCCCGCAACAUACCUUCCAUGUCAUCCCCUCCAACAGACUAAUGGUAAGCAGUACCAGGAUAAGAUAUAUCCAUCGUUGAAGAGGAGGUACUAGGCGGGCAUUCUCCAUGAAAAAGUCAUUUUUUAUAACCCCGAACAAACCCAUCAACAAUUAGAUGCUCGUAUACAACUUCUCGGUAAUGCCAGUUUAUGUUCACACACUUCUUACACGGGCAAAGAAUCAUGUUCUCUUGGCUUGCAUAUUGAAAUGCAAAAUUUAGAAAAGUCUCAACUCUGUUUCGAUAACCGUUGCUUACCCUUGACAAAUUCAUCCAAGAUCGGUCCAUAUCUCAAUUCUUGAAGUCUGACGUUGACAAUGAAUUGCACAGGUAAGUUAUGUAUUAUGUAAGCUAUGUAAGUUGUGUAUUAUGUAAGUUAUUAUUAUGUAAGUUAUGUAAGUAAUGUAUUAUGUAAGUUGUGUAUAAUGUUAGUUAUCAAAGUUAUGUAUUAUGUAAGUUAUUUAAGUUAUGUAAGUUGUGUAUUAUGUAAGUUAUGUAAGUUGUGUAUUAUGUAAGUUAUGUAGGCUAUGUAUGUUAAGCAAGUCAUGUAUUAUGCAAGUUGUGUAUAAUGUUAGUUAUCAAAGUUAUGUAUUAUGUAAGUUAUUUAAGUUAUGUAAGUUGUGUAUUAUGUAAGUUAUGUAGUCUAUGUAUUAUGUAAGUUAUUAUGUUAUUAUGUAAGUUAUGCAAGUUUAUAUAUAAGUUUAUAUUAUGUAAGUAUUUCACUUUUAUGUAUCUUAUUUAUAAUUAUUUUUAAAAUUAUAAAAUUCAUUUCUAAUAAAAUUGAAAUGUAGGAUAUAUAUCCAUACCAUAUAUGGGGUGAUAUAUUAAAAAUAUAGGUUUUAAUAUUUAAAAAUAACAUUUACAAUUAUUUUUAAAAUUAUAAAAUUUAUUGACAAUAAAAUUGAAAUAUAGGUUAUAUAUNNNNNNNNNNNNNNNNNNNNNNNNNNNNNNNNNNNNNNNNNNNNNNNNNNNNNNNNNNNNNNNNNNNNNNNNNNNNNNNNNNNNNNNNNNNNNNNNNNNNNNNNNNNNNNNNNNNNNNNNNNNNNNNNNNNNNNNNNNNNNNNNNNNNNNNNNNNNNNNNNNNUUAAUUUUAGUAAGUCAUGUAUUUAAGUAUAUAUUUAAGUAAAUUCUAGUAAGUAAUGUAUUUAAGUAAUAUAUUUAAAGUAAAUUUUAGUAAUUAUAUAUUUAAGUAAUGUAAGUUAUAAGUUUUAAAAAUAUAUAUAUUAAUAAUUCAUUGACAAUUGACUGACAGUCAAUCAAUUAAUUGAUCAAUUUAUUGAAUAAUCAUAGAUUAUUAAACAUUAACAUUCAAUCAAUUAAUCACAUAUAACAUCGAUAAUUUAUUCAUUGACAUAAAAUCGAAAAUCGAUAAUUUAUUCACAUUAAACCGAAUAAACUAAUCGCCCAUAAUUUAUUCAAUUACUCAAAUAUAAAAAGUGAUUUAAGAAUCAUAAUCUGAACAUUAUGAAAUUUGCAUAAUUUUUUUUCUUGGGUAAAUGAUACGUAGCAAAAUAACAAGCAUAAUUUAAAACUAGCAUAACUUGUAAUAAGCUGCAAAGUUACACGCAAAUUGAGCUAGCAACAUAUAAAGCAAAGAUGAUAAUUAAAACCGAUACCCACAGCUUUAAAACCAAAAAUCUUAAUUAAAACUCCGUUUUAAAACUAAAAAAAAUAAUUAAACGAUAAUGCUAAAAUAUAACCAAAUCCGAAAUUUAAACAUUUGGAGGUGUUUUUUUUAAGAAAACUAUCUAGGGAAACAUAGAAAUAAAUACCUCAAAUUUCCUCAACUUCGAAGCAAACUUUUGCAAAAAAAAAAAGAAAAACACACACACAAGUAAACUAGUACCAACAAAACAGAAAAAAAUAACAGAAGGAAACAAAACAAUAUUUAACUAAAUUAAGAUACAAAUCUAAAUUUGAAUUUUAAUUAUCACAACAAUCAGAACAAUACAUAAAGACCAAUGCAGAACAAGACUCUAUAUUUCUUCAGAAUUACCGUAUGAACUAUUUCCAUAUCAAACUCACUUCAUUAUUCAUACCAAAUAUUAAUAUCAAAUAUUUAACAACUUUGAUUCAGAUGAAAUAUCUAAUAUCAAAUUCACAUCAAAGAACAUUUGACAGUAGCCUAAAUUUAGGAUCUAACCAACCAUUCUUUUACAAAUUAUGAACAGUUGACAGCAGCUAAGCUGCUGUCUACAGCCUAUCUACAGUCACAAUUUUGGCAAAUUGCAGCAUUGAGUCUCAUAACCCACAAGAUAUAAUUAGUUACAUUUAACUAAAUAUGAAUAAAAUCUAUUAUUAAAUAAUAUAUGUUGCUAUCGCAAAACAAGGUAGAAAACAGAACAGCUAUUUGCAUAUUCAUUCAGAAAAUCUCGUAAAACAGACUAGAAAACAAACUAGAUCCCUUUUGUUCAAAUUGAUUAUAAAACAGUCAUCCCGAGGUAUUGAAAUUUAAGCAGCAAAAUCUGGUAUCGAUUUCUCCACACUCAGACCACAGGUGUGAAACGCAUUUUAAACAUUUAUAAAUUUCAUAGCUUUCUUUUUUUAUAUAUCUGAUUGACCUCAUGAAUAACAUGAUAACAGAAAUGAGUCUUAUAUAUUUUGUAAUCAAUUUUUGCAGGCAUUGAAGGCUAAAUUGGCGAAAGAUAGUGAACUUCAACUCAUCUGCUUCAGCUUGUUUGAUUUAGUAAAGCGGUUAGUCAAUUCUCUGCAACAUUUAUUCAGCAAAUUGAAUUUUCUGUUUUCAUUUGCAUCUUCUAAUUUCUAAGCUAUUUUUGUAUAUGAAAAUAUGAAUUUCUAAACAUUUUUCAAAUACAUAAAACUUUAAAAAUAUAAAAAUACUCAAGCAUUCGAUCCUUACACUGGAAUCCAAGUAGCAUAGAUUAAAACCGGUGUUUAUUUUUUCUUUUCUAACAAAAUCCUAACCGAAUAACUGACAUUUAUAAUCAAAAUAAAUCAUAAAAUAAAUAAAAUACCUUUUAAAAUUAUAAAGCACAGCAAUGUUAUUGUCAACAGAACAUAACUAAAAAUUUAAAGAAAAAGAACAGCGAAAUACACAAAAUGAAGGGAGAAACACGCAGAAAUCCCCAAACCCUAGACAUGCAAAAAUCCCCAAAUUCCCUAAAUUCCCAAACAAACUACCAAUAGCUUGGUGAUUGAACUUGGAAUCUAAACCCCAAAUUCCCAAAUUACACUGAACCAAAACCCUAAAUCAAGAUACAGUAUUUCAAAAGGAAAAACGCUUACCUUUUAACCACAAAUUCCGCAGCUUUGAUAGUAUCCUGUGAAGAUUGACUAAACCUUUGCUUCGUUUGUGAUGAUUCUGAGUCCUCCUCUCCCUUUUUUUUCUUUGUAUUUUUUCACGAUUUCUGGGGAAAAGUUGGGGGGGCCUUUUUGGGGACAAAAUAAGUUUUUCGGCUAAAUGUUGGGAUGAAAUACAGAAUGAACAAUUGCGGCAUUUGUAAUAUAGCGCCACUAAUACCGUUAAUGUGGUAGAUAAACGAUAGCGUUUUUUUAAAACUGGAAAGCAAAUUUGCGGCGCUUUCGCCUAUCGCCGCUAAAACAUACCUUUACUGGCGCUUUUACAAUUGCGCCGCAAAAGCCAGUAAAUUCCCGAACAAAAACAACAUCCCAAACUAUUCAUAAUUUUUUGUGGCGUUUACGAAUAAAACGCCGCUAAUGCCCAUUUUUCUGGCGUUUUUAUUUUUUACAAAAACGCCACUAACAAAUUAAAUUCUUCUAUUGAAACGGCACCGUUUUUUAGAAAUUUUAAAACAUUGUUUUUUUAAUUCAUAUUUAAAAAACACAAUAUAUAAUUACAAAUUGCGGCGUUUACGAAUAAAACGCCGCUAAUGCCGUUAAUAUGCAAUAGAAAACGACAACGUUUUGAUUAAACUACAGAGCAACUUUACGGCGUUUUCUUCCUAGCCUCUAAUACCCAACUUUAGUGGCGUUUUUGCCCUUGCGCCGCGAACGCCGUUAAAUUCUCAGCCAAAAACUACACCGUUUUUACCAAAUUAUUAAUAACUUUUACGGCGUUUUUGCUCAAAACGCCGCUAAAUCUCACAUCUUUUACUUAGUAUUAUUUGUCUCUUUCUUUCUUCUAUGUUUCAUUAGAAUUUUAAUUAAUUAAUUAUUAAAAUUUUAAGUAAUGUUUAAAACUAUCUGAUAAAAUUAUAAAUUUUAGUUUUUUAUUUCAUUUUUAUAUUAUUUUAUUUUUUCAUAUAUUUUGAUCCUAUCCAAAUUAAAUAUAAGUAAUUACUAUAUUUAUAUAUAUAAAAUAUCGAAUUGUUAAUGUUAAAUAUUUUUAAAUAUAAAUUUUAGUAAUUAAAUGUAUCAUUUAACAAGCUGUCUAAAAUAAACCAAAACCCUAAUUAAUUUCACAAUUCGGUAUACAUGCAUAUAUAAAUUAAGUGAUCUAUAUAUAUAUAUAUAUAUAUAUUAUAUAUCUCUAAUUAAUUUAAUAAUAUAUACUAUACAUAUCUUUGAAAUAUCUUAAAUGAUCACUGAAUCCUCCCCCAAUUGUAGGAUUCUUGACAUGUGCUAUCGGUGCCCUAGGAACAUUGCCAAAAUACCGAAAGGGGGCAUCUGCUAGCUUCCAACCCUCCAAAUCCCGUCGUUCAUCAAUAAAUAUUUUUAGAACGAUCCUUUCUACUAUAAAUUAGAAGGCUGAACCAGAUUUUGUAGAGUAGUGACAAAAUUUUGGAGAAACAAAACCGGACGAUCACUACUUAAUAUUAAAUUUAUUAAUUAUUAUAUAUUUUACAAACAUAUAAGAACAUAUUUAAUAUAUAAAUUAAUAAAACUAAUUAAUCUAGCCCCUAACUUGAGUAGUACCCUUAAUUGACACCCUAAACCCUAAAUCCCUAAAUCCCUAACCCCUAACCCCUAAAUCUCCUAGCCCCUAAAUUCCUAACCCCUAACUCCUAACCCCUAAAUCUCUAACCCCUAACCCCUAAACCUUAUAUCUCAAACCCUAAUAAUCAUAUAUACGCCCUUUAUAUAUACCUUCCAAAAAAUUCCCUAAAUCUUUAAUAAUCAUAAAAACAGUUAAAAUCGAUUAAACAAUAAUUAAUAGUUAAAAAUUUUGUAUAAAGUAGCAAUAAAUAAUAUUAUUCUUUAUAAAAUUUAUUUUUUAUAUAAAGUAUGGAAUUUUUAAUAUUUUAUUUUAUUGAUAAAUAUUGAAUAAAUUUCUCUAAUUAACAAAUUUAUUAUAUUCUUAAUUUCUCAAAUAGAUAUAUAAAUGAAAAAACAAGAAGGACGAACAACUAUAUAUAUACAUGGCAUUUUUCUUUAAUAUUGAUGAAGUGAUAACAAAAGGAAUGAUAGCAAGUUAGGACGUAUAUAUAUGCAUAUAUUUUAAUUAAUUGAAUGAGAUCAAUUCAAAUUCACAAUUUGAUUUAAGUAUUUAAUUAAAUGUUUGUCAUGAAAUAUUAUAAUUAGUUGAGUAUUAAGUACUAUUUCAACCUUGAAUUUAAAUUAAAUAAUAUAUAUUAUCCAUCAAAUUUUUUAAUCCUAAUAAAAAACAUAAUUUUAAAAUUUUAACCUUUUUUUGGAUUUGAUCACAUCCACAAUAUAUAAUUUAAAUUAAUACUAUAUUAAAUUAAUAAUCAUAUAUAUAUAUAUAUAUACCUUAAACCUGUAAUUAAACCCCAAAUUAACUAUACUGAUAAUUAAUUAAUUCAAUAUUUUAAAUUUAAAAUCAUACUAUAUCUGUUUUACUAUUAUAUAAAAAAAAAAUUACUAUAUAUAAUAAUAUAAAAAAAUAAGCAGUAUAUAUUAAUCAUGUAUCCAAAAAUCUUAAAAUUAUUUUAAAUAAUAGUAUUUUAAUUUUUUCCAUGUGAUUUAUUUCAAAUUAUUUUUAUGUGUUAUUUUUUCUGAAUAUUUUAAAUAUUUAAUUAGAUUUAAGUUGAAUUUUAUUUCAUUAAUCUAAAUAAUAAACCAAUUAAGAUAAAAUAUUUUUUUUGCGGCGCUUCAACAAAAACGCCGCUAAAACCCUAACAUUAGCGGCGCUUAUCAUAGAAUCGCCGCUAAAAAUCUUAACUUUAGCGUCGCUUAUAUAAAAACGCCGCUAGAAGACCAAAUAUUCGCGGCGCUUCAAAGAAAUCGCCGCUAAAUACCUUAACUUUAGCGGCGGUUGAUUAAAAAUGCCACUAAAACCCCCGACCAUUAGCGGCGAGAGCCUAAAAACGCCGCUGAAAGUAAAAGCAUUAGCGGCGGAAAUAUAAAAACGCCACUAAAGCCCUCCGAAGACUACCAAACGACGUUGGGAUUUUUUUUUUUGCGAAUGCAUAUUUUCAGCGGCGUUUUCUUAGUAACGCCGCGAAAGCUCAUUUUUAGCGGCGUUUUCUGUCAAGCGCCGCUAAUUCCUGAAUUUUACCGGCGUUUUUUAUCGAAACAUCACUAAAAGUACCGCUAAAACCCUGUAGUGACACUAAAAUAUUUGACCCUAGCCAAAUGCCAAACUAAAAGCAAAACCAUGAAAACUUCAAUCACUACUUUCAUUACAUACAAAAGCGUAGGCAUUCGUUUUUUUAUUGAAAACACACCAGCACAAUAAUACUAAAAAUUAAUCUUUCACAAAAGCCAACACGGUUUGCAUGAAGGUGAAGACGAGCACCAUAAAAGCUGCAACAGUCCCUGUUCCUCUCCAAAGAUUGGGGAAAUAAACACGCUUCAGAAUUCCAUAAAUCUCCUUGAUGAAUAAUGUCACUUUGCGCUUCCGAGCCUCUUUAUAAAGCUGGUUCAAUCGGUUCGCGGUUACCCGGUAGCAUGCAGGAGAUGGCUGCCCAAUUCCCACCAUAAGUUUCUUAAUCAUACGUUGCACCGCUAUAUUCGUGUUUAUUAUGGUAACCAGUCUUCCUUCGUGUUGGCCUUCCUUGCUUAAAAUCUCUUUUUCUAUUAACCGUUCUACAUCUUGGGCAUUUUGAAUGAGAUAGUUCAUUAGUUCUACGUAAGCACAAACGUAGGCUUCAUCUGGACAAUGGCACAUCUCGAACGCCAUGACGUUCCGAAGGUAAGCUUCAGUGUUGGAGUGCACUGUCAAUUUGGGGGUUUUAAGCUUUUUGCCUUCAAAUUUAACAUCAAGCAAACAUGCAGUUUGGUUGGGUUCAACUAUAAGCUCAACACCAACUUCUUGCAAACUUGUGGCACCGUACACUUUUUUCAACGUUGGGAUCUUGGUCUUUGAUGAUGGAUUUUAUGUUUUGGUCAUAUGGCAUCUUUGCAAAGCGGUGAAGUGUGGGAUUUGUAUAUGCUCGAACUGCGGGUCCCAUGGAAUGUCAAAGUAGGAACAAGCUAGUUUAAGGAAAGAAGGAACAGAGGCAUCUGAUGCUAGUUUGUGGUUUUCAUAUGGUUUAUACAGUUCUUCAAGCACGAACAUUGGGAUCUGGUUUUCAAGUAAGAUCAAAUCCCUCCGUAGACCAGCGGACCAUGUUUCUUUCAACAACAAGUCUUUGAUGUCCGAAUUUUUUUCCACUUCCUUCUCAUAGUUCCUCAAGAAGAGCUCCAUGAUAAACAGUGCAUCAUAAAAUAUCAUCUUUACGAACUCGUCUUCAUCGAUUAAAGCCUGUAACAGUUGAGAAUAUUUUUAUCGUAGCGUUCAAUGAAACUCCAAAAACUUUCCAAUGCCUUCUUGGAAACGGAAGUCCUUUGAAGAAAUUUAACUUGAUAAUCCACUUUAUACUUGGCCAUGCUAGCCAAACUUGUUUUCCGAUAAUGAAGAGGGCCAAUUGAAAUUAAUAGAGGAGUGUAAGCUUUUGGAUUUGCUUGACGAAUGUUCCUAGGGACCUCGUAGAUAAACCCUUGGUCCGGCCCCCGCUCCAAAUCCUCCACUUCCGAAUCAUUGGAUGCUUCAUCUUUCUUUGUCUCAAAUGAUGGGGCGUUAAUUGAGCCUAAUUGUCCCUUCCUUGGAGCCAUUUCUUGCACCUACUUUUUCAUGUAUCUAGCAUACAUAUCAAGUUAGCAAUAAACUUUAUUUAUAUAUUGAAUGAAAAAUGAUUUUAGUAUCGUUAUGUGGCAUGCAACAUUACAGUGCUUUGAAAUCAGUAUGUACCGACCAGACCAGUACUAGUAUGGUACUGACUACUGUAGAUCAUACACAUAGAGACUUAAAACUUACAGGGAAUCCGAUAACCUUUGGCUUCCAAUACUAGAAUUGGCUGCUGACGCCUGGAUUUGAAAACGGAGAGAAAUGGAAGGGAAACGUUGAAGAACUAGUUACUAGAUAAUAAGUGAAUCCUUGAAGUCGAUCAGAGUGGCUAAGGGCAUUUAUAUAGAUGCAAAUUUGGAUCAGGUUGGUUGAAUUUGAUCCAAAGUCUAAACAUCAAAAAAAAUAUUAGAAAAGGUGGCAUUGGUGGGUGUUUAUAAAUUGAAUCUUAAAAUGUAUUUAGUUAGCUGUUAAUGUCUCCUAUAUUUAAUAUAUUAAAGGGUUAAUGUAUUUUUCCCUUUCUGAUUUUAAAAAUAACGUUUACUUUCGUAUGUCAAUUUUGUAUAAUAACGUUUACAUGGGGUCUACUGUGUAAGUCUAUAACUCGAUUAUGUCAGCAUAGAGAGUGUGUUAGGAUAGAAAACAUGGUGCAACCUAUCAGGUUAGAAGACUUGGAAAAAUCUAUUGAGACAUUUAACUUGGGGUAAAAGAGUGAAGAACUGUAGCUUGGUUGUGACAUCAUGAAGACUCAGCCGAUAUGGUGAAAAUGGGACUUCACAAGGUGAAAAAUCUUAGCUUGGUGAUGGAGUUUGGCGAAGAACGCCAAAUGGAAUGGAACCUAAGGCUUUUUCAAUUAGAGGAUGUACCAAAUGAAGGAGUGAAACUUCAGGGUCCAUGGGUAAGGGCUAAGUCACUAGGAAUGACAAGGAACUCGCUUAAGGUUUAUCUGGGGUAAAUAGUUUGCUAGGAAAAAGGGAAGAUCGGAAUUUUAAACCCAAUAAGCCAAUGUUAGUUAGUUAAUGGCUGACAUGGGAAUCUCUCAUCCAAGGUGGCGAAAGGGGGAAACAAAGAAUCUUGGAUGAGGUGUGUUCAAUUCUGUAUUCCUCGUGAACCCCUACCUUGGAUAGAAUUUGUGUAUGCUACAAAUUAUGAAGGAGUUGGUCAGCGGUGCGCUUUAGGAAAAAAGCGAAGAGAAAGACACAUUGAAAUAAUCUGCUAAUGGCCAAUGGUGACCAGAGAGUGGAAAAAUAUCCUUUUAGGGUUUAUUUAUUAAAUUUCAAUUUAGCUAUAUGUCGACUUGCAAAAGAUCACUAAGUUCUAUCGAACUAACCAACGGUAUGCUUAAUUGCAGGAAUAAGCUUUCACUUGGAAAUUGCGCGGGGGGCUAAGCCAGACUUUGCCAACUUGAAGGAAAAAGGGAGGGAUAGUCAUAACAUGCAUAUAGAGGGGCGCUCUUAGAGGUUAUACCUUGGGGUUUUAGUCAAGUUCUAAAAUUUUCAAGUUUUAAAGUCAAAGUUUUAAAUGAAGUUGUGAACUAGCUAUUUUAAAAGAUGUAUAUGCUAGUAUUGACUAUUGUGUAUUGUUAAUUAGUUGAGAAUAAAAUUCAAAUGUGUUAGCUAGAUAUUUAGGAUUUGAAUCAUCCGAAACUCGGAUUUGGAGAGCAAGUCGGGUACGGGUGUUACAAAUAUUUACCGAGCUAAUAUAAAAAUAUAUUGAAGAAUGGUCGAAUAAUUUUGUCAAAUUAAUAGUUAAUUAAGGCUCCAGGACAAAAUUGUAAAGUCCAAUCAUUAUAGAGUUUUAAUUAAAAAAAAGCUUGAGGACUAGAUAACAAUUAACCAAAAGACCGAAAUGGGUAAUAAACCAUUAUUAUGUAAAAGUUAAUGGAAGAUUCUAUCUCUAAUAAGUGAAGUUAAAAGUUAGAUUAUGCUAACUAAUUGUGAUUUAUUAAGCUAAUUAGCUACUAAUUAAACUAUAAAUAACAAGAUAAGUGGAAAGAAAUAGAAGGUUACCAUCUUCUUCAUACUUCUUUAGCUGAUUCACCAUUGAAAGAAAAAGAGAAAACCCAUUCUUAAGGCUUAGUCAUUCGAACAUUCAAAUAGGUAUGGAAAUCAAGCUAUUUUCUUGUAAUUUUAUAGAUUUAUGGUCAUGAAAGCUUGAUACAGCUAACCCAUGUACCAAUUUGUGAAUUUGUUAAAGUUUUAGAAAGUUGUCAUUGUUGAUUAUUUAAAGAAUUUGGUUUGAAAUUGAUAGAUUUUAAGCUUAGAAUAUGAAAAUGACUAGAUUUUAAAGUUAAAUUAGCUUGUUUGUUAACUUUGUUAUGUUAGAGACCAAAUUGAGUAAAUGUAAAACCUGUCAUGAAAUUAUGUUACAAAUAGAAAAUAUAAGGCCUCUAAUGAGAAUAUAUGAAAUCAUAUUUUAAUCCAAAGCUAGGAAUUGAAAGUUAUGCCUAUCUCGAGUUUAGGGACUAAAUUGAAUAAAACAUAAAAUAUGAAGGAAAUCAAAAAAUAAAUUUAUAUAGGAUCAUGCAUGUCAGGAAAUUUUAUGAAAAUGUUUGGUAUUGAAUUUUUAUAUAAAAUAAUUGUAUAUAUCAAGAUUUGGUUCAAAGUGGAGUUAAUAGGGGAAAAGCUAAAAUUAGGGAUUAGUCUCUAAAGAAUCGACUAGUGUUUUGUUUUGAAUAAGUAAGUUCAUAUGGAAUUUUCUAUCUCAUUUUUGUAUGAUAUGUGUGCUUGUGUUUAAUUUGAUAUAUCUAUGUUUGAGUAUAAUUUAAAAUAUUAGUGAAUUUGACAUAUAUGUCUAGUAAUGGAAUGAAUUGGAAUGCCAUGUGAUGAUUGACUAUUGCGUAAUAAAUGUGAAAAUUUGAAUGACUAUAGAGUAUAAAUGUAUAAAAUUGAUUGAUUAUAGGGAUGAUAAUGAAAUAUGUGUAAUUGAUGCCUAUUGAGUUAUAUGCGUGCUGGAACGGGAUAUGUGAUUGUACGAAGAUUAUUAUAGGUCAUAUUGAGAUUCAACAUCCGUUGCGGAUCAUCAAGUAUUAUAUAGCUCAGAUAAUCAACUUGGUGUAAUUUAGCUUGGAUGAGCAACCUAGUAUGGCAUAGUUUACCUAUGUAUCUGAGUCUAUUUUACUAAAGUUCCAUCUGGUGAAACAUGAUAAUUGGAAUAUAAAACUUGAAAAUGUAAUGAAAUGAGUUGAUAAAAUAAUUUGAUAUAACAUUGAAAGGAAUUGUAUGGAAUUAGUAUAAUCUUAUAGAUCGGUAAUGGAAUAUGACAUUAAAAAUGAACUAUGUGAAGUUGUUAUGUUCUUAUAGAUAAUGAUAGAAUAUGACAUUGAGACAAGUUAUGUGAAAGUGAUGGAUUGAUAUGUUUUGAGUUUGCUUAUACCUACUAAUGAACAUGGAUACUUCUGCUCACUUGUUAUUUUAAGUGCUAUGUCUUAGUAAAAAUUUUGCCAAAACUAAGGUAGCUAACAUACAAAGUAUGCCAAGUAUUUAAGAAGAAUUGCUCCUCCUUUUUUCUGAAUAUUAAUUACUUACUUUCUUAAAUGACAUGCGAGAUUUUCUUUCUUUUUCCUUUCUCCCUUCUUUCUUUUCCUUCUCCUUUAUUCACUAAAUCACUACCAUCCACAACCUGUUCCUCCCUUAAGUUGUUCACAUGAUCAUCUUUAACCUCAACCUUCUUUACAAGAUAUAUAGAUAGAUGGGUGCAGAUGAAGAGGUCAGGAGUUGGGUUGAGUGACGGAGCAACGAUAAGUUAAGCAGAUGGUGUGGUUUGUGCAAGCAGGUACUGAAGAUUACAUACCCAGAAAAAUUAGGUCAUAGGGCAUAUAAUGUUAACUUUGGCAUGAUAAUUAAACUUAAUAUACACUAAAAUAUUUGACCGUAGCCAAAUGCCAAACUAAAAGCAAAACCAUGAAAACUUCAAUCACUACUUUCAUUACAUACAAAUGCAUAGGCAUUCGUAUUUUAUUGAAAACACACCAGCACGAUAAUACUAAAAAUUAAUUCACAAAAGCAAACACGGUUUGUAUGCAGGUGAGGACGACAACCAUAAAAGCAGCAACAGUCCCUGUUCCUCUCCAAAGAUUGGGGAAAUAAACACGCUUCAGAAUUCCAUAAUUUUCCUUGAUGAAUAAUGUCACUUUGCGCUUCCGACCCUCUUUAUAAAGCU
rnacentral:lncRNA from 1 species